rnacentral:lncRNA from 1 species
CGCUGGGCGCCGUCAAGGACCAGACCAGCAUCGGGCUUGCCAAGGUCACCAGCAACAUCGCGCCGGAGCUCGACGUGCUCAUUGUCAAGACCACCAGCCACGACGACGAGCCGGCCGAGGAGCGCCACAUCCGCGAGAUCCUCCACCUCACCUCCGGAUCCCGCGCCCACGUCGCCGCCGCGGUCGCCGGGUGCGCCCGCAGGCUCUCCCGCACCCGCGACUAUGUCGUCGCGCUCAAGUCGCUGAUGCUCGUGCACCGUCUCCUCACCGACGGCGACCCCUUCUUCCACCGCGAGCUCCUCCACGCCACGCGUCGGGGCACCCGCCUCCUCAAUCUCUCUGACUUCCGUGACGAGGCACACUCUGGGUCGUGGGACCACUCUGCCUUCGUCCGCACCUAUGCGCUGUACCUUGACCAGCGCCUCGAGUUCCUCCUCCACGAGCGGAAGCAGGGCUCCAACGCUAAUGGAAGCACCAGCCUGAACGGGCCAUCCCCGCGUGACCGUUGGGGUUCUCCUGACCCGUAUGGCCGGCGGUCACCCUCGUACACCUCCCCUCCGGGGAAUGGGUAUGGAGGGUACGAUGAUAACCGUGAGAGGAAUGGUGGGAACUCUGAUGACAAGAGGCCGCUGACCCCUGUGAGGGAUAUGAAGCCGGAGCGGGUCCUUGGCCGCAUGCACCACCUGCAGCAGCUGCUCGAUAGGUUCCUCGCCUGCCGCCCCACAGGUGGUGCGAAGCAGAGCAGGAUGGUGCUGGUUGCACUGUAUCAGAUGGCGAGGGAGAGCUUCCAGCUCUACGCUGAUAUCUGUGAGGUGCUUGCAGUUCUACUGGACAGGUUCUUUGACAUGGAGUAUGCUGAUUGUGUGAAGGCCUUUGAGGCAUAUGCCAGUGCGGCAAAGCAGAUUGAUGAGCUUUGCUCAUUUUAUGCUUGGUGUAAGGACACCGGGGUUGCGAGAUCAUCGGAGUACCCAGAGGUGCAGCGGGUCACUGAUAAGUUACUGGAGACAUUGGAGGAGUUUAUGAGGGACCGGGCAAAGCGUCCCAAGAGCCCACCACGGGAGCCUGAGCCCGAGCCCGUCAAGGAGGAAGAGCCAGAGCCGGAGGACAUGAACAGCAUCAAGGCGCUUCCUGCACCAGAGGACUACAAGGAGCCUGAACCCGAGAAGGUGGAGGAAGAGGUGAAGCCAGAGCCCCCGCCGCAGCCCCAGGGUGAUCUGGUGGAUCUUAGAGAAGACACUGUGAGUGCAGACGAGCAAGGUAAUAGGCUUGCUCUGGCCCUAUUCCAAGGACCACCUGCUGCUGGUGGUAGCAAUGGGUCAUGGGAGGCCUUCCCUUCCAAUGGUGCCAACGAAGUGACUUCUGCGUGGCAGAAUCCUGCGGCUGAGCCCGGGAAGGCCGAUUGGGAACUUGCCCUUGUGGAGACGGCUAGCAACUUAUCCAAGCAGAAGGCUGUAAUGACAGGUGGUAUGGAUAACCUGCUACUGAAUGGUAUGUACGACCAAGGUGUUGUCCGUCAGCAUGUCAAUGCACAGGCGACUAGUGGGAGCUCCAGCAGUGUUGCCCUACCUGCGCCUGGACAGAAGACACAGAUGUUGGCUCUUCCGGCACCAGAUGGUUCGAUGCAGAAUGUAGGUGGAGAUCCUUUCGCGGCAUCCCUUACCUUUGCACCACCGUCCUAUGUGCAGAUGGCCGAGAUGGAGAAGAAGCAGCAGUUCUUGACACAGGAGCAGAUGAUGUGGCAGCAGUACCAACGGGAUGGCAUGCAGGGGCCAUCGAGCUUGGCCAAGCUUGAUCGGACCUACAACAAUGGCUUCGGCCCAAAUCCAGCCAUGCCAUACGGGAUGCCAAACGCGCCAAUGGCGAAUACAGGGUAUUACUACCCCACUUACUGAGCUAUUCUUUGUCCAUCCUUACAGUUGCUGUGAAUUUUGUUCUGUAUUUGUGGUCUUACUUCUUGGGGCUGUGUCCAGCAUCAGUUGUUGUGUCCCUGGUCUCUGGAUCAAACCUUUUGGUCUCUUAUAUAUAUGUAAUUCUAUUUGUUUGGAACCAAAUGCGGCAUCUAUGGGUUGGUUAUAGUUGAAUACAUAAUCUGAGCUGAUGUUCUUUCAUACUGUUUGAUACUAGAGACUUGUGCAUUUUGUCGGUCCCUUGAUACUUCCACGCUGUUGUUAGUAUGCCGCUGACAGUGUACUGCAUGUCACAUCUGUCAUCUACCUGAUAUGAUGAAAAAAUGUUCCGUUUCUUAGAUCUAGAUCUCCUUGUUCGCUGGAGAAGUUUGUUGCUAGUAGUUGGCAUUAAGGAAGACUUUAGGUGGUUUUAAUCAAUUAUAACUAAGUUGCUUUCGGUGACAGACUUUGGGGCAAAGUUAUCUUGUACUUAAAUGAUACGGAUGUUGGAACGGUCCUUCAAUUUGGUGGCUAUGUCUAUGAUCCUUAAACUCAGAAACUGCUUCAGUACGGUCCCAGAACUUGAGAAUACUGUUUUAAUACGGUCCUUAUACUUGACAAACCCGUCUUAUGAUACGUUUCACAUACUCCCUCCGGUUCCAAAUAUUUGUCUUGAAUUUGUUUAGAUACGGAUGUUCUAACACUAAACAUGUCUAGAUACAUCCAUAUUUAGACAAACUCAAGAUAAAUAAUAUGUCUAGAUACAUCCAUAUCUAGACAAACUCAAGAUAAAUAAUAUGAACAGAAGGAAGUACAUUUCUUGUACUCCACAACUUUUUUCUUCAGAAAACCGUCUCAUAAUUUAUUUAAUUACAAAAAGCCUAAUGUCAGAAAUAUGGGUUGCACAUGUCGGUACGGGAAAAGAAAAAACAACAGCUAUAUGAAGGAUCGAACCUAAAGAACUGCAGACUAUCGGUCAAUUAGUGCACACAAGCAAACUACCAGGUCAUCAGUUGCUUCGCGUAAAUUGUUGAGCUAGAGGUUAUCUUUCUAUUCUAUGUACCUCUUCAUGCAUUUUUUUAUGUAAUUUUGUGUAUGGCGUAACUAUAGGCCCGCACAAAUUUGUUUUAUUCUUUUCAAUAUAUCUAUUUUCUGAAUUUCAAAAUAAAUUUGCCAUAAAACUUAAACAAAGUGUUAGUCCAUUUAAAAAGAUCAACAUAUUUUUAGAAAUAUUUCAUGUGUACUAAAAACUAUAAUAGUGUUUUUGAAAAGUAUUUCAUGUGUAUUAAAAAUUGCAAACGUGUUUUUGAAAAAUGUUCUUCAUGUAUUCAAAUAAUGGUCAACAUGUACUAACAAUAUAUUGCUUAAAAUAAUUCUUACAUUUCCAAAACCACACUUAACAUGCUUUUAUUACGUUUCUAGAAUUUAUUAUUAUGACACAAUAAUUUUAAAUACACACUGAACACUUUUCAAAAUACAACAUUGCCAUUUUUUUAAUAAUUGAGUAUUUUAAGUAUAGAAUGAAAUACACAAUAAUUGUCCGUGCUUGUGGCCAUUUUUUAAAUGCAUAACAAACAUUUUUUAAAGACGUUUGUAAAUUUUUAUUACACGUGUAACAUUUUCCAAGAAGAUAUUUACAGUUAUUAAUAUACAUGAAAUUUUCCCACUUAGGUUUUUCUUCCAUUUCUGUUUCCAAAUGGAAAAAUAAUAAUAUAAAAACAUGAACUUGAAAAAACUAAAACAAACUUCUGCGGUGCAAUAGGAGUGCCAUAUAUAAUAAAUAUAGAUAUAGAAAAACGAUUGACGAGGAACGCAAGAACCCUAUAAUUUAGGUCAAGUAGAGCGUUACAUGGUGGUCAGCUUGUGUGUACUAAGCAAACCGCACUAGAAGACCGGAAGGUCUUACGUUUGACCCUCUGUAUUGGGAUUUUUUUUUGUUCCCCAUACUGGUAAGUGAAAACCACAUUACACAUUUAACUUUAGGUGUUUUCUUGCAAUUAAAUAUAAUCAGAGGCAGUUUAAAAAAAUCGUGCAAUACACGAAACAUAUGUGAGACGUAUCAGAGGACCAGUUCGUCAAGUUUAAGGACCGUAUUGAAGCGGUAUUCUCAAGUUCUAGGACCGUAUUGAAGCAGUUUGUGACUUUGAGGACCAUUGUGGACAUCGCCACCAAGUUUGAGGACCAUACAUGCAUUUGACUCUACUUAAAUAGGGCUCGAAUGAUUGCCCUUGCUGCUGGUGCCUUGCUGCUGGUCGAAGUUAUGGAAUCCCUGUUUGCGCUAACAUUUUAUGUGGAGUAUAGUGUAUCGAUAAAUGGUAGCAUAUCGAUCGAGCGCUGAGUAGCGAUAUAUAGACGAUUUUUUUUCAGAAUCGGUCAAUUAUAAAUCAGUUAAUCGGUCGAUAAAUCAAUUAAUCGGCUAUUUGAUGAGCCAUCGAAGUUAAUCGGAGAUAAAGCAAUUAAUCAACUAUUCUGUGACCAUACGAGUGGAGAUUAAUUGAUCAAGAUGCUGAUUAACUGAUUGAUAUUUGAAACCAUGCAUUUUAGUUGUUGGUCGCCAAUGUAAGUUUUGAAUGUUGAUCCCAUCAACAUGAUGAAACAUUUGGUACAAUCUGAUCAUUAAUCUUGUGUCCUUAGUUGUGUCACACUCGGCAGGUUUUUCUCUAGUUUUGAAAAACCUUCGUUUUUUGCCUAAACAACUUUUCAGAUAUUAUGUUUUUGUCCUUCCGUCACGGUCCGUCCAGUUAGUGUCGUUUGACCGUGUGUUAACUGUAUGUGUGGACUUUUUAUUGGAUCAUUUUACCCUUGCUUCUUCACUCUGUGGCGAGACACUGUCAAGCGGGACCCAUCACUCUCCCACUUCACUUUUAUUUCUAUCCCGUGAGUCAAACCCUUGUCCAGAUUCCGUCCCCCUCUCUCUCAAAUACUAUCCCCUUCCCCACGCACAGUGCUCCGUCGUCACGGUUCGAGCAGGCCAUGACGCGACCAACCAUCUCGGCGUCCCUGUCGGUGGCCACGCCAGGGCGGCGGCACCAUGGCCACGGCGACUGGGGGCGAAGGGGCGGUGGCCGACGGGAGGCCGCGGGGGCGAUCGGACCUGGCCGGCCGACGCCAGACCCGAGCAAAGGUAGCGGUAGCACGAGGCGACGGGGCUGACUGCGGGAGCCUCGAAGUCCACGACGAUGGGGUUGACCUGCAGGAGAGAGAGGGUCGACGGGAGGUUAGGGAAGAGGAAGAAGAAGGAGAGGCAAGGGAGAGGGCGACCGACGACAAGGCGGUGUGGUUCGGUGGGGAGACGGCUCGCCGGCGGAGGCAGCGGGCUCACGGGAGCUCGACGGCGAGGCUCCGCUCGGGGGAGGGCAACAGGGUUUGCCGGCGACGACAGCACCAUGGAUCUCGUUGGUGGCCAACCUAAGCAUCGACGCUAUAGAUCCGGUCGAUUGCUAGUGUGGGAGGCUAGCUGCGUUCCCACUAGCGGCGGCGCCAUGGAUCCCAUCCGUGGCCAGUGAGGGAGGCCAUCGGAGGCUGCAGCGGUGGUGGUUGGCGGCGGUGGGGAGAAGCUGCAGCACCAACUCCGGCUCCGUUGGCUCGAGCGAGCUCAUCCUCUUUUUUUUUUGACAAGCCGGCGAGCUCAUCCUCCUCCUACGAAUUGCGGCCUCUAAUUAUCGACCCAAUGUAAUUAGCUAGGAUUUAACUAAUGGUCGUGGACGAAUGUUAAUUAUUAUACCAAAAUGUGAUGGGAAAUUGAUGUGGUGUUUACGAAAUGUCAAUGUCCAGUAGAUAUUUAGUUUGGUUUGUCAUGGGUCCCACAUGAUAUUGAGAUGAGAAAGAGAUGCUUUUUUCAACGAUGGAUCCCACUUUACAGUGUCUCGUUAAAGAGUGAAGAAGCGUGGCAACAUAGUCUAAAGAAAAGUUCACACACAGUCAAACAAGACUAACUGAACGAAAUUAAGACAAAAGGACAAAAACAUAAAACGAGCAAAGUGGUUUGGGCAAGAACGAGAGUUUUUCAAAACUAGGAACAAACUUAUCGAGUGUGACACAACUAAGAGUAUAAAUUCAAUUUUCACAAUCAUUUAUGAGGGGACGGUGCUCGGUGGUGGGUGCUGGGAUGGUUUCACCAACUACACCAUGCGGGUUAUAGUAGUCGACUAGUCGGUAAGGACGAUCAAAUCAAAGCGAUCGGAUCCGUCGUGCAUGAUUGACUCUUUCGCUUGGUGCUGUGUUUUCCUGAAGAAAAGUAACUUGGAGCUUUGUUUCCCCAGGUCGCUUUCUUCUCCUGACGACCUUUUCUUUUCUUCAGUGCUGCUUGCGGUCAUCUGGUUACAAUUCCUUCGCUUUCUCUCGGCCCUUCUUUUCCAACUACGAAUGAUUGGACGUCUGGAAUACACCUCGUCAUCUUUAUCUCCUCCGUUCUGAAACCAGAGGUAGUAGGCUGUAGCCUAGUGGCAUGGGUGGGCAAUGGCUCAUCCUGCGGGCUGGCUUUGAACCCCGUCGGGGUCGGAUUUCUGGUGCUCAUCCUGGGAUCUCAUUUUUUUUUGACACCAGAGGUACUACUAUUUUUUAAAUUGCGUGUUUGCUAGCCUAGAUCACAACCAAACGGGUUUAGUGGAUGUGGGAAAACCCCGUUUGGUAGCAUCAUGCACGAACGCCUGUCUUGCACAUACACGAACAUCAAUGCAGCCCAGAGCAUGCCUCUCCAAACGGGUUUAGUGGAUGUGAGAAAACCCCGUUUGGUAGCAUCAUGCACGAAUGCCUUUCUUGCAUACACACACGAACAUCAAUGCAGCCCAGAGCAUGCCUCGUUAGGAACACUUGAAUUAACAGUUUCAAAUGAUCCAGACUGAGUCGGACGUAGAAGUGAGGCAUAAUGUAUGCUGUGGUAGAGGGAAAAUCAUGAUAGAGAUGACGGGAGAAGAAAAUCGGCCGGUGCGGGAUGGUAUGAAAUCUAGCAUCACCCCUUCCCAAUUUACUUGCUCACCUCUAGCACCAUGACAAAUCCAACUUUAGGUCUUGCCUUGUUCGGCGGCAAUGACUCUUAGACCUGCGAAAGCAGUGGCGGUGACGGCUUCGGUCUCCGCCAACAGGACCCGCUUCUCCUCUUUGUCUUCGACUUCAACUCGUCCUCCUCGCCUACAUCAUGGAUGGGUCGUUGCUCCUCCCAUAGGAGUUGUUGGAUAUUCUUAAAAUGAAGGGUGAUGUAGCACAAUAGUAGAAGUACUUUCGUUGGUUAAGAACCAAAUUUUAUCGAUAACAUGACCUACACACGAACAAAAUAAUUACUUGCCGUCACUCCCCUUGUACUUGCUAGCCACAAAGUUAAAAGCAAAUAAUAAUGAUGAUAUCAAAGAUAAUAAUAAAUAGGAUAAUGAUAGAGAUAGUAGUAAUUGUAGAAACUUGGAGAUUUAAUUGAUAAUAAACCCGGGGAUCAUAGGUUCACUAGUGGCUUCUGUGUUGAAAGCAGCACAACGAAGGGUAAACAAAUUAUUGUUGGACAAUUGAUAGAAUUAUGCAUAGUUUUGAAUAUCGUCCAUGAUAUAAUCAUUACAUCUGUUAUAAGUAUACUUUUAAACUUACCGACGUCUAAUACUAGUAGUCCACCUCAAGACAGCUAUCGAACAUGCAUCUCAAAGUAAAAUUUUCAUAAUAUACAGAGUAACACAAUACGCAAGAUAACAUAAUAUAGACAAAGUAGGAUCAAUCAAUAUGAUCAAACCCCAUCGUUUUUCCUUACUAGCAACAACAUAAAUAUGUGCCCUUAUCUUUUCUGUCACUGGACAAGAUCACCGCAAGGUUGAACCUACUACAAAGCACCUUCCCCACUGAAGACAAAUCAAUCAAAUUCGGCCAAAGUAAACAGAUAGAUCAGAGCGAAAUUCAAAGCUAUAAAACUACAUAAAUAGGUAGGCUCAAGAACUCACAGAAUAUCAAUCAAUAAUCUGGUCAUAAACCACACAAAUCAUCGGAUCACAACAAACACAUCAUAAAAGAUUACAUUGGAUAGAUCUUAGAGACGAUCAUUGUAUUGAAGAUCAAAAAAGAGAGAGAAAGCCAUUUAGCUACUGCUAUGGACCUGUAGGUCGUGAAGGAGCUACUCACACAUCAUCAUGGAGCCAACAAAGUUGAUGAAGAUGUCUCCACAAUGAUUUCCCCCUCAAAUAGAAUACCAAAAGGGGCUCCAGAUGGGAUCGCAGUGAAACAGAGGCUUACGACGGUGAUAAAAUUGUCUCGGGUCUCGCUCUGGAGUUUUUGAAAGAUUGUGGAAUUUAUAGGCCAAAAAUUAGGGCAACUGGAGCCAAGGGGCCACAAGUCACCUCGGUGACUUGUGGGGCUCGUGUGGGUCUUCUGGUCCUCCACAAAUAUUCCAGGGUCUCUUAUAUUCCAGAAAAGAACACAAAAAAGUUUUGUCGUGUUUGGGCUUCGGUAGGUAUGGUUUUUCUGCGAAACGCAAAUCAUGUAGAAACAAGAAUUGACAUUGGGCACUAAUUAAUAGGUUAGUCCAUAAACAUAAUAUAAAAUGACAUAUAAAGUAUACAAAAGUGAUAAUAUAACAAUAUUUAACAAUAAAAAAUUAUAGAUACAUUAGAGACGUAUUAGCAUCACGAAGCUUGAUUCCUACUCGUCCUUGAGUUAGUAAAUGAUAACAAAAGAAUUUUUUAUGUUGAAUGAUAUAUAACAUGUAUUUGAUCUAUUGAUGUAACUUGGAUACGAAAUAUGCAAGACAAUAGUCUAUCAAUUUGAUAUUGAAAUAGUAAUACAUGAACAUGUUAGUAAAUAAUUAUUUCCUUUCAGAAUAUUGAUGUUAAAGAAAGUGAUCCUUAUACGCUAAUCAAAAUAAGCAUGUCACGCUCAUUCUUCCCGGUAUAGAGAUAUCAAAUCAAGCACAACCCUGGUGCCAAACUAAGUGAUUCACAUAUACUUUUGUCACUUCAGUUGUUUAAACUUCCACUCAAAACUUGAGUGUGAGAUAAGGUCUUAAGCACUUGGGAUGCAAAUAGAAUGGUGAUUGUGAUUUAUAAGAGAAGAUAAAAAGUGUGGGAAAGUCUCACAUCAACAAGGCUGGGCCGUUAAGCAAUGAAGAGGUCUUACAAUCGAUGUUAAUGCGAGGAGUAGGGAUUGCCAUGCAACGAAUUCACUUAGAGAUAUAAGUGUAUGAAAGCUCUCUAUAUGGAACUAAGUGGGUGUGCAUCCAACUUGCUUGCUCAUGAAGACCUCGAGCAUUUGAGGAAGCUCGUCAUCGGAAUAUACAAUCCAAGUUCAAUAAUGUAAAAUUGCCACUAGUUAUACAUCAAAAUGAUGAGGACGCUCUAUAUGAAAUGCAAAGUUCUAUUUUGUAGCGCGAGUGUGGUAAGAGGAUAGUGAUGUGCUCCCUUUCUUUUUCUCCCAUUUUCAUCAUUUUCCUUUUAUUUUCUCCAUUGCUUUGUUGGUAUCUAUUUGGUCUCUUUUUAAUACCAUUUUUUAUCCUCACAUGUAGGGGCACACCCUAAUAAUGCAUCACAAUUUUAUUUCACUUACAACUCAAAAGACAUAAACAACAUGAUGACCAAAAAUGAAUGCCUCUGACAGUGUACGAGGAUGUGCAAUGGUCUAGCAUAACAUGUAUAUGAACGAUGAACGGUGGCUUUGCCAAAAAUAUCAUAUCAGCUCUAUAUGAUCAUGCAAAGCAAUAAGACAAUGAAUGCUCAAGUCUUAAAAAUAGUAAGAAUGGAAGUUGAAUGCUAAUAUAUCUCGGAGUGGCUAUGAAAAUGCUACGAUAGGUAGGUAUGGUGUGUUUUCUGAGGAAGGAUAUAAUUAGGCUUAUGUAUGAGAGAGCAUGUCAUCUCACGGGAUUUGGAUGCACCUCGGAAGUUUGCACCAAAUCCCGAGGCGAGAGUGGGCAAUACACGGUACCGAAAAGACUAGCAAGAUAUGGAUAGAUGGAAGUGCUUUUAUACCAUAGACUCAUAUUAAACAUAAAUAGCUCAAAUAUUUAUUAUGAAAACUUAGUUAGCCCUCGAAGCAAAGUAUAACCCCUAUGAUCUUAGAGAGGAGGUUAGUAGGAGUUAACCAUCACUCGCCUCCAAUCCAAACACACUAGUGUUUAAUCAAUCAAUGAUAAAUUAUACCCCAAACUCGCCACUAUUACCAGCGGCCACCCCUUUCAUGUGUUAGGAAUUCACAAGCUUUACCAUCAAAAUUAAUACUUAACUAUAAUUAAUUAUUAAUAUGCUAAUCUAUUACCACCUCAAAUAUCGCCAAAUAUUGCAAGGAAUCAAACACAUCAUAUUCAAUGAUCUUACAAAUCCAUGCUAGUUUUUAUUAUACAACCUCUAUAUACCUAGCAUUCCCGGACCAACAAUAUAACUCAUGCAAAUUACCACAUCCUAUUUAAAUAUCAUUAAAUAUAUAGGUGAAACAAAGUGAGUACACACAAUAAACAUAUCGCCAUGCUCAAACAAAUAUAAGUGAAGAAUUAGAGAUUUGCCUUAGCUCAAAAAGAUAUAAGUGAAAUACGGAUGAACAUUCUAUAAAUUAGAUGAGUGUGUGGCUUCUCAUAAUAAAUGUGUACAGGAAAAUAUGAUUGUGACAAAAACAGACGCUCCAAGAAAAAUACAUAUCAAGUGGAGAAUAAAAAUAUAGCUCCAAGUAUGAUAUACCGAUAGUUUGAAGACAAAUGAGGGGAUGCCUUCUGGGGUAUCGACAAGCUUAGAUGAUUUAGUCUUCCUUGAAUAUUACUUUGGGGUGCCUUAGGCAUUCCCAAGCUUAGAUUCUUGUUGCUUCUUGUUCUCCUUCAUAGUUCCAUCUCAUCCAAAACCUUGAAAACUUCGAUCACACAAAGCUUAACGAAACUUCGUGACAUAGGUUAGUAUAAUAGAAUAGAUCAUUCACUUAUGGUACUUCCAAGGAAAGUUUUGUAAUUAUUUAUAAUAAAUGUUUACUGUAUUUUAUCAUUCCUACAAUUUAUACCCCUCAUACAAACCAUAAAUACUUUAAAACAAGCAAAAAAAAACAGAAUCUGUCAAAAAUAGAACACCAUGUAAAGAUCUACUUUCUCGUCAUACUUCUAUAACUUUGAGAAUUAUGGAAAACCAGGAUACUGUAGAGAGUUUGUAAUUUAGUUAUGUGUAAACAUUUCAGCAAUUUAUCACGUUUCAGUACAAAUAUACAAUUCAAUCACUAGACACAAAGUUUCUGUUUCCCCAAAGAACUUAGUGAACAAAUAUUUUUUCAGUAUCCCAAAGGUUUGACUUGGCACAAAAGAAAAAUAAAAGAUACAAACACAAUUUAUAUAAAGGAAAUAAUCCCGUUGACACACUAAAAUAGAAAGGAAAAAAGAAAGAUAAAUAUUGUGUUGCCUCCCAACAAGCGCAAUUUUUCAAUGCCCGAAGUUAGGCAUAAUGCAAUCUAUCAAGUAUUAUCAUCUUUAAAUGCUAUACCAUAUGUACUUCUCAUGAUAGAUUCAUAAGAAGGUUUAAUAUUCUUUCUAGGGAAAUGUUCCAUAUGUUUAUUUAGAGGAAUUUGGAAUCGUGUAUUACCUUACUUCAUGUCAAUAACGACGCCUAUAGUUCUCAUAAAGGGCCUCACAAGUAUAAUUGGACAAGACAAAUUACAUUCAAUGUCAAGAACAAUAUAUAUCUACGGGCACAUAAUUUUUAUUUCAAUAAUAAGCACAUCAUUCACUCUUCCCAUCGGAUUUUUAAUAUUAGAAUCCACUAGGUGCAAAUUUAAAGAAUAUUCACUCAUGUUGGAGAAACUGAGAAAAUCAUACAACACCUUUGGCAUAGUUGAAACAUUGGCUCGUAGAUCACACAAAAAAUGGCACUCUUAAUCCUUAAUUUUACUUGUGUGUUCUCAAUCAUCAUGCACCUUUCUAGGUAUGGAAAUCUCUACUUCAAGUUUCUCCUCAUUUGUUUUAAUAAGCGUCUCUACAUCAUGUCUAGUAAAAGCUUUAUUUUGUUUGUAUUGAAACAAGGAAAUAUAUUAAGUAAGAGAACAACUUUUAUAAUUAAAGUCCUUGUAAUCCAAAGUAGUGGGAGCAUCGCUACCUAAAGUUUUUACCUCUUCCACCAACUUUUAUCAUUAUUAGCAACAAGAUCAUCACCCUUCGAACAACUGGAUACCUCUUAGCUAAAGUUGACUCAUCUCGAGUCCCAUCAUUAUCAACUUUAAUGUCUCUAAACAAAGAUUGAAUAUAAGAAACACCAAUAAUUUUAACAUCUUCACCAUUACUAGCAACAAAACAAAAUUCAACAUUUUUUCGCUCGUUCUCUUCUAGCUCUAAGCAUAUCAAUGAUUUUACUAUUGUAAUAAUGAAGACUUGGAUGACCUUAAGAUAUUCACGCAUUCCAUUUUUAUUAGGUGGCAAAAUUUUAAUUUUAAGAAUAUCCAGAUCAUGCAGAAGUCUAUCCAUGUUUCAAAACAUAUCAUCAACCUUAGUAAAAUUUUCUUCUAUCAUAGCAUUGAAACCUUUUGAGAAUUAAUAAAUUCUUUAAUAUUGUUUUUAAGAUUAGAGGGCAUCAUAUUAUUAUUAUUAUAUGAAUUUCCAUAGGAAUUAACACAAUUAUUAGAGGGAUUACCACGAUACGACCUAUGAUUAUUAUUGAAGUUCCCUCUAUAAGCAUUAUUAUUCAAAUUGCUCCUUGGAACAAAGUUCAGAUCAAUAGCAUCAUUAUUUUGAUUAAUACUCCCACCGUCCCAAAAUUCUUGUCUUAGGUUUGUCAAGAAAUGUAUGUAUCAAAAUACUAAAACGUGACUAGAUACAUUCAUAUCUAGACAAAUCUCAGACAAGAAUUUUGGGACGGAGGGAGUAAUAGAUAAAGGCACAUCAUUUGGAUAACUCUUGUUACUAAGCACGGACAUAAGAGCAUCAAAUUUAUCACUUUGGGAGGAGAUCUCCUCGACAUAAUGCACCUUCUUACUUGUUGGAGUGUGCUUGGUGUGCCAUUGGGAAUAAUUGGAAGCCAUGUUUGAGAAGCUUUGUGCAUAAAUAUAUCACUUGCAUUUGAAUCUAGAAGAUUUCUCGAUUAAAAGUUCAGUCCGACAUAGAAAUUUUGUACUAUCAUCCAAAGACUCAAUCCAUGUGUAGCAAAAUAAAUAAAGCAUAAGUUUUAUUCUCUCCCAUGCUUGUGCAAGACGCUCUUGGUCAAGUUUCUUACAAUUCAUAAUUCGAUUUCUUAGAUAAAUUUUUUUUGCGGGAGGAAAGUACUCACCAAUGAAAGCAUCUUUGCAUUUAUACCAAGAAUCAAUACCUUUUACGCAAAGAAGACAACUAUGCUUUUAUCUCUAUCUGUUAGAGAAAAAGGAAAAUGUUUCACUUUCACAAUAUCAUUAUUCACAUCUUUAAUUUUUUGCAUAUCACAUAAUUCAACGAAGGUAUUAAGAUGGGAAGCAACAUAUUCAUUAUAAUUUCAAGAAACAUGUUCUUUCAUGACAAGAUUUUAUAAGACAACUUUAAUAUCAUAAUACUCUACGCUAGUGGCGGCACGAGCAAUGGGAGUACUAAUGAAACCAUUGUUACUAGUACUUGAGAAAUCACAAAGGUUACUAGUCUCUUUUUGUAUUACACACACACACACACAAAUAUGUAUGUAUAUAUAUAUAUAUAUAGGGCGGGUCUAUUCUACAAACACCCCUAAGACCUUAUUAUCAUAACACUUUUCUUAUCAUGCUAACACCACGAAACCAACCGGACACAACCCACCCCACCCGUGCAGCCCAGUGCCCAUCUUCCCCACCCACACCACAACCCUCCUCCCACUUCCCCACCCAGCAGUGCAAACCUCCACAUUCUUCCUCUCCCCCGCGCAUCGCACCCACCCCAACUAUCGCGGCCAACACCUCGCGCCAUCUCCAAGCCACCAUCCCUGCGCCGUCCCCGCCUCCUCCUCGUGGCCGCCCCGCCUCCGACCGGCUCCACCAUAAGCGAAUCAGGUUGGGCACCCCUAACCCCCUCCAAACCGCUGGCACACCCCGCGACCAUGGCGGGAUUCGGCCGUCAACGCCCCCGACGAGGACUUCUCCACCGGAUCCGACCCUCGCUCCUCCGGGACUCCGGCUCCUACCUUCCCUCGCGACUCCCUCACCAAUCUCUUCGCACCGCCAUGCUUCCCAGCGGCCGCCACGGCUCCACCCUUCCCAUACACCACGCCUCCUCUCACAUCGGCCAGCGCUCCUCCUACCCCCACCACUCCCCCAAGGUGUUGCCUCUCACCCCUUUGAAUCGAGCCACCCCACCCCGACCACGACCACAGCUCCACAUCAUGAUGGACGCACUCCACGACAACGACCCCGUCCUUGCGACGGUCGACCAUGCCACAAGAACUGAUCCAGCUGUCGUGCAAUGGAUCUGGCCACCCCGUGUAAAUCCCUCCUCCUCACAAGAUAGCGGCAUGGGGCCAUGCCGACCCCACCGUUGACCGUUGAGUUGCACGCCAGGUGUGGGUCAUGGGCCUCCUCACUUCCUGCAUUUCCCCUAUGGCCACCUACGUCGUGCGCCUAGGCUCGCACGGGAGUUUGGUGGCCUCCCGUCGACGUCCCGCAUGGAUUAACUGAUGACCCACAAGUAUAGGGGAUCAAUCAUAGUCCUUUCGAUAAGUAAGAGUGUCGAACCCAACGAGGAGUAGAAGGAUCUGACAAGUGGUUUUUAGUAAGGAAAUAUCUGCAAGCACUGAAAUUGUCGGUAACAAGUGAUUGUGUGGUGAGAUGAUUCGUAGCGAGCAACAAGUAACAAAAGUAGCAACGAUGCACCAAAGUGGUCCAGUCCCUUUUGUAGCAAGGGACAAGCCUGGACAAAGUCUUAUAGGAGGAAAAACGCUCCCGAGGACACACGGGAAUUUCUGUCAUGCUAGUUUCAUCAUGUUCAUAUGAUUCACGUUCGUUACCUUGAUAGUUUGAUAUGUGGGUGGACCGGCGCUUGGGUAAUGCCCUUACUUGGACAAGCAUUCCUCUUAUGAUUAACCCCUCUCGCAAGCAUCCGCAACUACGAAAGAAGAAUUAAGACAAAGUCUAACCAUAGCAUUAAACUAGUUGAUCCAAAUUAGCCCCUUGCGAAGCAAUGUAUAAACUAGGGUUUANCCAAUCGGAGUCGCGAGAUGGAGAUUGGUUACAAGUGAUGAACUAGGGUUUGGAGAUGAGAUGGUGCUGAUGAAGAUGUUGAUGGUGACGAGUCCCCUCCGAUGAGAGGAGUGUUGGUGAUGACGCUGGCGACGAUUUCCCCCUCCGGGUGGGAAGUUUCCCCGACAGGAUCGUCCUGCUGGAGCUCUAGAUUGGUUCUGCUCAAGUUCCGCCUCGCGGCGACGGCGAAACCAUGAAAAAGCUCCCGUCUGACUUUUUUCUGGAUGAAACCCUCCAUAUAGCAAAAGAGGGGGGCAAGUGGGCCAGCAGGGUGCCCACAAGCCCCCAUGGCGCCGCCCGGGGGGUGGCCGCGUCGUGCAGGCUUGUGGCCACCCCCUGGCGCCCCUCUGGCGCUUCUUCGGCCCAGUAUUUUUCAUAAAUUGGGAAAAAAUCUCCGUUGAUUUUCACGGCGUUUGGAGUUGCGCAGAAUAGGUAUCUCAACUUUGCUCCACUUUUAGGCCAGAAUUCCAGUUGCCGGUAUUCUCCCUCUUCAUGUAAACCUUGCAAAAUAAGAGAGAAAAGGCAUAAGAAUAGUACCGUGAAGUGAAAUAACAGCAAAAGAAGCGAUAAAUAUCAAUAUGAAAACAUGAUGCAAAAUGGACGUAUCAACUCCCCCAAGCUUAGACCUCGCUUGUCCUCAAGCAAAAGCUGAGCUGAAUAAAUAUGUCCACACGUUUAGGGAGAGAGGUGUCGACAAAACAAGAUACGAACAUGCAUGCAUCAUGAUCAAGCUCAUAACAGCAAUACCAACAUAUACUCUCUCAUGCUAAAGUGACAAUUCCUUCACAAAGUAAAGCAUGGAUCAAGAACCUUACCGAGAAGUAACAACCGAUAGCCUUUAGUCAUUGAAGCAAUGGCAAUUUAUCACAACAUCAGAAAGAGUUAAAUAAGAGCUUGUAAAGCAAAUACACAUACUCAAUCAUUCUUUCAUUUUCUACAAUUGCUACAACUCACGUGGUACUCAUGAGAUCAAAGUUUCAGCUGAACACAAAGAAAGAUAGGGGCUUAUAGUAUUGCCUCCCAACUGCUUACCUCAAGGGUAAUGUCAACAAUAAUAACUCAUGAAUGCCUACCUCCAAGUUGACAUAUGAAUAUAGAUCUUUCCCAAGCAUGUGACGGUAUCCAAGACAAAGGCAAAAUAGGGAAUUGGUGAAGAUCACCAUGACUCUUUCAAGGGCAAAAAGUAAAGGUACAAGAUAGGCCCUUCGCAGAGGGAAGCAGAGGUUGUCAUGCGCUUUUGAGGUUUGGAUGCGUGUCCUCUUAGUGCGGAGGAACGUCACUUUAUAUUGCCCCUUGUGAUAAAGAACUUUAUUAUGCAGUCUGUCGCUUUUAUGUCUUCCUCAUCACAGGUUCGUAUAAAGCUUAUUUUCCACACACUAAUAGGUCAUACAUAUUAGAGAGCAAUUUUUAUUGCUUGCACCGAUGACAACUUACUUCAGGGAUCUUAUUCAAUCCAUAGGUAGGUAUGGUGGACACUCAUGGCAAAACUAGUUUGAAGGUUUAUGGAUGCACAAGUAGUAUCUCUACUUAGUGCGGGAGUUUUGGCUAAUAUGAGGUGGAAGCAAUCGUCACAUGCUAAGGGAUCUCUAAUCAUAUAACAUUGUUCAGAGCUAAGAAAACACAAUUCAUUACGUUGUCUUCCUUGUCCAACAUCUACUUCUAGGCAUGCAAUGGUUUGGUGAGUGUUCACAAUCAUAGAUGGUGUCAGAAAUGAUAUAUUUAUAUGUGAACCUCUCCUUCCUUAUCGCUUCCUAUUAAUUGCAACAAUGACUAAGGUCUACGUUUGCCUACCCUCAACAAGUUUCAAUCCUCAUUCUUUUUAUAUGUGAAGCCAUCACUUCCCAGAAGAUCACUACAUGAUCUUUCAUGCUUUUGUUCUAUUCUCACUCUUUUGAUCAUGGCAAGAGGCAAAGCCCUUCAACUAAGACAUUCUUUAUUAUAUGGCUCACGAGCAAGAAUACAUCGGGGGUGACACAAAGCAAAACUUAAGACUAAAACACUAAGACUUUUAAACUACUAGAGAAAGAGAAAACUGAAAAGGAAAACUAAAACAAAGGUAAAGGCAAAAGAUGUGAUGGUGAUACGAUACCGGGGCAACUCCCCCAAGCUUGGCAGAAGCCAAGGGGAUUGCCCAUACCAAUGCUCAGUUGUCUUCCUUUGGUGGUGAGGAUGGUGGAGUUGUUGAAGCAUGAGUUUGAUCCUCCGUCUUCCAAGGCAUAGGUGCUCACCAUGGAAAGAUGAACGGGUCUCCGGAAUCCUCAAAUCUGCAGCCAACCUUAUUGAUUUAAAUCUAUACUCAUACUCACAGUUUUGGUUCUGUAGGUCAUAGAUCUGGCCCUGGAGUUGAUCAACCCUAUCAUAGAGCCUGGAGAGAUGCUUCCCAAUAUCAUUGGCAUCAAUCCUGUGCUUGUUGGUGAACUCCGUGAUCAUCAUGUGGUUGGCGGUGAGUCCACGCUCCACCAUCCCUUGGCACUUGAAGACUUGUUGCUCCAUUGCUUCGAGCCUCGUCUCCAUGCUUCCGGUCUUCUUAGGCCCCUCAACAUCACGGAUGUGCAACAUCCCCUCACGCAUCUCUAUAGAUUGAGGGUGUUGUAGCACUUCCGUGAGGUAGGGAUUGAUGACCUUCUCUAAGAUCUUGUCCUUUGGAGCUUUUGGGGAAGUCAUGGCGAUCUAGAUCUGCAACAGAAACAGGCUCGAAACGGAAAACAGUGGAAAUCUGCGUGAUGCAGGGGUCAGAACAAGCGGAAGUAUAUAUAAUGAUUUUUUUCCAGACCAGAAGGAGUAUCCUGCACGAAAACGGAGUCCGGGAGGCGCACGAGGUGGCCACAAGCCCUCACGGCGCGGCCAGGGGGUGGGCCCGCGCUGUGCAGGCUUGUCGCCUACUCACGCACUUUCCGGACUACUUCCAAUUUAUGUAUUUUUUCUAAUAUUCCAAAACGGAGAAAAUUUCCUAUGGGGAACGUUUUGGAAUGUGUUUUCUUACCGAAUCUCAUACCUCUUCGUUUUCGGAGUAUGAAACAGGUUGAUAAAUGUCCCUUAGGUAUUCUUCCGGAGUUAUGGUAUUGAUGAUAUUGCUUUCAACAUUUAUGGGAGUACCUGAGAUAUAAUGCUUGAUUCUCUGCCCAUUUACCACUCUCGGAUAAUUACCUUCCAUGUUGUUGAUCUUGAUAGCACCGGAACGAUAUACUUCCUCAACAACAUAGGGACCUUCCCAUUUAGAGAGAAGCUUGCGUGCAAAGAAUCUUAAACGAGAGUUAUAUAGCAAGACAUAAUCACCUACAUUGAACUCACGCUUUUGUAUCCUUUUAUCAUGCCACCUCUUAACCUUCUCUUUGAAAAGCUUGGCAUUCUCAUAUGCCUGAGUUCUCCACUCAUCAAGCGAGCUAAUAUCAAAUAACCUCUUCUCACCGGCAAGUUUGAAAUCAAAGUUGAGCUCUUUGAUUGCCCAAUAAGCUUUAUGCUCUAGCUCAAGAGGUAAGUGACAUGCUUUCCCAUACACCAUUUUGUACGGAGACAUGCCCAUCGGAUUCUUAUAGGCAGUUCUAUAAGCCCAUAGUGCAUCAUCGAGCUUCUUAGACCAAUUCUUUCUAGACCUAUUGAUAGUCUUUUGCAGAAUUAGUUUAAUCUCUCUGUUGCUUAGCUCUACUUGACCACUGGACUGAGGGUGGUAGGGAGACACAAUUCUAUGGUUGACAUCGUACUUAGCAAGCGUUUUACGGAAAGCACCAUGAAUGAAGUGUGAACCACCGUCGGUCAUUAGAUAUCUAGGGACUCCAAAUCUAGGGAAGAUAACUUCUUUCAGCAUCUUGAUAGAGGUGUUGUGAUCAACACUACUAGUGGGGAUAGCUUCUACCCACUUAGUGACGUAAUCAACAAUAACUAAGAUAUGCGUAUACCCGUUGGAUUUUGGAAAAGGCCCCAUAUAAUCAAAGCCCCAGACAUCAAAUGGUUCAAUGACAAGUGAAUAGUUCAUAGGCAUUUCCUAACGUUUGCUAAUAUUACCUAUUCUUUGACAUUCGUCACAAGACAAGACAAACUUACGGGCAUCCUUGAAGAGAGUGGGCCAAUGGAAACCUGAUUGCAAUACCUUGUGUGCAGUUCUAUCUCCCGCAUGGUGUCCCCCGUAGGCCUCGGAGUGGCACUUCUGUAGGAUCUGUUCCUGUUCAUGUUCAGGUACACAACGUCUAAUAACACCAUCUAAUACUUCCUUAUAAAGGUGAGGAUCAUCCCAGAAGUAAUGUCUCAAGUCAAAGAAGAAUUUCUUCUUUUGCUGGUAUGUGAAACUAGGUGGUAUAUAUUUGGCAACGAUAUAGUUUGCAUAAUCAGCAUAGCAUAGUGCACUACGUGAAGCAUUGAUGACAUUCAAGGGAAAGCUAUCAUCAAUAGGUUGUGGGUCAUCAAGAACAUUCUCCAACCUAGACAAGUUAUCUUCUACUGGGUUAUCAGCACCCUUUUUGUCGACAACGUGCAAAUCAAAUUCUUGUAGCAAGAGAACCCAUCUGAUAAGUCUAGGUUUAGCGUCCUUCUUCUCCAUGAGGUACUUAAUAGCAGCAUGAUUAGUGUGAAUAGUGACUUUGGAAUCAACUAUGUAAGACCUGAACUUUUCACAUGCAGACACGACUGCUAAAAAUUCCUUCUUCGUAGUGGCAUAGUUUCUGUGGGCAUUGUCUAGAGUUUUACUAGCGUAGUGAAUAACAUUCAACUUCUUAUCAACUCUUUGCCCUAGAAAAUCACCAACAUCAUAAUCGCUAGCGUCACACAUGAUCUCAAAAGGUAAGUUCCAAUCAGGUGGUUGAACAAUAGGUGCAGUUAUCAAAGCCCUCUUAAGUGUUUCGAAGGCUUCCUCACAAUCAUCGUCGAAGACAAAAGGGAUAUCCUUUUGCAAGAGAUUGGUAAAAGCCCUAGAAAUCUUAGAGAAGUCUUUAAUGAACCUUCUAUAGAAACCAUCAUGACCAAGGAAGCUUCUUAUACCUCUGAUAUCUGUGGGGUAUGGCAUUUUCUUGAUUGCAUCAACCUUAGCCUUAUCGACUUCAAUACCUCUUUCAGAAAUUUUAUGUCCUAAGACGAUGCCUUCAUUAACCAUAAAGUGGCACUUCUCCCAAUUCAAGACAAUAUUGGUGUCUUUACAUCUCUAUAAGACUUGAUCAAGGUUGCUGAGGCAAUCGUCAAAGGAAGACCCGUAAACGGAAAAGUCAUCCAUGAAAACCUCGACAAUCUUUUCACAAAAGUCAGAGAAUAUAGCCAUCAUACAUCUUUGAAAGGUGGCAGGUGCAUUACAUAAGCCAAAAGGCAUACGUCUAUAAGCAAAGGUACUGAAAGGGCAGGUGAAAGGGGUCUUCUCCUGAUCAGAUUGUGCAACUGGUAUUUGGGAGAAACCAGAAUAACCGUCUGGAAAGCAGAAGUGUGUGUGUUUGGACAACCUUUGUAGCAUUUGGUUGAUAAAAGGCAAAGGGUAAUGAUCUUUCCUAGUGGCCUUAUUCAACUUCCUAAAAUCAAUCACCAUCCCAUAGCCAGUAAUAAUCCUCUAUGGGAUCAACUCAUCCUUAUCAUUAGGGACAACGGUGAUGCCUCCCUUCUUAGGAACGCAAUGCACCGGACUCACCCAAUCGCUGUGAGCAACAGGAUAGAUAAUACCCGCUUCUAGGAGCUUCAAUAUUUCUUUUCUUACUACUUCUUUCAUCUUAGGAUUCAAUCUCCUUUGAUGAUCAUCAAGUGGUUUGAAUUUAGGAUCAGUUUUAAUCUUGUGCUGGCAUAGAGUAGGACUAAUGCCCUUAAGAUCAUCAAGAGUAUAUCCAAUAGUAGCACGGUGCUUCCUCAAAGUUUUUUAGUUGCUUCUUUUCUUCAUGCUCCGAGAGGCUAGCAGUAAUUAUAACAGGAUAUAUCUCUUUUUUAUCAAGAUAGGCAUACUUAAGAGUAUGAGGCAACUGUUUAAGCUCGAACACAGGAUCACCCUUUCUUGGGGGUGGAUCCCCAAGCAGUUCAAUAGGCAAGUUAUUCUUAAGGAUAGGAUAUUGUUCUAAGACAACUCUAUCUAUUUCAUCCCUUUCAUCCAUAUGCAUAUCAUUUUCAUGCUCAAGCAAGUAUUGCUCUAAUGAUCAGUAGGAGGCACGGCAAUAGAGGCUAAGGCAGUAGUUUCAUCUCUACUAGGCCACUCCUUUUCAUGAGGUUGUCUACCAAACUUAGAGAAACUGAACUCAUGUGACGCUCCUUCAAAGCCAACAGUGACAUUUUGCUUCUCACAGUCAAUAUGAGCAUUGGCGGUAUUGAGAAAAGGUCUACCAAAUAUGAUGGGACAAAAGCUAUCUUGUGCGAUAGCAAGAACGAGGAAAUCAACAGGAUACUUCAUUUUACCACACAAGACUUCAACAUCCCUAAGAAUUCCCAUAGGGCAGAUAGUAUCUCUAUUGGCAAGCUAAAUAGUGACAUCUAUAGGUUCUUUCUCAACAGGUGCAAUCUCAUCUUUGACUUCAUCGUAUAAGGAUUGAGGUAUUGCACUAACACUAGCACCCAAGUCACAUAAGCCAUGAUAGCAAUGAUCUCCUAUCUUAACAGAAACCACAGACAUGCCAACAACAUGCCUAUGUUUGUCUCUAGCGUGAGGUUUAGCAAUUCUAGCAGCAUCUUCACAGAAGUGAAUAUUAUGUCCCUCAACUUCUUCAGACAGAAGAUCUUUGAUAAUCGCAAUGCUAGGUUCAACUUUAAUUUGCUCAGGGGGUGUAGGUGUUCUAAUAUAGCCUCUACGUAUCACAGUUGAAGCUUUAGAAUGAUCCUUUAUCCUAACAGGGAAAGGUGGUUUCUCAAUGUAAGCACUGGGAACAACAUGAUCACUAUAGGCAAUGACUUUCUCUUCAACUGGAGUGGGUUUAACUACAUUGACUUCUAAAGGAGGAUGAUAUUUAAACCACUUCUCUUUGGGGAGAUCAAUAUGAGCAGCAAAGGAUUCACACAAUGAAGCUACUAUCUCAGAGUCAAGUCCAUACUUAGUGCUAAAAUCACUAAAGGUAUUUGUCUCAACAAACGAUUUAACGCAAUCAAACGUGAAAUUCAUACCUGACUCCUUACCUUCUUCAAGCUCCCAAUCUUCAGAGUUGCGUUUAAUUCUCUCCAAUAAAUUCCAUUUGAAGUCAAUAUCUCUCUUCAUAAAAUAACCGAUACAAGAAGUGUCAAGCAUGGUGCGAUCAUCAUGAGAAAGCCAAGCAUAGAAGUUCUGAAUGAUAAUUUCUCUCGAGAGCUCAUGAUUGGGGCAUGAAUAUAGCAUUGAUUUAAGCCUCCCCCAAGCUUGAGCGAUGCUUUCUCUGUCACGAGGCCAAAAAUUGUAAAUAUAAUUUCGAUCACGAUGUACUAAAUGCAUAGGAUAAAACUUUUGAUGAAAUUCCAAUUUCAACCGAUUGUAGUCCCAUGAUCCAGUAUCAUCACAUAGCCUAUACCAUGUCAACGCCUUAUUAUUCAAAGAUAAAGGAAAUACCUUCUUCUUGACCUCAUCCUCGGGCACACCUGCAAGCUUAAAUAAACCACAAACUUCAUCUACAUAGAUAAGAUGCAAGUCUGGAUGUGAUGUUCCAUCUCCUGUAAAAGGAUUAGCCAGCAGUUUCUCAAGCAUACCCGAAGGAAAUUCAAAGCAAAUAUUUCUAGUAGGUGCAGCAGGUUGAGGAGCAACCAUUCCUGCUUUCGUUCGAGGUGAAGAUACCCCGAACAAGCCCCUCAAAGGAUUAGUAUCCAUAGUGACAAGUGACAAUAAAUUUCAGCAUCUAUAUGAAUGUUUCCUUACCAAGUUCCACUUACCAAAGGCGCUUCACUCCCCGGCAACGGUGCCAGAAAAGAGUCUUGAUGACCCACAAGUAUAGGGGAUCAAUCAUAGUCCUUUCGAUAAGUAAGAGUGUCAAACCCAACGAGGAGCAGAAGGAUCUGACAACUGGUUUUUAGCAAGGAAAUAUAUGCAAGCACUCAAAUUGUCGGUAACAAGUGAUUGUGUGGUGAGAUGAUUCGUAGCGAGCAACAAGUAACAAAAGUAGCAAUGGUGCAACAAAGUGGCCCAAUCCCUUUUGUAUCAAGGGACAAGCCUGGACAAACUCUUAUAUGAGGAAAAACGCUCCCGAGGACACACGGGAAUUUCUGUCAUGCUAGUUUCAUCAUGUUCAUAUGAUUCACGUUCAUUACUUUGAUAGUUUGAUAUGUGAGUGGACCUGCGCUUGGGUACUGCCCAUACUUGGCCAAGCAUCCCACUUAUUAUUAAGUCCUUCGCAAGCAUCCGCAACUACGAAAGAAGAAUUAAGACAAAGUCUAACCAUAGCAUUAAACUAGUGGAUCCAAAUCAGCCCCUUGCGAAGCAACGUAUAAACUAGGGUUUAANCCAAUCGGAGUCGCGAGACGGAGAUUGGUUACAAGUGAUGAACUAGGGUUUGGAGAUGAGAUGUUGCUGAUGAAGAUGUUGAUGGUGACGAGUCCCCUCCGAUGAGAGGAGUGUUGGUGAUGACGAUGGCGACGAUUUCCCCCUCCGGGAGGGAAGUUUCCCCGGCAGGAUCGUCCUGCCGGAGCUCUAGAUUGGUUCUGCUCAAGUUUCGCCUUGUGGCGACGGCGAAACCACGAAAAAGCUCCCGUCUGAUUUUUUUUCUAGACGAAACCCUCCAUAUAGCAAAAGAGGGGGGCAAGUGGGCCAGCAGGGUGCCCACAAGCCCCCAUGGCGCGGCGUGGGGGGUGGCCGCGCCGUGCAGGCUUGUGGCCACACCGUGGCACCCCUCUGGCGCUUCUUCAGCCUAGUAUUUUUCAUAAAUUGGGAAAAAAAUCUCCGUUGAUUUUCACGGCGUUUGGAGUUGCGCAGAAUAGGUAUCUCAACUUUGCUCCACUUUCAAGCCAGAUUUCCAGUUACCGGUAUUCUCCCUCUUCAUGUAAACUUGCAAAAUAAGAGAGAAAAGGCAUAAGAAUAGUACCGUGAAGUGAAAUAACAGCAAAAGAAGCGAUAAAUAUCAACAUGAAAACAUGAUGCAAAAUGGACGUAUCAACUACUACCCAAUGCACAGCACUUCCUUGGCAUCCAUUCCUCGUCAUUGUGCAGUUUGACAGGAAGUGCAUUUCAAUUCAGUGCAUAUUCGGUGCUCGUGGAAGAAGUCCACUAUGGUUGCUCUUGAGGUUUCCUUGUUUUUGCAGGAGAGAUGAGUGCUCCAUACUCCGCGCCCCAUCCCCAUGGUCCGUGCACCUUCCCUGGAGUCAAUGUUGUUCGUGGGCACAAGGGAUGCAGUCCAUAUGUUGAGGUACUGCAGUGCGCUCGGCGUGCGUGCGACGACAGCCCCAUUGCAGGAAGUGACAUGCUGCUCCUUGCCUGCCAUCCCAUUCCUGUGCUACAGAAGGAAAGCUCCCAUCGUCUCCAUGUAGUUCGCCCCCCGUCAUUGACACCAUGGGUUGUGUGCGACAUGUAGUGCCCUGAUUGCAAAAAAAUAGCUUAUGGCCACUUGGUUUGAAGGAAAGUGCAUGUCACCGUAAGAGCGGUUCACCAAGAGAAGUUCAUUUUUCUUUCUUUUUAUUGUUGUUUGUAAUUAUUAAAAGAUUGGUUGCAGUUCUUUGUAAGAAGCACUGUUGUUUGAUUUGUAAAGAGAAUCGACGGGGUAGUUCCUUCCAUUAGCACGGAACAAAAGUAAAAAACAUUGAAAGAAGUAAAAAAGAUGCAGUCUACUAGUGUACUGCUUGCGUCUCGUGUGUGAAGUUUUUUUACUCUGGUGGAUACAACAAAAAACAUGCAAUUUAUUUCGAUUUGGGUCGCGGCUCACUUCUGUCUUGCUAAAUAUUGAUAAUUAUGCAGUUCUCUUUGUCGACAUUACGGUGGAGUUUUAUUUCUGAUGCCUUUCACUCCGUCGAUUUUGUGUCACAAAAAGCAGAAUGAAAAAGGACAAACACAACUCAUGAAGUUAGCUUGCCCAUCAGAUGCAGUGCGGUCUUCAGUACGAUGCAGUGGAUUCCUGUGUCACAUGCGGUUCAUGCGUCGAUUUUGGUCUCGUGAAAAUAGAGUGACCGCAUUUUGGAAUUUCAAUUUGCUCUUAAAUCGUAAGGAAUUUGUGCCUCGUUGAUAUCUUUCCCACUCUGUAUCAUUUGCAUCAUUCCGACGAACGGUUUGGAAAAAUACGAAAAUACGCUCGCUGCAACUCGUAUACAACAACACCGUUUUCAAAAUUCCUCUAAAAUUGUGAGGAAUAUCAACAAGUGACCAACAUAUGAAAGUUGCGCCUAUUCCACAGAUUUCCAACGUCGUAUCAUACGUCUCAUUCCGACGAAUGGUUUUAAAACUACAGCGAAAAACAUACCGAAAAAACAAAAAAAAUUCAAAAAACAGAAUUCCGUUUUUAGUAAUUUUGAAAUUAAUCUCAAACGGUAAGGAAUUAGAGAGAGUAAUCUACAUGAAAAAGAUGCGUCUCGAUGAUACAUUUCCAACACCAUAUCGUUUUCUUCAUUCCGAUGGGCGGUUUAGAUUUUCUUUUGAAAAUACGCUCGCUGCAGUCCAUCAUGCGUCCACCAUUUUCGAAACUGCUCUCAAACCGCGAGGAAUCCCGAAAAAUGUUCAACAUGACAGAGUUGGAGAUUUUUCGUAGCAAUCCAAUGGUUUAUUAUACACGUCAUUCCGACAAACAGUUUAAAACCUCGAGCCAAAACGGUUUCGAAAUAGCGCGUGUAGAUUUUUCCGGUGACAUUGCAGUGUUUCGUUUGAUAGGGAUGCACUGCACUAACGUUGAACGUGCAGUUGGGAAUUGUGUGCAGAAUAACUAUUUUGCUAAUAUUAGCAAAAUAGACAGGUUGUAUAUAUAUAUAUAUAUAUAUAUAUAUAUAUAUAAAAUCUUAUCUCAUACGUUAAAAGAGACCGUAAAAAAAUAGAUGGUCAUCGUAAAAAAUAUUUUAUGUCACGUAAAAUUACAAACAUAAAAACAAAGUGUAAAUUAUACAUAAAAUGCGAUUUUUCUGGUCUUAUGAUCUAUAUUUUUAUUUUCUUAUGGCAAGUUUUCCGUAGUUAAUCAUUAUAAAUGUAUCUAUUUGCAUUUAAAAUUUAAUUUAUUUAUUAAAUGGUCGUAAAAUUACCUCGAGUGAGGAAUAAUUUAUUCUGCACCCUGGGUGAUGAAUAGAGUUUCUCUCUCUCUCUCUCUAUAUAUNNNNNNNNNNNNNNNNNNNNNNNNNNNNNNNNNNNNNNNNNNNNNNNNNNNNNNNNNNNNNNNNNNNNNNNNNNNNNNNNNNNNNNNNNNNNNNNNNNNNNNNNNNNNNNNNNNNNNNNNNNNNNNNNNNNNNNNNNNNNNNNNNNNNNNNNNNNNNNNNNNNNNNNNNNNNNNNNNNNNNNNNNNNNNNNNNNNNNNNNNNNNNNNNNNNNNNNNNNNNNNNNNNNNNNNNNNNNNNNNNNNNNNNNNNNNNNNNNNNNNNNNNNNNNNNNNNNNNNNNNNNNNNNNNNNNNNNNNNNNNNNNNNNNNAUAUAUAGAGAGAGAGAGCACCUAGGUGCCUAGGCUAACAACUGCCCUUAAGAACUUAUUCUAACACCACUACCUUAUUCUAACAACACUCCCCACCCACCAUAGCUACAAAAUAACCACGUAAAAAGGAGAACCCACCCACCUUAUCCUCUCCUCAACCAGUCCUCUCUCUCCCCUUCCCCACAACCGCACGACCUCCACCUCCUAGUGCUGCCAGCCACCUCUUCCCCGCGCUAUCGAAACAGGCCCACCAGCCCCACCCUCCCACUCGGCGACAUACUGAUGUCUACUACACAACUUUAUUCUUGUAGACUCGUGUUGGGUCUCCAAGCACAGAGUUUUGUAGGACAAUAGCAAUUUUUCCUCCAGUGGAUGACCUAAGGCUUAUCAAUCCGUGGGAGGCGUAGGAUGAAGAUGGCCUCUCUCAAACAACCCUGCAACCAAAUAAUAAAAAAUCUCUCGUGUCCCCAACACAUCAAAUACAAUGGUAAAUUGUAUAGGUGCACUAUUUCAGUGAAGAGAUGGUGAUACAAGUGUAGUAAUGAUAGUAGAUAUUGAUUUUGUAAUAGUAACAAUAAAAAACAGCAAGGUAGCAAGUAACAAAAGUGAGAACAAACGGUAUUGCAAUGCUUAAAAACAAGGCCUAGGGUCUGUACUUUCGCUAGUACAAUUUCUCAACAAUGCUAAUAUAAUUGGAUCACAUAACAAUCCCUCAACGUGCGAUAAAGAAUCACUCCAAAGUUCCCAUCUAGCGGAGAACAUAAGAAGAAAUUGUUUGUAGGGUACGAAACUACCUCAAAGUUAUUCUUUCCGAUCAAUCUUUCCAAGAGUUUGUAUUCGAUCGAUCUAUCCAAGAGUUUGUACUAAAAUAACGGAAUAACAAAUUUAUAUUCAUAAUACUCAAUCCAACACAAAGAACCUCAAAAAGUGCCCCAAGAUUUCUACCGGAGAAACAAAGAAGAGAAUGUGCAUCAACCCCUAUGCAUAGGUUACCCCAAUCUCACCUCGGGAAUCCACAAGUUGAGUGCCAAAACAUAUAUCAAGUGAAUCAAUAUGAUACCCCAUUGUCACCAAGUGUAUUCAUAUCAAGACAUAAAUCAAGUGCUCUCAAAUCCAUAAAAGUAUUCGAUCCGAUAAGACGAAAUAUCAAAAGGAAAACUUAAUUCAUCACAACAAGAUAGAGAGGGAGAAACACCAUAUGAUCCAACUAUAUAAACAAAGCUCGCAAAACAUCAAGAUCGUGCCAUCUCAAGAACAUGAGAGAGAGAGAUUAAACACAUAUGAAAGGACGUGGAUGUCGCCUAGAGGGGGGGUGAAUAGGCGCUUUAAAAUAAUUAAGGUUUAAGCUUGAACAAAUGCGGAAUAAAACUAACGUUUAAUUUGUCAAGCACAAAACCUACAAACAACUAGGCUCACCUAUGUGCACCAACAACUUAUGCUAAGCAAGAUAAACAACUAAGUGAUAGCAAGAUAUAUUACAAUAAACAAUAUGUCUAUCACAAAGUAAAGUGCAUAAGUAAAGGGUUCGGGUAAGAGAUAACCGAGGCACGGGGAGAUGAUGAUGUAUCCCGAAGUUCACACCCUUGCGGAUGCUAAUCUCCGUUGGAGCGGUGUGGAGGCACAAUGCUCCCCAAGAUGCCACUAAGGCCACCGUAAUCUCCUCACGCCCUCGCACAAUGCAAGAUGCCGUGAUUCCACUAAGGGACCCUUGAGGGCGGUCACCGAACCCGUACAAAUGGGAAACCUUGGGGGCGGUCACCGAACCCGUACACGUGGCAACCCUUGGGGGCGGUUACCCGUACCCGUACAAAUUGCUCGGGGCAAUCUCCACAACCUAAUUGGAGACCCCGACGCUUCUCGGAGCUUCACACCACAAUGAUUGAGCUCCGAGACACCACCAAGCUUCUAGGACGCCAAAGCAUCCAUGAAGAACAAUAUCUAGGGUACUAAGUACCAAAGGUANNNNNNNNNNNNNNNNNNNNNNNNNNNNNNNNNNNNNNNNNNNNNNNNNNNNNNNNNNNNNNNNNNNNNNNNNNNNNNNNNNNNNNNNNNNNNNNNNNNNNNNNNNNNNNNNNNNNNNNNNNNNNNNNNNNNNNNNNNNNNNNNNNNNNNNNNNNNNNNNNNNNNNNNNNNNNNNNNNNNNNNNNNNNNNNNNNNNNNNNNNNNNNNNNNNNNNNNNNNNNNNNNNNNNNNNNNNNNNNNNNNNNNNNNNNNNNNNNNNNNNNNNNNNNNNNNNNNNNNNNNUCACUUCCACGUAUCACCGUGGAGAACUCAAACCGAUGCAACUAAUGCAAUGGCAAGAACACACGAAGUGGUCAAGUCCCUCACACUCAAAUCCCUCCACAAAGCUAUGGAGAAAUAUGAGAGGAAGAACAAGGAGCUCACAAAGAACUCCAAGAUCUAGAUCCAAGGGGUUCCCCUCACAUAGAGGAGAAAGUGAUUGGUGGAGAUGUGGAUCUAGAUCUCCUCUCUCUUUUCCCUCAAGAACAAGCAAGAAUCAUUGGAGGGAUUGAGAGUAAGCAAGCUCUAAGAAUGUCAACAAUGGAGGUAGAACAAGAACUCAACAGAUGGAUGAGACCAAGGGGGAAGAAGACCCCCUUUAUAUAGUGGGGGAAGGAAUCACACAGUUGCCCCCACUUACAGCCCGAGCCGAGCGGUACUACCGCUGGCUCCAGCGAUACUACCGCUGACCCUCCGGCGGUACUACUGCUGGCUGCAACGAUACUACCGCUGACCCUCCUGCGGUACUACCGCUGAGCCCAUGGUAGCGCAAAGAUACUACCGGGCCAACCACCGCCAAGAAAGUCUUCGCAAAAAUGUCCGACGCAGUACAACCGCAAAGAUGACGGUACUAAAAUCUUGGAGCGGUACUACUGCUGACCAUGGGCGGUACUACCGCUGGGACAACGGUACUACCGCCAGCUCUAGCGGUACUACCGCUAGGGCCAGCGGUACUACCGCCAACUCUAGCGGUACUACCGCUAGGUCCAGCGGUACUACCGCUCGCCACUGAAACAGCCAUAACUUUCGCAUACGAGCUCUGAAUCGAGCAAACCCAAGCUUGUUGGAUUCAGGACGACAAGAGCUAUCCAAACAGCGAUGUAUAAGAUUCAGGACGAAAUCUUAAGACCAUGCAGAUAUGAAAAUGCCAGUGAUAUAGAGAUGUGAGUCCUCUGUGAUUGAAGAACCGGCAAAAACUCCAACAUCGAAAACAUCAUAGUAGAUGCAUAUGGACUCCGUUUUCGAUGAACUCGAGAUUGUCAUGAAGAUGACCAUAAACUCUAAAACUCACAAAGAGAAACACCAAACAAGAACCAAGAAGUAUGAUGCAAGGAUGCAAAUGGUUUGAGCUCUCAAUGAACGAUACGAUCAAGCUACUCACUUGAGAGCCCCCCUUGAUAGUACAACAAUCUAUCCUAAACAGAAAACCUAUCAAGGGCAAACCUAUACCUUGCACCUCGUCCUCUUGAGCUAGAUGAUGAUGAUCUUGGCUUCCUCAAGAUGGACCACCUUUCUUGAUUGCGUUGGCUUGAUGAAGACUAGUUGAUUGCUCCCCCAUACUCACUAUGGGUGAGCCACUCUUCAGCAUAUCUUCACAAGUCCAUUGCCACCACAAUGGACGGCAAGCUUCAAGCAUGAUAUCUUCGUGCUGAUCCACUUUAACAUGCAAACCGCAAUCUUGAUGACAAUCACCACUUGACGUCAUCCUUCAUGGGUUGUAUGAGAUCUUCCUCUAGACGCAAGCCCAUGGAAACACACCUAACCCCCACAUAGAACCCUCACAAAGACCAUGGGUUAGUACACAAAUACGUACUGGGCAAUGCUUACCAUACCAUGGGAUCACUUGAUCCCUCUCGGUACAUCUUGUACGCUUUGUGUGUUGAUCAUCUUGAUUUACUCUUUGUAUGACGAUCUUGAUCAACCUUGUGUCUCUAUGACCAUUCUUUGGAUAAUACCGUGAAUACCACCUUGGUCAUCAUAUAAACUCCUUGAACCCAACAGAUGGACUUCAAGAAGUGCAUAUGGACAAAUCCUAUAAAUAUAACUUAAGGCAACCAUUAGUCCAUAGGAAUUGUCAUCAAUUACCAAAACCACAUAUGGAGAUAUAUGCUGUAACAACAUAGCUAUUGGUACAAACCCACAGCCCCGAGGAUGGACUACUCCCUCCUCAUCAUUGUGGCUACCGGGAUGAUGAAGAUGGCCACCGGAGAUGAUCUCCCCCUCGGCAGGGUGCCAGAACGGGCUCCCGAUUGUUUUUUCAUGUCUAUAGAGGCUUGCGGUGGCAAACCUUAUCAUCUAGGGUUAUUUCUGGAGGUUUCUCUAUUUACAUGAAUUUUGGUCGUUGGAAUAACGCCAAGAUGGGACACGAGGUGUCCACUAGGUACCAGGCCAUGCCAGGGGGGCAGGCGCGCCCUGGUGCCUAGUGGGCAGCCUGGGCCUCUUCUGGUUAGCUUCCUUGGUCAGCUGGAUGUCUCGUGGGCAGAAAAAAUCUCCAAAAAGUUUCGUGACAUUUGGACUCCAUCUGCUAUUGAUUUUCAGCGAAGGAAAAAACAACAAUUGGCACUCGACACUAUGUCCAUUGGUUAGUCCCAAAAAAUGAUAUAAAGUUGCUAUAAAAUGAUUGCAAAACAUCCCAGAAUGAUAAUAUAACAGCAUGGAACAAUAAAAAAUUAUAGAUACGUUGGAGACGUAUCAUCAUCCCCAAGCUUAAUUCCUGCUCGUCCUCGAGUAGGUAAAUGAUAGAAACAUAAUUUUUGAUGUGGAAUGCGGACUAACAUGUUCAUCAUAUUCUUUUCUUUAUAGCAUGGACAUAUGGACUUGUAGAUGAUUCAAAGCAGUAGUCUAUAAUUUGACAUGAACGCUAGUACUCAAGCAUAUCAAGAAGAAACCAAGUCUAUCAAUAUAUCAACGCUAAAGAACGCUAUCCCUAGCCCAUCAUGCUCAAUCAUAGAUCUAUUCAUGCAACACACACACAUGUUAGCUACAUCCAAUGCUCAAGUAUGAUGAUAGUGUUCCGUAGUUGGUGCUUUAUAAGAGAAGAUAGAUACUCACAUAAAAACUAAAAAUUGCAUAGAAGUAAAUUGAUAUGCGAGAUUUGUAGAGGCGCGAGAGCUCAAAGCUUAAAUUGAGAGAUACAAUUAUUUUGGGUGAAAUGCUUUUCCUGUCAACAAAAACGACUAAGAGUUCCCAAUAUCUUCCAUGCUAAAAAAUCAUAGGCGGUUCCCAAAUUCAAAAUAAAGCUUAUUUGAUUUUCCACCAUUCUUUCACACUCCACGGCUAUCCACAUCCAUGGGUACCGUCCAUACCAACAUUUCCAAAGGAAAUUAUUAUUUGACAACAUAAAAUAAUUUUUCUUUGCAUUUCGGGACCGGGCAUCCCUAUUACCGCCAUACUCUCGUGCAAUGACAAGUGAAUAAACACUCAUCUUGAGAUUAACAUAUUUCACAUGGAAGAUACCGACCACCCCUUACCGCAUCAUGAGCGGUACAUGCACACAUAACAGAAGUUUAUUUUGAAUAUUAGAGUUGGCACAUACAAAUUUACUUAGAACGACACUGAAAUACCGCAUAUAGGUAGGUAUGAUGGAUUGAUUUGGGACAACUUUGGGUUUAGGAUUUGGAUGCACAAGCAACAUUCUGGCUUAGUACAAGUGAAGGCUAGCAAAUAGAUUGAGAAGCGCCCAACCAAGGUACGAAAACUAUCAUAAGAGAACAUUAAACAUAACUAACACGGAAUAAUGCAACACAAGUAGGAUGUAGUUUCAUAGCAUAAUUAUCGACUUCAUGUGCAUGCAUAAGGAUUCACAAACCUUAACACCAAUAUUCUUACUAAAGCAUAAUUACUCAUCAACACAAAUCACAUAUCCCUAUCUUCAUAUCAUAGAAUUAUUGCAAAGAAUCAAGUUUAACAUCCAAUGAUCUUCAUGAAUGUUUUUAUUAUACCUCCCGUGGAUAUCUAUCACUUUGGGACCAAUUUAAUUUAAAGAAAAUUGCCAUUGUUAAUAACAAGCUCUCAAACAGAUAUAAGUAGAGAACGAGAGCACAAGUUUUUCAAAAACUUUAACUCUUAAAAUAAUAUAAGUGAAGGAAGAUAGGAUUUCUUCAAAGUUUCUACUAACUCUCAAAAUAAUCUAAGUGAAUCAUGAGAGCACUUUUCUUCAAAAUAACAACACCACCCUGCCCAAAAAAUAUGGGUUAUUUACUUCUAUGCCCCACUUCGCUUAGUUUUGCUUGUUUUUCCCCACUCGCUUAGCUUUUCUCGUUUUUGCCCUACUUCGCUCUAUCCACUCUAGCAGGUGGCCAAUUUUUGGUUGCUUAUUUUGAUUUAUGCAUCUCCACUUUGGCUGGACAAGUGUGCGGAUUGUUGUUGUACCUGAUCUGAAAUACAAUGAGAAGUAUAUGCUAGACAAUGGGAUUGAGAUCAAGCAAACAAUUAAGAAAAAAGUACCCAACAAAAAGUUACCUGAAUAGUCUUCUUCCCACGCAUACCAGUGGCAUGCAACUUUCAACUACACCUAGGAUCUGGGCAGUGCACCGUCAGCUUUCAUUUCUCAUUCUUCUCAGUGCCAUAAACAUUAUUGCUCUGAAUGCAAUACAUUGUAAGUGCAUUCCGAAGUUCAGCCAUAUUUUUGUAUACUACACCUGCAUUAAGAUUAGGAUUAUUUCUGUUCCAUUCAAUCUGUGGCAUGUCUUUGCCGUCAUAUUCCUCUUCAAUCAGCAUGUCAUUGUUCUCCUUCUCCUCUUCAGAACCAGUAUCUACAAAUGGAACGAGGCCCAAUUUUCUCGGAUGAUCCACAUGUUCAGGGAACAUCUUCUCAUCUUCAUCAUCGUUGGGAGGCACGACCUCAUCGGGCAACACAUCCACGUCUACACUGGUUGUAGUGGUUUGAAUUGCACCGCUAGUAAGUUUAGAUGGGUUGGGCCUAUGAGGUGUGGGUGGAAGUUCAGAAUUAGCAAACUUUGAUUUCUCAAGAGCCGCCCCUUUCCCGAUUCCUUUGGCAAUACUUUUAUUUUCUGAACCACUCUCACUACAAUUCUACCAAAGCGGCUAGUCAUGUUCUGAGCAAACAUACAACCUAUCUGCUCGUCAUUUUGUAGUGGGAAAAAUUGCUCAUCAAGUAUUUCCCAUUAUUUCACCUGAACUGAAUCACAUUCGGACCAAGCAUAUUUCAUACACAUUGCACCCAACAAAUCUUUGAAUGUACAAAUCGUCUCCACCACUAACGGAUACCAAAACCCCUUGGACGGUUCAUCCAAACCCAUAACAGAAGUUUCCAUUCUUACCACCAAACGAUAAGCACUCUGUUUGUUCAUCCUAUACCCAUUUAACGAACGAAAAUCAACAUACUAUUGUCAAUUCUCCCCGUAUUUAAUUGCAAAAUCACACAGAUGAGAGAUUCAUUACUUACUUCUGUGGAAUCCAACUGCUAUCGGAUCCCGGAAUGACCCAGACCUCGCCACGAUCAAUGGCGGAAGAAACGCUCGCCAUUGAUGCGUCGUCGCAGCUCACCUCAAGCGGAAGUAAUAGUGAGUGGCAGGGAAGGGCGGGGCGUGGCGGCUGUGGCUGUUGCGGCAAGUGGCUGUUGCGGCGGUCAGAUCUGCAGUGUGGUGGAUUCAAAAUGGGGCACGUCGAGUAGCUGUUGUGGCGGUUAGAUCGGGAUUGGCGUGGGGUGGAUUGAAAAUGAGGCCCCACGUAGGCCCCACCCCGAGCCCCACUCAUGAGCGCGAUUAGGUGCCCCAGGCCGACCCCACUAGUCAGGCCAAGUAACGGUCAAAGGAGGUUGACCCGACAGAAACGGUCGCUUGGCUGUAUGCGAGAGUGGGAUAGAGCGAAGUAGGGCAAAAACGAGGAAAGUUAAGCGAGUGGGGCAAAAACGAGCAAAGGGAAGCGAAGCAGGGCACAUAAGUAAAUAAUCCAAAAUAUAUAAGUGAAGUACUAGAGCAAUUCAAUCAAACUACUCUCAAAAGAUAUAAGUGAAGAUCAAUGAGUAGUUAAACAAUUAAGUAGAUAUGUGAGGACUAUCCCUCAAUAAAUAUUUUCAGAUAUGAUAUUCUAUUUCAAACAGUAAUAAAACAAAAGACACUCCAAGAAUAACACAUAUCAAGUGCACAUAUAAAAAAUUAGGCUCAACAUAGGCUAACCGAUAGUUGUUGAUGUAGAAAGGUGGGAUGCGUAGCAACCCCAAACUUAGAUGCUUGAGAUUUCUUGAAAUAUUUACUUGGGGUCCCUUGGGCAUCCCCAAGAUUUAGCUUUUGUAUCUUGUUCAAUCCUCUCAUAUCCAGGUUUCACCUAAGUCUCAAAAACUUCAUCCACACAAUACUUGAAAAGAACUCGUGAGAUAGAUUAGUGCACAUAAGUAUAAAUCAACUCUUUAUGUACUGACAAGACAAGUUACGUAAUAAUUUUCACACAUUAGGUACUGUAUAACAUCAUUUCCACAAUUUACAUCUACUAAUAUAAGCUAUGAAAACAAUAGGAUAAGUAGAUAACAAACUAUGGCAGCAAUUUGUCCAAACAAUAUAGUUUGUAGCAAUGUAUGUAAAAAGUGUACUUAUAUAUCUCCAAAAAUUCUGAACAUUUAGCACGCGCUAAAUAAUUUGUAUGAAAUUACUUUGUAAUUUUUUUAAAUACUUAGCAUGUUCCAGUAAAAUCUGAUAAUCCAAAUACUAUAAUGAAAGUUUCUGUUUUUGUACAACACACAUCACACAUGCAAUUCAAGCUUUCUAAAGGAAAAUCCUGGAACUUUUUAAGAAAAAUAAAAUUAUAAAUAACAUCUAACAUAUAAGUAUAAAACAAAAUGACUCCAAGCAAAACACACAUCAUGUGAUGAAUAAAAAUAUAGCUCCAAGUAAGAUAUAUCGAUAAUGCUGGAGAUCAAAGUUGGGAUGCCUUCCGGGUCAUCCCCGAGCUUAGACGCUUGAGUCUUCCUUGGAUAUUACCUUGGGGUGCCUUGGGCAUCCCCAAGCUUAGGUUCUUCCUGCUCCUUAUUCUCCUCAUAUUGGUAUCUCACCCAAAACUUGAAAACUUCAAUCACACAAAACUUAACGGAACUUCAUGAGAUGGGUUAGUAUGAUAAAUACACAUCAUUCACUUAGGUAAUGCCAAGACAAGAUUUAUAAUUGUUCUCACAUGAUUCCUACUCUAUUAUAUCAUUCUCAUAAUUUAUAUCACUCAAUAUAAUCUAUGGAAACACUAGAACAAGCAAAUUAUGCACGCAAAACAAAAUAUGUAAAAAACAGAACAAUGUGUGAUGAUCUGGAUGAAAACCACAUUUUACUAAUACUAAAAAUUCUGAAAAAAUAGGACAACGCAUAUAAUUUGCAGAAAAACUGUUUAAAAUUUUCAUAAUUUUUUGAUGCUUCGGUAAAAUUAGAGAAAUUCUGCACUUUACGCAAAUGUUUCUGUUUUUGCACAGAAUCAAACAAGCAAGUAUCCACACUAUCCCAAAGGCUUUACCUGGCACUUUAUUGAAAUAAAAGCUAUAAAACAUGACUAAUACAAUAUCUUAAUCAUGUGAACACAGAAAAACAAAAAGUAUAAGUGUUGGGUUGUCUCCCAACAAGCGCUUUUCUUUAAUGCCUUUUAGCUAGGCAUGAUGGUUUCAAUGAUGCUCACAUGAGAAUAGUAUUCGAAAGAUGCAAGAGAACAUCAUGAAUCACAUGACAAGAACAUUUAAGUCUAACCCACUUCCUAUGCAUAGGGAUUUUGCAAGCAAACAAUUUAUUGUAGCGGUAAUAAACUUGCAUAGGAAGGCAAAACAAGCAUGACUUCAAAACAUUGAACACACAGGGAGGAAACUUGAUAUUAUUGCAAUUCCUACAAGCAUAUGUUCAUACCUCAUAAUAAUUUUUCAGUAGCAUCAUGAAGGAAUUCAAUAGUAUAACUAUCACAUAAAGCAUUAUUUUCAUGAUGCAAAAGCAUAGAAUUUUUAUUACUACCCACACGAGCAAAAUUCUUAUCAUUAAUAGUAGUGGGAGCAAACUCAACAAAACAACUAUCAUGAGAUACUUGAUUCAUAUAAUCCAUGUGAAAAUUAAAAUCAUGAUGAAAAUUUUCAUGUUUUUUAUUAGAUUCUAUAACAUACAUGUCAUCAUCAUGAUCAUCAUAGAUCGCAACUUUGUUGUCAUAGUCAACUGAAGCCUCUUCCGAAAUAGUGGAUUCAUCAUUAAAUGAAGUCAAGACCUCUCCAUAUCCACUUUUGUUAUUAUGACAGUAAGAUUUAACACCCUCAAAAUUAGUGGGAUCAUUAGUACCUAGAAUUGACACUCUUCCAAACCAACUUUCAUCAAUAUAAUCAUCAUAACUAGGAGACAUGCUAUCAUCAUUAUAAAUUUGUUCAUCAAAAUUUGGGGGACUAAAAAUAACAUCUUCAUCAAACAUAACAUCCCCAAGCUCGUGGCUUUGCAUACCAUUAGCAUCAUAGAUAUUCGCAGAAUUCAUACCAACAAUAUUUCAACCAUUCUCAUCAUUUAUGCCAAAUAUUUUAUUGAAUUCUUCUUCUAUCAAUUGAGCACAAUUUUUCCUUUCCAUAAUUUUCCACAAAGAAAUGAUAAAGAGGAACAAUUAGUGACCACCUUAAUUCCAUUUUUUGUAAUUGUAUUUUUAUAAAACAAACUAGUGAUAAAACAACAAACUAAAAGAUUCAAUUGCAAGAUCUAAAGAUAUACCUUCAAGCACUCACCUCCCCGGCAACAACACCUGAAAAAAGGUUGAUGUCUACUAUGCAACUUUAUUCGUGUAGACUCGUGUUGGGCCUCAAGCGUAGAGUUUUGUGGGACAAUAGCAAUUUUACCUCAAGUGGACGACCUAAGGUUUAUCAAUCCGUGGGAGGUGUAGGAUGAACAUGGUCUCUCUCAAACAACCCUGCAACCAAAUAAUAAAAAGUCUCUUGUGUCCCAAACACACCAAAUACAAUGGUAAAUUGUAUAGGUGCACUAGUUCGGUGAAGAGAUGGCGAUACAAGUCUAAUAAUGAUAGUAGAUAUUUAUUUUUUAAUAGGCACAAUAAAAAACAUCAAUGUAGCAAGUAACAAAAGUGAGCACAAAUGGUAUUGAAAUGCUUAAAAAUAAGGCCUAGGGUCCAUACUUUCGCUAGUGCAAUUUUUCAACAAUGCUAAUAUAUUUGGAUCACGUAACAAUCCCUCAAUGUGCCAUAAAGAAUCACUCUGAAGUUCCUAUAUAGCAGAGAACAUAAGAAUAAAUUGUUUGUAGGGAACGAAACCACCUCAAAGUUAUUCUUUUCGAUCAAUCUUUCCAAGAGUUCGUACUAAAAUAACAAGUUAUCCUUUCCGAUCGAUCUAUCCAAGAGUUCGUACUAAAAUAAUACCAUAACAAAUUCAGAUUCAUAAUACUCAAUCCAAUACAAAGAACGUCAAAGAAUGCCCCAAGAUUUCUACCAGAGAAAAAAGACGAGAACAUGCAUCAACCCCUAUGCAUAAAUUACCCCAAUGUCACCUCAGGAAUAUGCGAGUUGAGUCCCAAAACAUAUAUCAAGUGAAUCAAUAUGAUACCCCAUUGUCACCACGAGUAUUCAUAGCAAGACAUAAAUCAAGUGCUCUCAAAUCCAUAAAAGUAUUCAAUCCAAUAAAACGAAAUUUCAAAGGGAAAACUCAAUUCAUCGCAACAAGAUAGAGAUGGAGAAACACCAUAUGAUCCAACUAUAUUAACAAAGCCCACAAUACAUCAAGAUUGUGCCAUCUCAAGAACACGAGAGAGAGAGAGAGAGAGAGAGAGAGAGAUUAAACACAUAGCUACUUGAAAGGAUCGAUAUGGUUGAAUAGAAGGGGGGUGAAUAAGCAACCAAAAUUUUUAAGCUUUUAUUUAACAAAUUAAGUUUAGCAACAAAUAGGUUGUCUAGAUAUGCAACUAAGUGAGCAACUUAUAUGAUGCUAGAAACAAUAAAAACAAGUAAGUAACAAAUACAAGUAAAUGUAAGAAGUAACUACAAGUGGGACCGAUGAAGACGAGGAUGUGUUUCUGAAGUUCCUUCCCUUUGAGGGGAAGUACGUCUGCGUUGGAGUGGUGUGGAGGCACAAUGCUCCCAAGAUGCCACUAAGGCCACCAUAUUCUCCUCACGCCCUCACACAAUGCGAGGUGCCGUGAUUCCACCAGUUGUGCCCUUGAAGGCGGCGACCGAACAUUUACAAACAAGGUUGGGGAAAUCUCCACAACUGAGGUGGAGGCUCCCAACGAAACCACAAAGCUUUACCACAAUGGAAUAUGACCUGAAGGUGACCUCAACCAUCUAGGGUGCUGAAACACCCAAGAGUAACAAGAUCCACAAGGGAUUGGUGGGGGGAAUCAAAUUUCUCUUGGUGGAAGUGUAGAUAAAGGCCCUCUCAAGCAAACCCUAGAGUAUCAACAAGUUCUGUUGGCUAGGAAGAGAGAUCGGGCGAAUAUGGAGCUUGGAGAAACAAUGGAGCUUAGGGUUAGGAAAGGUGGUCUUCUUGGGGAAUAAGAACCCCCUUAUAUAGUGGGGGAACGGAUCCAACCGUUACCCACUCCCUCAUCCUACAUCAGAGUGGUACUACCGCUCGAGGGAGCGGUACUACCGAUGAUAAGAGGUAGUACUGCUCCAGUGAGGAGCGGUACUACCGCUGGGGCAGAGGGCAGCAACCAAAGAGGGAGACAGAGGCCGGUAGUACAACCUUAGCGGUAUUACUUCUGCCAGGAGAGUUACUACCGCUUAUAAGAGGUAGUACCACCUCCUAUAUCCACCCAGGAUAUGCUGCGGACCUAGUCUACAAGUACCAAGGGGUUGUGGCGCGGUAAUAACAAGCGGUACUACUGCUCGCUGUGCGAUACUACCACCCUGCACUACCGCUCAAGAAACCGCUUAGUUCGACAUAAAAAGUGUCGAGACCCACGGGUAGCGGCACUAGCCAGCAGAACUAGAUAGACCACUUCUGCCCAUGAGCGAUACUACCGCCGACCAGGGUGGUACUACCUCUAAUAAGAGGUAGUACCGCUUGGAUCUUUCUAGGCAGGAUAGGGCAAGGAAGGAUUCUCCAUUGAGGCAGGAAAGAGGGUGCGAAGGAAUGUGUACGUGAUGAUUCCACACAAACCUUUAUGAAGCAGACCCCCUCUUAAUAGUAUGACUUCUCCUACCACUCAAGUCCACCGACAACGAAACGUAAGAGAGAAAACCGUCUUCAUAUAAUACAUCGAGGGGCUUGAAUCGUCUUGUGCCAAAUGAUGAAAUACAUAGAAGGCUUAGCGCAGACGAUUAGUCCGCAAACACAUUGUCAUCAAUCACCAAAACCACUAGGGUAGAAAUAUACCCUUACAAUCUCCCCCUUUUUGGUGGAUUGAUGACAACACGGGAUUUGCACAGAAGAUAUAUAUAAGAAAGAAUGCAAACCCCACUCUCUACAAAAUAUAGAUAGGUUGCCCCUAGAUGUGUGCACUAUUUAAGGAUGCUUUUGGAAUGCAAAGUGCACACACUAGGAUCAACACACACCCUAUAUUUUAUAGACAUACACUACUUGCACUAGGGGAAAUGAAAGUAAUAUAGAUGCAAGAACUGAUGUGAGCAUUAAUACUAGGGCACAAGAUAAGCAUCUCACAAACUUAAUACAUACGAUAAAAUUAAGAUAGCACAUGUAUCACACCAUAUGACGAAGUCUCACAAGAGUCCCACACACAUAAAAAAGCAAAGAAAAUGAUAAAAGAGUUCACGAGUGAAUAAAUAUGGGCAACGAAAAGAACACUCAUGACUCUCGCAAAUCCAAACUCUGUCCCCCUUUGGCAGCAAGACACCAAAAAGGACAUAGAGAACAAAGAGGAUCCAGGAAGGGCGGUGACGUUGCAGACGAACAUCAAUAUUCUCUAGACUCAUAGCUAUGAUGAACGGUUCCAGGAAGAACAGGAGAGCUAGGCAAGUUAGCAUCGGAAUCCCAUGGGCAGUGACGAGCAAUCCACGUGUCCUCAUCAGUGAGCUUGUCCCCAGAACCGCUCUUAGUCGUUAAACCAGCAUGCCUACCAAGAGCCUUGUGACAAGUGAUCACCACCUUUUCAGCCACAUGAGCUUGGUACCGACCCUUGGCCUGCAGACAUAAGAGCUUCUUCAUCUUCUCUUUGAGCUUCUUAGUCCAAGAUGGUUCUACAUUAGGGGGCACAACACGGGAAGCAGUGUCAUCUUCAGCCACAAAAUCAUCAUCAACCUCUUCCUCAUCAGAAUCAUCCUAAUCUUCUGUCACAUCCUUCUCAAGAGCAGUGUGAGUAGCUCACUUAUCCUUGUGACAAAGCUGAACCACUUUGUGUGAUACCAGCUCCCCACACUCAAACAUAAUAUCAGGAGAAGUCGUUGUCCAAGUUUUCUCAAUCAGAAGCAUCAGAAAGGGCCCAUAGAGGGGGCACUUACGCUUAGAAACAACAGAAUGAAGCUCAGACCACGUAACAUGAGAACCAUCCAAUGGCUUCACAUUAACCUUGAACUUAUGAAAUUCGCACAAAAGGAGCAUAUCCACCAAGUAUGAGUGUAACGCAUCCAGAUUCCAACACGAGGAAAGAGAGUGUGCCUGAAAAUAUGGUGCAUAAUGUCUAGGAAUGGUUCCAACACCAAGGUGGACUUGCCGGUGGUGGAGGAGAUCUUCUCAGUACUUUACUUGUACAUGGCUUGCUUGUGGGCUGGAGCCAUCUCUAUGUGGGGGUGGAAACCAAGAGGGUUCUCGAUUCCCUUGUCCUCAAUGUCGAGAAUAUUCAUAAAAGUCUUCCAGGGAGCAAAAAGUAACCCGUGGUUUGCCAUCCAAGUCAAAGUCCUGUCCUCAUAAGUUCCCACAUGCACCGUGGCAAAGAAGACAACAAUAAUCUUGACAUCAAAAUAUUUUUGGAACUGCAUAAUGUUGAGAAUGCACAACUUUUCACAUAGAGAAAGAGAAGUCCCGAAGUACCUGGCAUUUAGCUGCAAAUAUUCAACAUCAAUGGAUUUUACAUGUGGAACAUACAGGUUAUCGCUUGUCUUCAGAAUGUCAUUAUAGACUGAUAGUUUCUUCCUGUUCCAGAAGGGAUGGUUGCGCAUAGAUGGCUCCUCGGGUUCUCCAUGGGGAUAGGCCUUGCGGGACAUCCAUAAGUCCUUAGCAUUUAGAGUUGCCAUGGAUUGGGACUUCAAGGGCCUGACAGCAGAGCGCUUCCCCUUAGACUUGGAAGCUGCCUGACUAGCACUCUCUGCUUUAACAACCCCUACGGUUGACUAGAGCUAUCCGCCUCAGAUGAACGGUAACGUUUCAUGCUUCCAUGGUUGGAGUUCGUUCUUCGCUCCUGGUGAGCAGAGAUGCCACCUCCUGAGAUCCAAAACAAAACCAGAGGAGAACACGAGGGUAAAAGAUGUGCAUAAGUCAACAAGAAACCAAGAAACGGGAGAAGAAGGUGAUGGAAUCAGGAGGAAGUAUGUGUUCUUGGAAGCCUAGAGCGGUAGUACCGCUGCCAAGAGCGGUACUACCUAUUAUGGUUAGUAGUACCGCCCAUAGGAGCGGUAGUACCACUCAAGGCAUAGAACGCGGGGUGAAAACCACCACUGGUCAGAUCCGGAACUACCGGGAUGACAAGAGCACCCAAUUCCUACUAAGAACAUCAUGUCUACUCCCUAUCCGCCUUCCUCAUCCUACUCAUGCCGCUAUUUUUGACAAAAUAGGCGAGGGAUACAUCUCGCAUUGCUCAAAACCAAGAUAGGUCAAGGAAAAUUAAACCAAAAGGAGAGAAGAACGGGGGGCAAUAUCUGUAUCCAUGGGAAGAGGAAGGGGUGGGAAUCGAUUCCACCAGUUGGAAUCGCAAAAGAGCUGUCGAAGACGGAGAUCGGUGGAGGCCAUCGGAGCCCUUGGAUCGCAUGGAGAGAGAAACCCACGAGGAGGAGUGGGGAUGAAUGGUAUGUGGUGUGGAAAAUGGCCCUGCCCGUGCCCCAUAACCCCUUGUGGAUUCACAUAAGCAGUAGUACUGCUCUAGGAGCGGUAGUACUACUGCCAGGAGAGAUACUACCUCUUAUGAUCAGUAGUACUGCUCUAAGAGCGGUAGUAAUACCCGAGACAGCCCAAAAACGUUUCCAAAAACGUGGCACAAGCAGAGAAGAACAUUCUUGUUAACCCAAAGUGGCAUGAGACUGAAACACUGCCAUGAUGAAGGUGAUACCCCAAGUUAUGAAGAAAUAAACCAGAGAGAAAUCAACUUGGGGUUACACACAAGAAAUACAACAUGCUCUCAAGAAGAAAAUGCCUCGCUUAGGAGGGGGCGGUGGCCGAAGCCACCUAUGUUUGAGUCAAUUGGUAUGGCACUGGGAAGAUUUUAAUCUUGGGCCCAAGACCAAAACUCGUCUUUUGAAGUACAAGUGUCAUCUAAAUGACUGAUGCGAAAUACUUGAUCGAUUUAUGCAUAAUAGGGGAGGGAGCAUUCAUUGAGAGAACAACACUCCACCUAAUUCCAUGCCUACACCUAAACAAGAUAGUAUGAUGAGAGUGGAGGGGUGUGCCUAACUUCAAUUCACAUUGCUAAAAUCAAUUAUAUUCAGCUCAUGCCUUAACUUGCGAAAUCUUGCUUCAUUCAAUAGGUUCGUGAAAAUGUAUGCAAGUUGUUCAUUAGUGUUAAGGUAAAUGAGAUCAAUUUCCCCACGCUUGAUUUGAUCCCGAAUGAAACGGUGACGAAUACUAAUGUGCUUCGUCUUGCAAUGUUGAACUGGGUUGUUGGAGAUCGAGAUAGCACUUACAUUGUCACAAUAAAGAGGCACUUUGUCACAAGUGACACCGUAAUCCUUUGAAGUUUGCCUCACCCAUAUGAACUGAGCACAUCAACUUACAACAGCUACAUACUUUGAAGACCAACUUAACAGAGAGCGACCAAGGAAUUGGAAACUUCCGGAAGUUGACUUCCUCUCCACACGGUCUCCCGCCCAAUCCGAGUCGGAAUGUCCUAUGAGACCAAAUGAAGCACCUUUGGGAUACCAUAAGCUAAAGUUUGGGGUAUGAGCCAAAUAUCAAAAUAUUUGCUUGACCGCCACAUACUGGCUUUCCUUAGGUGCGGAUUGAAAACAAGCACAAAUUCCCACACUCAACAUAAUAUCCGGUCUAGAUGCACAAAGGUAAAGCAAAGAGCCAAUCAUAGAGCGAUAUACAUUUAGAUCCACAACUUUACCAUUGGGAUCGAGGUCAAGAUGGCAGUUGAGAGGCAUGGGAGUGUGUCGGUGACAGGACACCUAUGGGGGGCUCAACGAUCCCCUUUUGCUGGUUUGGCGGGGAGAGGGGUCGCGGCAAGAGCGUAACCAACACUCAGGGCCCAGCAAGAUCAGUUUUACCCAGGUCCAGGCCGCGUUGUGCAUAAAACCCUACUCCUCCAUGUGUAUAGUUAUUUGUAUUAGUUUACUGUAGAUCCGUCCCUCUUACAGCCUUUCGAUUGGUCAAAAAGCCAAAAGUCCUUUCUACUGAGCCUCGGGCGUCCUUUUAUAGGCGAAGGGGUCACCAUAGUGGCUCAGUGGGUGAAUGGUGGGUUCACGAGUGGAACAGUGCCGACCGCCCGCCACAGUGUUACUGUGGUGCAUUAAAUGCUUCGACAGACUUCCUGACCUUGUUAGGGGGUUUGACACGUACCCACACGUGGCAACUUCGGGGUGUUGCGCUGGUGUGUGGGCGGACACAUGGUCCAUGCAUCAGCGGUGGCGUGUUUGUCGGUGGAGGCGUUCUCAGGACGCGAAGGCGCCCUGGGUCCACGCCUCUCUUCGGGCCUUCUUUUCCUCCCCUGCAUGGUCACCUUCUGUGGAGAGGGGUGCCGGUGUCCGCGCACUAGUCCGGGGCACUGGAGACCCCGGUCUUUAGUGCACCGACAGGAGCCCCCGAGCCUGGUCCACACACGCAUGUGGGGCGUUGUUGGGCGAGGCCCAAAGCGGUGCGCGGACUUGCGGGCGCCGAGCUUAUCGGAAUUGAGCCAUUGCAGGCUUUCUUUCCCCACGUUGCGCAUUGAACGCACGAAGUGGGAAGGUGCACGGCGUGCGCGUGAUGGCCCCUUUAUUCCCCCAAAACGAUUCCGCCACGCAUUGGACAUGCGCAACGACGGUCGGGCAAGUGGAUAUCAUGGCCUCAAAAGCUGCGGGCAUGGAUGGGCCCGCCCGUGCAUGCAUUGGUGCAUCAGGGCGGUUCCAUGUUCCGCUCGUGACUUGAGGGCGAUUGGGCGAGAGGGGCGACGACUUCUCGAGCGAGGAGGGUGGCCUCCGAGCUUUGCCCUAUAAAUUAGUGUGAUUGCGCGGAGGUUUUGCCCAUACAUCUCAUUCUCAAAACCUUCAGCGCCUGUCGCCUUGUCUCUCUUGCUUAUUUUCAUCUUUGUCGGUGGCACCCGCCCCUAACCAUGGUUAGGGGAUAGGGCCGUCCUCCGUUGGCCGCCAGGGCAGCAAGGGGAUCCCGUUCAGAUCAUGCGACAACUUAUGGGGCUGCAGCCAGUGGCAGCCCUGUCGAACGUGGAGGGAGAGGCUCGAGGGGACGAGGAUGCUUAUGAAGUGGUCGAGGGAGGCGGAGCCCUGCCUCGAUCUCCCUCCUCGUGCCCUCUUCUUCGGGUUGCCACUCAGAGGCGACACCAUUCGAGUUCAUCGUGGAGCUUCGUGGCCCCCUUCGGGGUCACUUGCAUCUCCCUCGUUGCCUCGCCAUGGUGAUGGAGUUCGAACGACCUCCCGUCUUCUGGCUACGAGCACACAAAUUCUCUCAUGGCGCCAUGCAGGUGCACGCGGAGUAUCCGAAGCCCCAUUCCAUGCUACCUGGGCGCAGCUGGAAAGCCUUCGCCCACGCUCAUGGACUCGAGGACGGCUACGCCCUCCGUUUUAAGCUGACGGAGGCCCGUAUGCUCGUCGUCAAGUUCUACGGGCGCUCCGGUGUGCGUCUCGGCUGCUGCAAAGAAGGCUCGAGCGGCAUCGAAUGCUCCGCUUCGAGCGACAACAACGGGGAGGGCGGUAGCAGUGACGGUGCUGGGCCUAGUCUUAAGCAUGGGGGAAUCGAACCGGAGGAUGAUUCCCCCGGCUAGGACCGAGUGCUUCCUGCACUAGCGCGGCCGGAUCACGCCCCUCGCCCUCCUUGGAGGGGGGAUCUCAACCGGAUCCGUCGUCCCUUCCCGCGCCUUGACGAGGCCAAACCCGCUCCCGUCGGUACAACGCUGGUCCCGGAGGAGCCAACAUGGAUGUACCGCAGGCCUUGUCGCGUCUUGUCUUCAUGAACUCUAAUUCCUCCGCGUGGGUCGAUCCUCGUUUUAAAAGACAAAGUCUUUAGGUUAGGACAACAACGCAUUGUAAGUGCAAUCAAAUGUAUCUAGACGAAUGAAUGAAUAGAUGCAUCCUUUAUUUGACUCUCAUCUUGUAUGAUUAUUCUCUUGUACUUUCCACAUGCUUGCUGGCUUGAAUUAUCCUGCCGCGAGUACUUAGAGGAGCGGAUCCUCAGAAAACUCAACAGAGGAGGUCGUCACCGGCAAGACUCUUUGCCGCACUCAGUGCAACCAUGUAAAUCAUCGAGCGCGGCUCGAGGUGAAGUACGGUGCUACGAAGCCGCCGAAAACAUUGAACGAGUUCUAAACAAGAUGAGGGCGCUCUGUGGCCGGUCAAGUCGUUGAAUAGGAUAAAAACAAAGUCUGAGUGCACUGAUCUUAGCAAGGUCCAUCUACACGCGAGAUUUUCAUACAAAAGUCGAAACUUCGAAAGGAUACAACUAGUCUAUCCAGAGUCUAGCAAGAGGUUUGCCUUUGUACUUAUCUUGCGCGUCGCGGCAUUCUUAGCCGCAGCGUGUGAAGGUGCUGCCGGGGAGGAAUAUCUUGCACCACUGGCAAGAUCACGUUGCCCCCCAGCGGCCUCCUUGCUGACGAGGUUUUUGCCGGUGGCUUUUGGCCAGACUGAAGGAAAGAGGCGCGCCGGGGAGCAACACUUUCUCAUCUCUUUUGCAAGAGGUUUGCUGGCGGAGCCUCGGAGCGCAUCUUUCUGGCGUCACGGCGCUCCAAGGAGAAAUGCGAGCCAGAGGGUGCGUAAAGGGGCGGUUCGGGGCCUCAGACGCGUCCUCGACGACUAUGCAGCACUCCGGAGAUGUGCGAUGGCCGGAGUAAGCGUCGGAGGCCUCGCAGAAGCUCCUUGUCACGCCCUCGACAGCAGCGCGAGCAUUCCAAGGAGGUGUAUCAGCCGGGCUAUGCAGAGCUCGGGGCUUCCGCUCCUUCCACCGGCGCUUGCAUAACACCCAUGGAGGUGCUAUGUGCUCUCGCGCGCAAGCAGAGCAGCCACUGCCUCCUCUCGCUCCGGGAGGACGCUGCAGCGAAUUGAGAUCCAUUGAGCCGUCGAACGGCUCGUCGGAUCGGGACGGCACUGACGCCGGCCUGCUUCCGGCGAUCCCCCUACCUGGCGCGCCAAGGAUGUCGGUGAAAGGAUUGACACAUAUGGGGGCCUCGACGGUCCCCUUUUGCUUGUUUGGCAGGGUGAGGGGUCGCGGCAAGAGCAGAACCAAUAGUCAGGGCCCGACUAGAUCAUUUUUACCGAGGUUCAGGCCGCGUUGUGCAUAAAACCCUACUCCUGCAUGUGUUUAGUUAUUUGUUUUAGUUUACUGUAGAUCUGUCCCUCUUACAGCCUUUCGAUUGGUCAAAAAGCCAAAAGUCCUUUCUACCGAGCCUCGGGCCUCCUUUUAUAGGCCAAGGGGUCACCACAGUGGCUCAGUGGGUGAACGGUGGGUUCACGAGUGGAACAAUGCCGACCGCCCGCCACAGUGUUACUGCGGUGCAUUAAAUGCUUCGACAGACUUCCUGACCUUGUCAGGGGGGUUGGACAGUGCUGCCUCUUGAGCUUGCGUUGGUUUUUCCAUUGAAGAGGAAAGGGUGAUGCAGCACAGGAGCAGUAAGUAUUUCCCUCAGUGUGAGAACCAAGGUAUCAAUCCAGUAGGAGAAUCGAGGUCAAGUCCAGAGUACCUGCGCAAACACAAAAGAGCUUGCACCCAACGCUAUAAAGGGGUUGUCAAUCCCUUCAAGAUUGAUUGCAAAGUGAGAUCUGAAGGCGGAAAGUGCAAUGAAGUAAAAGUAUAAGGCUGAAAAUAUGGUGUGAAGUAGACCCCGGGGCCAUAGUGUUCACUAGAGGCUUCUCUCAAAAUAGCAAAUAAUACGGUGGGUGAACAAAUUACUGUCGAGCAAUUGAUAGAACCGCGCAAAGUCAUCACGAUAUCUAAGGCAAUGAUCAUACAUAUAGGCAUCACGUCCGAGACAAGUAGACUGAUACUUUCUGCAUCUACUACUAUUACUCCACACAUCGACCGCUAUCCAGCAUGCAUCUAGUGUAUUAAGUUCAUGACGAACAGAGUAACGCCUUAAGCAAGAUGACAUGAUGUAGAGGGAUAAACUCAAACCAAUGAUGAAAACCCAACCUUUUUACCCUUGAUGGAAACAACAUGAUGCGUGCCUCGUUGCCCCUUCUGUCACUAGGAGAGGUCACCACACGGUAUGAACCCAAAACCAAGCACUUCUCACAUUGCAAGAAUCAUAGAUCAAGUUGGCCAAACAAAACCCACAACUCGAAGAGAAUUACAAGGAUAUGAAAUCAUGCAUAUAAGAGAUCAGAAGAAACUCAAAUAAGAUUCAUAGAUAAUCUGAUCAUAAAUCCACAAUUCAUCGGAUCUCGACAAACACACCGUAAAGAAGAUUACAUCAGAUAGAUUUCCAUGAAGAUCAUGGAGAACUUUGCAUUGAAGAUCCAAGAGAGAGCAGAAGCCAUCUAGCUACUAGCUAUGGACUCAAAGGUCUAUGGUGAACUACUCACGCAUCAUCUGAGAGGUCAUGGUGUUGAUGAAGAAGCCCUCCGUAUCCGAAUCCCCCUCCGACAGGGCACCAAAACGUGCCCCAGAUGGGAUCUUGCGGAGAUAGAAGCUUGCGGCGGCGGAAAAGUAUUUUCGUGGAUCUCUCUCACAGUUUUGGAAUUUUUCUGAAUUUAUAGGCGGAAGAGGUAGGGCAGACGAGCCACACGGGGACCACAAGCCUGCUAGGCGCGGGGCCCCCCGGCCGCGCCUAGGGGGCCUGUGGGGUCCCCUGGUGGCCCCUGCCUUGGUUCUCAAGUCUCGUGCGUAUCUUCUGUUCCGGAAAAAAAUAUUUUGGAAGUUUUAUUCCGUUUGGACACCGUUUAAAAUCCUCCUCUGAAAAGGGUCAAAAACACGGAAAAAACAAGAACUGGCACCUGACACUGAGUUAAUAAGUUAGUCCCAAAAAAGAUAUAAAAGACAUACAAAACAUUCGAAGUUUGACAAGAUAAUAUCAUGGAACCAUCAAAAAUUAUAGAUACGUUGGAGACGUAUCAAGCACCCCCAAACUUAACUCCUGCUCGUCCUCGAGUAGGGAAGUGAUAAAGACUGAAUUUUCGAUGUGGAAUGCUACCUAGCAUAGUUGUUCUUUGUAACUUAUUUCAUGUGCCAUGAAUGUUCAGAUCCGUAAGAUUGAAAACAAUAGUUUGCUAUUGACAUGAAAACAAUAAUACUUCAAGCAAACUAGCAAGGUAAUCAUGAACUUUCGAAAUAACAAGGCCAAAGAAAGUUAUGCCUACAAAAUCAUAUAGUCUGGCUAUGCUCCAUCAUCCUCACAGAACUAAUUUAAAUCAUGCACAACCCCGGUAUUGGCCAAGUAAUUGUUUUUGCACUCUUACUUUCUCAAACCUUUUACAACUAUCACGCAAUACAUGAGCGUGAGCCAUGGAUAUAGCACUAUAGGUGGAAUAGAGUGUGGUGGUGGUUGUGAGACAAAAAAGGAGGAGAUGGUCACAUUGACUCGGCGUAUCAAAGGGCUAUGGAGAAGCCCAUUAAUAGAUAUCAAUGUGAAUGAGUAGGGAUUGCCAUACAAAGGAUGCACUAGAGCUAUAAGUAUGUGAAAGCUCAAAAGGAGAACUAGUGGGUGUGCAUCCAACUUGCUUGCUCACGAAGACCUAGGGAAAUUUGAGGAAGCCCAUCAUUGGAAUAUACAAGCCAAGUUAUAAAAUAAAGAUUCCCACUAGUAUAUGGUGGUGACAAAACAAGAGACUCUCAAUCAUGAAGAACAUGGUGCUAUUAUGAAGCACAAGUGUGGAAAAGAUAGUAGCAUUGUCCCUUCUCUCUUUUUCUCUCUUUUUUUAUUUGAGCUCUUUGGCCUCUUUUUUUCUCUUUUUUUUAUGUGGGCAACUUUGGCCUCUUUUUUUUAUUUCCUCACAUGGGACAAUGCUCUAAUAAUGAUGAUCAUCACACUUCUAUUUACUCACAGCUCAAAGCUUAGAACGAUCAUGACUCUAUAGGAAAUGCCUCCGACAGUGUACCGGGAUGUGCAACGAUCUAGCUUGGCGUAUGACAUUGAAAUAUCUCGCUAGCUAUCUUACGAUCAUGCAAUGGCAAUAUGAGAGUGACGACACAAGUCAUGAGAUGGAACGGUGGGAGUUGCAUGGCAAUAUAUCUCGGAAUGGCUAUGAAAAUGCCAUAGUAGGUAGGUAUGGUGGCUGUUUUGAGGAAGGCAUAUGGUGGGUUUGUGCACCGGCGAAAAUUGCGCGGUACUAGAGAGGCUAGCAAUGGUGGAAGGUGAAAGUGCAUCUAUACCAUGGACUCACAUUAGUCAUGAAGAACUCACAUACUUGUUGCGAAAGUUUUUAUUAGUAAUCGAAACAAAGUGCUAAACGCAUACUCCUAGGGGAAGGGUUGGUAGGUGUUAACCAUCGCGCGAUCCCGACUGCAACACAAAGGAUGACAAUCAAUAGAUCAAUUAUGCUCCGACUUCCUAACAUAGCAGUUCACCAUACAUGCAUGUUACGGGAAUCACUAACUUGAACACAAGUAUUUCUAGAUUCACAACACCCUACUAACAUAACUCUUAAUAUUACCGAGUCCACGUCUCAAAACUAAUUGAGAGGAAUCAAACUUCUCUUUCUACUCAAUGCUCAUGAAGAUGGAAGUUUUUGUAUCCUCUUUGGGUACCUAUCACCUUUGGGACUAUUUUCAUGGCACAAACCAACUACCAAAUCACGCACCGCCAUGCUCUAAAAGAUCUAAGUGAAGCACAGAGAGCAAAAAUUAUCUAGCUCAAAAGAUAUAAGUGAAGCACGAUGAGCAUUCUAGCAAAUUCACGAUGAGUGCAUGUAUGUCUCAAAAGGUGUGCAACAAGGAUGAUUGUGACACAACAAAAAGAAAAGACUCCUACGAUACAAGACGCUCCAAGCAGAACACAUAUCAUGUGGUGAAUAAAAAUAUAGCUCCAUGUAAUGUUACCGAUGGAUUGAAGACGAAAGAGGGGAUGCCUCCCGGGGCAUCCCCAAGCUUAGGCUUUUUGGUGUCCUUGAAUUUGUCUUGGGAUUCCUUGGGCAUCCCCAAGCUUGAGCUCUUUCCACUCUUUAUCCCUUUGUCCAUGAGAACAUCACCCAAAACUUGAAAACUUCACAACACAAAACUUAAACAGAAACUCAUGAUAUCAUUAGCACAAGAAAACAAACUACCACCUCUUUAGGUACUUUAGCAAUCUUGAUUUCUAUUUAUCUUGGUGUUAGAUUACCGUAUUCUCACUUUUCCAUGGCUAGUACCCCCCGAUACUAUCCAUAGUUUCAUCAAAACAAGCAACCAACACAACAAAAACAGAAUCUGUCAAAAACAGACCAGUGUGUAGGAAUUUGUAUACUUAGUAUACUUCUGGUACCUCAAAAAUUCUGAACAAUUACGAUUGCCUGGGAAAAAGGAAUAUCAACCAGAAGAAAAAAGAAUAAACUCAAAAUCUCUUUCUUAAUAAAAAUGAAAAAUAAUCUCGUGAGCGAAAAGUUUCUGUCUUUUUCCAGCAGGAUCAAACAACCAUCACCAAGACUAGUCAUAAAGGUUUUGCUUGGCUCAAACACAAAAAGAAACACAAAAGUCACAAUCAUAACAUAAUUAUGAUGGUGUGUAUGCAACAAAACAGAAAUAAAAAGAUAAAUUCAUUGGGUUGCCUCCCAACAAGCGCUAUUGUUUAACGCCCUUAGCUAGGCAUAAGGCGAUAGAAUCGUGUAUCGUCGUCUUUGGUGCUCAAACCAUAAGUAGCCCUCAUCAUAGAUUCAUAAGAAAAUCUUAUUUUUCUAGGAAAAUCCUCCAUGCCCUUUGAUACGUCUCCAACGUAUCUACUUUUCCAAACUCUUUUGCCCUUGUUUUGGACUAUAAUUUGCAUGAUUUGAAUGGAACUAACCUGGACUGACGCUGUUAUCAGCAGAAUUGCCUUGGUGUUAUUUUUGUGCAGAAAUCAAAGUUCUCCAAACGUCCUGAAAAUUUACGGGGAGCAGUUUUGGAAAAUAUCAAAAAUAUCUGCGCCAAGUUCCACCUCAAGGGGUGGGCCAGUGGGCCACCACCCCCUCGUGGCGGUGGGCAGGCUUGUGGGGCCCAUAGGCACCUGCCGCCCCCAACUCCAGCUCUAUAAGUUGUCUUUCAUCUGAGAAAAAAAUAAAAAUAGAAGUUUUCGUCGCGUUUUCGAUACGGAGGCACCGCCACCUCCUGUUCUUCAUCUGGAGGGCAGAUGUGGAGUCCGUCUUGGGCUCCGGAGAGGGGAAAUCGUCGCCAUCGUCAUCAUCAACCUUCUUCCCUCUCCAAUUCCAUGAAGCUCUUCGUCGUUUGUGAGUAAUCUAUUCGUAGGCUCGCUGGGCGGUGAUGAGUAGAAUGAGAUCUAUCAUGUAAUCGAGUUAGUUUUGAUGGGGAUUGAUCCCUAGUAUCCACUAUGUUAUGAGAUUUGAUGUUGCUACUACUUUGCCAUGCUUAAUGCUUGUCACUAGGGCCCGAGUGCCAUGAUUUCAGAUCUGAAAUUAUUAUGUUGUCACCAAUAUAUGUGUGUUUCAGAUCCGAUCUUGCAAGUUGUAGUUACCUACUAUGUGUUAUGAUCCGGCUACCCCGGAGUGACAAUAACCGGAACCACUCCCGGUGAUGACCAUAGUUUGAGGAGUUCAUGUGUUCACCAAGUGCUAAUGCGUUGGUCCAGUUCUUUAUUAAAAGGAGAACCUUAAUAUUCCGUAGUUUCCUUUUGGACCCUGCUGCCACGGGAGGGAUGGACAAUAGAUGUCAUUUAAGUUCUUUUCCCUAAGCACGUAUGACGACACACGGAGUGGAUGCCUACAUCACAUUGACGAAUGGGAGCUAGCCACAUAUCUCUCCGUGUUAUAGGUGUUGCAUGAUGAAUAUCAUCCAAACAAAUCACCGACCCAUUGCCUACGAGUUUGUCCUACUGUUGCUACUGCUGUUAUUUGUCUUGCUCUGCUGCUGCUACUACUACUAUUGCUACUGGUGUUACUUGUUUUGCUCUGAUGCUACUGUUGCUACUACUGUCGCUUGCUACUGUUGCUACUUGCUAUUGCUGUCACUACUACUGUUCCUUGCCACUCCUAUUGCUCGCUUCACUGCCGUUACUCGCUACUUUGCUGUUACUACUGUGCUUGCAGAUACUAAUCUUUCAGGUCUGGUUGAAUCUAACAAAUUCAGCUACUAAUACUUGAGAGUAUACUCUCACCUCCUGACGGGCUUAUCAACAAAUUGGGUCGAAUACUCUACCCUCGAAAACUACUGCGAACCCACGCGCUGGUGGGCCAUCAACAACAUUCUUCCAGUUUCAUUGCCGGGGAGUGCUAGUAGCAUUCUUCUGGUGCCGUUGCAGGAGAAGGUUCGUUGUCAUAAGCAUUCGUCUAGCUAACGGCAGAGUUUGCAGGAUCAGCCCUUUUCUGGAGACAUUGCCAGGGAAGCACAGCUGACGUCAGCAUUUUUCUGGCGCCGUUGCCGGGGAGGUAUUUCUAUAUUCUCUGAGUUACUUGGGAUUUAUAUCUGCUGAUCACUAUGAAGAAUCUGAAGGAUCCGAAGACCAAAGUCUCGCCCUCAACUACGAGGGGAGGUAAGGAAUUGCCAUCUACCUCUGCACUUGAUUCACCUUCAGUUAUGAGUAAGUUUGCGACUUCACCUCCUGCUCGAAAUAUUGAUAUGUCGCCUGUGCUUGAUGAUGCUUGUGAUACUACUGCUAGAGAUGCUAUGGCUGAUACUACUGCUAGAGAUGCUAUGCUUGAUACUACUGCUAGAGAUGUUAUGCUUGAUACUAUGCGAGAUACUGCUAGACAUGCUAUGCCUGAUACUGCUAGAGAUGCUAUGCUUGAUACUGCUUUGCCUGAUGAUGCUAGAGAUGCUAUUUUGCCUGAUGAUGCUAUGCUUGAUACUGCUAGAGAUGCUCCUUUUCCUGCUCCACUAGGAGUGUUCCUUGAUGCUCAUAUUGCUAGAGUUACUGCCAAUGCUCGUGAUGCUUCUGAAAUUACCGAUACUAUUGAGAUAGAACCUGCUUUUGCUCCUGCUAGAUCUAGCUCUCCUAGAUAUGAAUUGCCUGAUAUACCUGAGGGUUACGUUAUGGAGGAAGAGAUAGCUGAGGACUUUCUUGCGUGUAAGGAUGCCUAUGACGCUGAGAAAUUAAUUCUCAAGUGGAAGGAAAAAUCUCGGGAAGUUAGGAUGAAAAAUGAUCCGAAGUUUGCCACGUCGCCUAUCUUUGUCACCGAUAAGGAUUAUGAAUUCUCUGUCGACCCUGAGAUAAUCUCUCUAGUUGAAUCUGAUCCUUUUCACGGUUAUCAGUCUGAGACGGUCAUAACCCAUCUUGCCAAACUAUCCGAAAUAGCCAACCUUUUCACUAAUGAGGAGAAGAUCCGCCACUACUAUAUCCUUAAGCUGUUUCCUUUUUAUCUAAAGGAUGAUGCUAAAGCCUGGUUCACCUCUCUUGCUCCUGGAUGUGUGCGUAGUCCCCAGGAGAUGGUCUAUUACUUCUGUGAGAAAUAUUUCCCUGCCCAUAAGAAGCAAGCUGCCUUGCAGGAAAUAUACAACUUUUCUCAAGUCCAAGAAGAGAGUCUUCCACAAGCUUGGGGGAGGCUCGUCCAGCUACAUAAUUCUUUGCCUGAUCACCCUCUCAAGAAGAACGAGAUACUUGAUAUCCUCUAUAACGGACUUACCGAUGCCUCUAGAGACUACCUAGAUAGUUGUGCCGGUUGUGUUUUUAGGGAACGAACUGUAGAACAAGCUGAGACUCUACUGAAUAACCUCUUGAUCAACGAUAAUGCUUGGACUAUUCCCGAACCACCUCCUAAGACAACUCCGAAGAAAAGAGGUAUUCUAUUCCUCAGUCCCGAAGAUAUGCAAGAAGGCAAGAAAUCUAUGCAAGAGAAAGGCAUUAGAUCUGAAGAUGUCAAAAAUCUACCACCUAUCGAAGAGAUCCAUGGUCUCGAUAACCCGAUACAGGUAGUAGAAGUGAAUUCUCUACGUAGGUUUGACGAGAGUGAUAUUCCUUUUGAUAAACCUGCUAGCCUAUGCUUUGAUGAAUUUGACAACUUUGUUGCCAAACAACAGAGUUUCAAUGAUUAUGUUAGCAGACAUUUGGAACAAAGUACUCGUAUGCUUAGCCAUUUAAGUGCUUGUGUAGACAGAAAUGUCAAUGCUUUGAAGCUCCUGAGUAAACAUGCCUCUAUGAUUACUACUCAGGUAGAACAACUCUGUCAGAGUCAUUACUAGAGGAGGCAAAAUGACUCAGUAACCUUUGUAUCCUGAAGGUCAUCCUAAGAGAAUUGAUCAAGAUUCUCAAGGAACCAAUGCUGAUACACCUAGUCAUCCUAAGGAGAAGAAGAAGGAUGAUAGAAACCUGCACGCCAGUUCACCAAAUCUAUCACACCUGAAGAACCUAAUGAUAUUUCUGCGUCUGAUGCAGAAACACAAUCAGGUGAUGAACAUGAACCUGAUGACAAUGUGGACAGUGAUGUUCAUAAUAAUGCUCAACCUAGCCAUGAUGAGGAUGUGGAGAUUGAACCUACGGUUAAUCCUGAUAAUCCACAACCUAAGAGAUACGACAAGAAUGACUUUACAGCUAGGAAGCAUGGUAAAGAAAGAGAGCCAUGGGUUUAGAGACCUAUGCCCUUUCCUCCUAAGCCAUCCAAGAAAAAGGAUGAUGAGGAUUUUGAGCGCUUCGUUGAGAUGAUAAGACCCGUCUUUCUGCAUAUGCAAUUAACUGAUAUGCUCAAGAUGUCUUCGUAUGCCAAGUACAUGAAAGAUAUCGUGACUAAUAAACGGAAGAUACCAGAUCUUGAGAUCUCCACCAUGCUUGCCAAUUACACUUUCAAAGGUGGAACUCCUAAGAAACUUGGUGAUCCCGGAGUGCCCACUAUACCUUGCUCCAUUAAAGGAAACUACGUGAGAACUGCCUUAUGUGACCUUGGAGCCGGUGUUAGUGUUAUGCCACUCUCUCUUUAUUGUAGACUUGAGUUGGAUAAGUUGACACCCACUGAAAUUUCUCUGCAAAUGGCCAAAAAAUCAACUGCUUUCCCUAUCGGCAUUUGCGAGGAUGUGCCUGUUGUGGUUGCUAAUACCACUAUCUUAACAGACUUUGUUAUCUUGGAUAUUCCCGAGGACGAUGCCAUGGCUAUCAUCCUCGGAAGACCCUUUUUAAACACUGCAGGGGAUGUUAUAGAUUGCAACAAAGGCAAUGUCACUUUCCACGUCAACGGUAAUGAGCACACAGUGCACUUUUCAAAGAAACGAUAUCGAGUACAUUGCAUCAAUGCUAUUGAAAAGACUUCAUCGAUUCUUAUUGGGAGCUUUUAAUGCCCUAUUCCUCGUGUCAAGAUGAAGUAUGAUUUGCUUGUUGGGGAGAUUCAUAUCCCCAUUGAGGUGACUUAGUGGCUAUUCGAAAAUUCUCCGUUCUCUCUUGCGAUUCGAGAAGGUUUUGUCAUAAGGACUUGAUCAACCCCAUUGACGAAUUUCUUCCGAUGACCAUGAAACGGAUGAAUCAGAGAGUCACAUACCUCUGUUUUGAGUCUUCAUUUUCUGUUGCUUAGAAGAAAAAUGAUAGAAUUAGUUUAGCUUUUCCUGUUUUCUGUUCUAGCGUCCCGAAGAAAAAUACCUCGAAAAUAAAAGUUCUCCGAUGGUCUUGAAAAUUUAGUAUGAUUUUUUCUGGAAUUUUUGAAAAUUUCUGGGCCUGAGAGCUGGUCAGGGGGCCUGACCAGUGGGCCACAAGCCCCCCCCAACCGCUACCUACCCCUGGUGGCGGGGUGCAAGCUUGUGGGGCUCACAUGCAUCCCCUCCACUCAUUCCAGCUCCCAGCCUCUUCUUCCACCUCCAGAAAAAUUGUUUCGCAGCUCAAACCUGUGUUCUUGCUCAUUUGGAUGUGAUUUUCGAUUUCCUUGCUCAAAGCACCAUUCUCCGAACCGUUUUGGGGAACUUACUCCUUGGUAAGUGACUCCUCCAUUGGUCCAAUUAGUUUUUGCUCUAGUGCUUUAUCCUUUGCGAAUUCUUGCUACCUUGGUGACCCUGUUCUUGAGCUAGAAAAGUUGAUUUUAGCUGGCACCAAGUAGUUUUAGCACAUGAUACAGUCUCUAGGCACUAGUAGGAGUAGUUGCUACAAGUUGGGUUAACCCUUAUUCACUUUUCUUUCGAAGUCUCUAAAAAUUUCAGAAUUUUUCAGAGCUAGAAAAAGGAAGAGAUGAGGAGGUUCUUGAGAGGCUCUUCAAGCCGUAACCACAAGGAGGAUGAGAAGAAUCACCCCAAGUACAUAGUCCCUCGAGUCACAGAAGUUCGAGCGUGCGAGUUUCCAAGUGAUGAAUUUUUGCGCGCCACCGGACUUUAUGAAGACUUGUAUUACUUGGUGGAGAACGCAGGUCUUACUGCGUUCGUUGAAGAUAAGUGCCCACAAUAUCUCCUCUUCACCAAUAUUUUCGUUCAAAGCUUGAACUUUUAUCCGUGGAAGAAUCCUCCCAUGGUUGAGUUCAUGAUAUACGAUGUUCCCCAGUGCAUGAGGCUGCAGGAUUUUUGCAAUGUAUGCAAAUUACCUUAUGUUGGGGAUAUCCGUGACCCUCGUCCACGGGACUUGGAGGAUUUCAUUGGUUCUAUUGCUGUUGGAGAGGAGAGAGGAGUGUCUCACGCUAGAAUUGCUAGCAUACAUUUUCCUGUGCUUCGGUACUUCUCACUAUUUGUGGGAAAAUGUUUGAUUGGCCAUGGGGAGGCUGGAUCACUUAGUUCUCCAGACCUUGCGGUUUUGCAUGAAGGCCUUUAUAACAACAAGACUUAUAGCUUGGGCGCUAUAGUAGCUCAACGGUUGAACCUGAACCGUUCUAAAGGUGUUGUCUAUGGAGGUAUCUAUGCUACCCGUCUUGCCAAACACUUUGAGAUACCGAUUAGACUGGGAGAGGAAGGAGAGAUGCUUCUCCCUGAGAGAUAUCUGGAUUAUGGCAGCAUGGUUCGCCAUGAUUUUCUGGAUAGAGAUGCUUGUAGACGGAUGAUUUAUAACCUGGUGUUUAGUCAGGGUACUCGAGAGACUAUUACUUUGCCUGCUCCUUCUUUGUUUGAUCUUCAUGCAGGCAGGUACACUAUUAUGCCCGCAGACAUCUAUGCAUAUUGGGGCUUGGCCCAACCACAGGCGCACGUGCCCGAGCCGCCAGUCGAGUACUAGACGCCAGUUUAUCAGUGGGAGCCAGAGGAGCUCACACAGCAGUGGCAUCCACAGUCUGCUCCGGAGUAUCCUGGAGCUGGUUAUUUCCCACCUUGGGAGUAGACCAAGCUAGGCCAAAAGCCUAAGCUUGGGGGAGUACGUGUUCUCACCGACUUUACUUUCAUGCUUAUGCUCUCACUUUGUUAUCCGGUGUUUACACUUUGCCACUUUAUUAUCCAUGCUAGUUUCUUUUCGUUUUCUUGUUUUCUUGUUUUGUGUCCUUUUGAGAAAACCCAAAAAGAUUUUUCUUUCUUCUUUUGCUUGUUGGGAGCUUUCCCGUGUAAAUAGUUUUCUUUUUCUUUGUGUCAAGGUAGAAGAUAUUGGUUACAAUGCUUAGUGGUUCUUACAUGCUUACCUAUUUAGCUUUCAAAGAGCCAUAUUAUUUUGUCUUCUCCUUUGUGUUUGCGUGCAGAUUCAGCUUAGUCCAAUGCGCUUAUUAUCGUUUUCAUCGUUCGAUCGUGCAAAUGAAAGGCAACAAUGAUGAUAUAUGAUGAAGUGACUGAGACUGAAAAGCUGGUAUGAACUCUAUCUAUUUUGUUUUUGUAAAUAUGACUAGCUUGUUGACCCAGAUUUAGCUUUGUUGUGAGAGGACCAUGUUUGCAAUGACAACUUAGAGAUCAUAGUUUCUGAUGCCAUGCUUAUUUAGCUGAGAGCUUAUAAUGGUUUGUCUUGACUGCCAGCAUAGAUUUUGAGAUGACUAUGAUGUAGUAUGAUAGGAUGGUAUUCUCCUUUGAAUGUUUCAAGUGGCUUGACUUGGUGCAUGUUCAUGCAUGUAGUUGAAACAAAUCAACAUAGCCUCUAUGAUGUUCGUGUUCAUGGUGAUUUAUAUCAUGUUCAUGCUUGCAUUCAAUGUUAGUCAAAAUCAUUGCAUCUUGAUGACUGUUGUCGCUCUCUAGUUGGUCGCUUCCCAGUCUUUUGCUAGCCUUCACUUGUACUAAGCGGGAAUGCUGCUUGUGCAUCCACUUCCAUAAACCCAAAAGUUUUUCCAUGAGAUUCCACCAUACCUACCUAUUUGCGGUAUCUACCUGUCGUUCCAAGUAAAUUUGCAUGUGCCAUUCUAUAAACCUUCAAGAAUAAAUCUGUUUUGCAUGCCCGAACCGCUCAUGUGGUGACAGAGGGCUAUUGGUAUCUUCCAUGCUAGGAGUGUUAUCCUCGACAUGUGUUUAUUCACAGUCCUUCACGAGAAAGGGGUCGGUAUUUGGGAUGCCUAGUUCCAUGCUUAAAUCGAAAACAUAACUGUAAAACAAGACUCCCCCCGGAUUGAUGUUAGUAUGGACGGUACCCGAGGAUUCGUCUAGCCGUGGAGUGUGAUUGAUUGGUGGUGGGGGAGUUAAAACUUUAGUUUUCUGUUUGGGAACCGCCUAUAGCAUGAGUAGCAUGGAAGAUAUUGAGAACUCUUGGUCAUUGCGUUGACAAUGAAAGCAUGCCACCCAAAAUUAUUAUCUCUGUUUUCAAAGCUUGAGCUCUGGCACCUCUGCAAAUCAAUGCUUCUCUCUGCGAAGGGCUUGUCUAUUUAUUUUCCUAUUGAGUCAUCCUCCUCUUAUAUAAGCACCAAAUAGAGAGCACCUCUGUCAUUUUUAUGCUUUGUUUUUGACUGAUAUUGAGUAUGACUAUGACUGGAUCUUUGUUGCUAUGAAUUACAAUGUUUAGUCAGCCCUUGAUCUUUGAAAGUGCUCUGCAUUUAUGUUUUGCGGUCUCAGAAAGAGCUAGCGAGAUACCACCUAUUCAUAUUGCUUCAUGCUUGUUUUGAUUGAAGUGUUGGUAUUUGAAACUCAUUAUUAUUUGCUCGUUAGCUGAUUAUGCCAUUGAUAUUAGUUUACCGUGAGACCUUUGUGUCAUUUGCUUAUGUGGUCAACUUGUGAUCUUGCUGAAAUUCUGGUUAUGAGUUAGACAUAGUUGCAACAACAAGAUCAAACAGAGUUUGUCAAAGUUUUUCUUUCUCUCUCAGUUUGUCAACUGAGUUGCUUGAGGACAAGCAAGGUUUUAAGCUUGGGGGAGUUGAUACGUCUCCAACGUAUCUACUUUUCCAAACUCUUUUGCCCUUGUUUUCGACUAUAAUUUGCAUGAUUUGAAUGGAACUAACCUAGACUGACGCUGUUUUCAGCAAAAUUGCCUUGGUGUUAUUUUUGUGCAGAAAUCAAAGUUCUCCAAACAUCCUGAAAAUUUACGGGGAGCAGUUUUGGAAAAUAUCAAAAAUAUCUGCGCCAAGUUCCACCUCAGGGGGUGGGCCAGUGGGCCACAAGCCCCUGCUCCGCCACCACCCCCUGGUGGUGAUGGGCAGGCUUGUGGGGCCCACAGGCACCUGCCUCCCCCAACUCCAGCUCUAUAAGUUGUCUUUCGUCCCAGAAAAAAUAAAAAGAGAAUUUUUCGUCGCGUUUUCAAUACGGAGGCGUCGCCACCUCCUGUUCUUCAUCUCGAGGGAAGAUCUGGAGUCCGUCUUGGGCUCCGGAGAGGGGAAAUCGUCGCCAUCGUCAUCAUCAACCUUCUUCCCUCUCCAAUUCCAUGAAGCUCUUCGUCGUUCGUGAGUAAUCUAUUCGUAGGCUCGCUGGGCGGUGAUGAGUAGGAUGAGAUCUAUCAUGUAAUCGAGUUAGUUUUGAUGGGGAUUGAUCCCUAGUAUCCACUAUGUUUUGAGAUUUGAUGUUGCUACUACUUUGCCAUGCUUAAUGCUUGUCACUAGGGCCCGAGUGCCAUGAUUUCAGAUCUGAAAUUAUUAUGUUGUCACCAAUAUAUGUUUGUUUUAGAUCCGAUCUUGCAAGUUGUAGUUACCUACUAUGUGUUAUGAUCCGGCAACCCCGGAGUGACAAUAACCGGAACCACUCCCGGUGAUGACCAUAGUUUGAGGAGUUCAUGUGUUCACCAAGUGCUAAUGCGUUGGUCCGGUUCUUUAUUAAAAGGAGAACCUUAAUAUCCCGUAGUUUCCUUUUGGACCCCGCUGCCACGGGAAGGAUGGACAAUAGAUGUCAUGCAAGUUCUUUUCCCUAAGCACGUAUGACGACACACGGAAUGCAUGCCUACAUCACAUUGACGAACGGGAGCUAGCCACAUAUCCCUCCGUGUUAUAGCUGUUGCAUGAUGAAUAUCAUCCAAACAAAUCACCGACCCAUUGCCUACGUGUUUGUCCUACUGUUGCUACUGCUGUUACUUGUCUUGGUCUGCUGCUGCUGCUACUACUGUUGCUACUGCUGUUACUUGUUUUGCUCUGCUGCUACUGUCGCUUGCUACUGCUGUCACUACUGCUGUUCCUUGCCACUGCUAUUGCUCAUUACACUGUCGUUACUCGCUACUUUGCUGUUACUACUGUGCUUGCACAUACUAAUCUUUCAGGUGUGGUUGAAUCUGACAAAUUCAGCUGCUAAUACUUGAGAGUAUACUCUCACCUCCUGACGGGCUUAUCAACAAAUUGGGUCGAAUACUCUACCCUCGAAAACUGUUGCGAACCCACGCGCUGGUGGGCCAUCAACAACAUUCUUCCAGUUUCAUUGCCGGGGAGUGCUAGCAGCAUUCUUCUGGUGUCGUUGCACGAGAAGGUUCGUUGUCAUAAGCAUUCAUCUAGCUAACGUCAGAGAUUGCAGGAUCAGCCCUUUUUUGGAGCCAUUGCCAGGGAAGCACAACUGACAUCACCCUUCUUUAAAGGAAACUAAAAUCUAAUAUUCCCUUCCUUCAUAUCGAUGAUAGCACCGAUAGUCCUUAGGAAAGGUCUACCAUGGAUGAUAGGGCAUGCAGGAUUGCAUUCCAUGUCAAGCACAAUGAAAUCCAUGGGUACAUAGUUCCUAUUUGCAAUAAUAAGAACAUCAUUGAUCCUUCCCAUGGGUUUCUUGAGAGUAGAAUCCGCAAGAUGCAAAUUAAGAGAACACUCCUCAAUCUCAUUAAAACCCAGAAUAUCACAUAAAGACUUUCGAAUCGCGGAAACACUAGCACCCAAAUCACACAAAGCAUUGCAUUCAUAGUUUUUGAUUUUGAUUUUGAUAGUAGGUUCCCCCUCAUCAUGAAGCUUUCUAGGGAUAGAAACUUCCAAUUCAAGUUUCUCUUCAAGAGAUUUUAUCAUAGCAUCGACGAUAUGAUCAGUAAAGGACUUGUUUGGGCUAUAACGUGUGGAGAGUUUAGCAUGGAUUGCAUCAAGGAAAUGCAUUCAAUCAAGGAGCAACUAUCAUAAUUGAAUUCCUUGAAAUCCAAAGUAGUAGUUUCAUUACCAAUCAAGGUUUUAAUAUCUUCUACUCCACUUUCAAUGCUUUUAGCAUCAAGAUAGAUGGACUCCUAAUCAUUGGGGCGUUUUUCAACCAAAGUGGAUUCAUAUCCAGCCCCAUCAUCAUUAGGUUCGACACAAGAAAACAAAGAUUCAAUGGGAGUCACACCAAGCACUUUAAGAUCUUCGUGAUUCUUAUCACGAGAACAUGCCCUUUUAAGCCAUUCAUGUCUAGCACGAAUUUGGGCGGUUCUUUCUUUGCUCUCACUCAUGGAAACACGCAUAGCUUUCAAAGUUUCAUCCAUAUUGAUCUUGGUUGGAGCACAUCUAACUUUCAAAGCAUCAAUAUCACUAGACAUUCUAUCAACACUCCUAUCCAAAUCGUCAAUUUUGAGUAGUUUUUCCUCUAUGGACGCAUUGAAAAUCUUUUGCGAGUUGAUAAACUCUUUGAUAUUACUCUCUAGAUCACAGGGUAAUCUAUUUUAAUUUCCAAGAGGAUUGUUGUAGGAGUUUCCAAAAUUAUUAGAGGGGUUACUAGGAAAAGGCCUAGGAACAUAGUUUCCUCUAAAAGCAUUGUUGUUGCCAAAAUUAUUCCUACCAACAAAAUUAACAUCCAAGCUAGUGUUGCUACUCUCAAUCAAGGAAGACAAGGGCAUGUCAUUAGGAUCUAAAGGAGCACUUCUACUAGCAACCAAAUUCAUUAAGUCAUCCAUCUUAGCACUCAACGAGUUAAUUUCUUCUACAACGUGUACCUUCUUACUAGUAGGUGACCUUUUAGUGUGCCACUGAGAGUAGUUCAUCAUGAUAUUGUCUAGGAGUUAUGUGGCUUCUCCUAACGUGAUUUCCAUGAACGUUCCACGUGAGGCAGAAAUUCAAGCCAGCGUAGAAGAUUUUUAUAAUCAUCCAAAUACUCAAGCCAUGAGCGGGACAAUUUCUAAUCAUCAAUUUCAUUCUCUCCCAAGAUUGUGCAACAUGUUCAUGAUCAAGUUGCUUAAAAUUCAUGAUAUCAUUAUGGAGAGAGAUAAUCUUAGUCGGCGGAAAAUACUUGGAUAUAUAAGCAUCUUUGCACUUGUUCCAAGAAUCAAUACUAUUUUUCGGCAAAGACGAAAACCAAGUUUUUGCUCGAUCUCGCAACGAGAACGGAAAAAGCUUCAACUUAAUCACAUCAUUAUCCACAUCUUUCUUCUUUUGCAUAUCACAAAGCUCAAUGAAGGUAUUAAGAUGGGAUGCGACAUCUUCACUAGGAAGGCCGGAGAAUUGCUCUUUCAUAACAAGAUUUAGCAAAGCAGCAUUGAUUUCGUAUGACUCCACACUAGUGGCGGGAGCAAUCAAAGUACUAAUAAAAUCAUUAUUAUUAGUAUUCGAGAAGUCACAAAGUUUGGUGUUUUCAGUCAUGGUGACUUCAGCAAGCAAACAAGCACACAAGCGAACAGUAAGCAAGCGAGUGAAAAGGGCGAACGAAAAAGGCAAACGAAAAAAGGCAAAUAUUUUUGUAAUUUUUUUUUCAGAAGUGAGGGAGAGGAAAUCGAGAGGCUCCCAACACUAUAAUAAUGAUUUCAGAAGUAAAUGCAAGAGAUGAGUUUGCGACAGUUACUUGGAUGAGUUCUUGACUUGAUCCUCCCCGUCAACGGCGCGAGAAAUCCUUCUGCUGCCUCUUGAGCUUGCGUUGGUUUUUCCCUUUAUGAGGAAAGGGUGAUGCAGCACACGAGCAGUAAGUAUUUCCCUCAGUUCGAGAACCAAGGUAUCAAUCCAGUAGGAGAAUCGAGGUCAAGUCCAGAGUACCUGCGCAAACACAAAAGAGCUUGCACCCAACGCUUUGAAGGGGUUGUCAAUCCCUUCAAGAUUGAUUGCAAAGUGAGAUCUGAAGGCGGAAAGUGCAACGAAGUAAAAGUAUAAGGCUGAAAAUAUGGUGUGAAGUAGACCCGGGGGCCAUAGUGUUCACUAGAGCCUUCUCUCAAAAUAGCAAAUAAUACGGUGGGUGAACAAAUUACUGUCGAGCAAUUGAUAGAACCGCACAAAGUCAUGACGAUAUCUAAGGCAAUGAUCAUACAUAUAGGCAUCACGUCUGAGACAAGUAGACUAAUACUUUCUGCAUCUACUACUAUUACUCCACACAUCGACCACUAUCCAGCAUGCAUCUAUUGUACUGAGUUCAUGACAUACAGAGAAACGCCUUAAGCAAGAUGACAUGAUGUAGAGGGAUAAACUCAAACCAAUGAUGAAAACCCCAUAUUUUUACCCUUGAUGGCAACAACACAAUGCGUGCCUCGCUGCCCCUUCUAUCACUAGGAGAGGUCAGCGCACGGUAUGAACCCAAAACCAAGCACUUCUCCCAUUGCAAGAAUCAUAGAUCAAGUUGGCCAAACAAAACCCACAACUUGAAGAGAAUUACAAGGAUACGAAAUCAUGCAUAUAAGAGAUCAGAAGAAACUCAAAUAAGAUACAUAGAUAAUCUGAUCAUAAAUCCACAAUUCAUCGGAUCUCGACAAACACAACGCAAAGAAGAAUACAUCGGAUAGAUCUCCAUGAAGAUCAUGGAGAACUUUGUAUUGAAGAUCCAAGAGAGAAAAGAAGCCAUCUAGCUACUAGCUAUGGACCCGAAGGUCUAUGGUGAACUACUCACGCAUCAUCGGAGAGGUCAUGGUGUUGAUGAAGAAGCCCUCCGUAUCCGAAUCCCCCCUCUGGCAGGGCACCAGAACAUGCCCCAAAUGGGAUCUUGCGGAGACAGAAUCUUGCGGCGGCGAAAAAGUAUUUUCGUGAUCUCUCUCGCAGUUUUGGAUUUUUUCUGAAUUUAUAGGGGGAAGAGGUAGGGCAGACGAGCCACAGGGGGCCACAAGCCUGCAAGGCGCGGGCCCCCUGUCCGCGCCUAGGGGGCUUGUGGGGUCCCCUGGUGGCCCCUUCCUUGGUUCUCAAGUCUCGUGCAUAUGUUUUGUUCCGGAAAAAAUCUUUUCGGAAGUCUUAUUCUGUUUGGACACUGUUUAAAUUCCUCCUCUGUAAAGGGUCAAAAACACGGAAAAAAUAGGAACUGGCACUUAGCACUGAGUUAAUAAGUUAGUCCCAAAAAAGAUAUAGAAGGCAUACAAAACAUCCAAAGUUUGACACGAUAAUAACAUGGAACCAUAAAAAAUUAUAGAUACGUUGGAGACGUAUCAGACACGUACCCACACGUGGCAACUUCGGGGUGUUGUGCUGGUGUGUGGGCGGACGCGUGGUCCAUGCAUCAGCGAUGGCUUGCUCGUCGGUGGAGGCGUUCUUAGGACGGGAAGGCUCCCUGGGCCCACACCUCUCUUCGGGCCUUCUUUUCCUCCCCNNNNNNNNNNNNNNNNNNNNNNNNNNNNNNNNNNNNNNNNNNNNNNNNNNNNNNNNNNNNNNNNNNNNNNNNNNNNNNNNNNNNNNNNNNNNNNNNNNNNNNNNNNNNNNNNNNNNNNNNNNNNNNNNNNNNNNNNNNNNNNNNNNNNNNNNNNNNNNNNNNNNNNNNNNNNNNNNNNNNNNNNNNNNNNNNNNNNNNNNNNNNNNNNNNNNNNNNNNNNNNNNNNNNNNNNNNNNNNNNNNNNNNNNNNNNNNNNNNNNNNNNNNNNNNNGGCCUUCUUUUCCUCCCCGGCAGGGUUACCUUGCCGGGGGCUCUUCUCGUUCCUCUCGGCAGGGAGGUGAUGGCCUACCAAGGCCUUGUCAAUCUUCCCAGCAACGAUGGUUUGUUGGGGCUCAGUCCUUCUUCCUUGGCGGGAGGGUCUCGCCAUGUUAGUGCCUAUCUUCUCGGCGGGGAGCUCCUGCUGGGGUCUCUUCUUCAGUCCCAACAAGCGGGCGCUUGCCGGGGGGGGGGGGGGCNNNNNNNNNNNNNNNNNNNNNNNNNNNNNNNNNNNNNNNNNNNNNNNNNNNNNNNNNNNNNNNNNNNNNNNNNNNNNNNNNNNNNNNNNNNNNNNNNNNNGGGAGAGGAUCCGCCACUACUAUAUCCUCAAGUUGUUUCCUUUCUCGCUAAAGGAUGAUGCUAAGACUUGGUUCACUUCUCUUGCUCCUGGUUGUGUGCGUAGCCCCCAGGAUAUGGUCUACUACUUCUUUGAAAAAUAUUUCCCUGCCCAUAAGAAGCAAGCUGCCUUGCAAGAAAUAUACAACUUUGCGCAAGUUGAAUAAGAGAGUCUCCCACAAGCUUGGGGGAGGCUUGUCCAGCUACUGAAUGCUUUGCCUGAUCACCCUAUUGAAAAGAAUGAAAUACUUGAUAUCUUCUAUAAUGGAUUUAUCGAUGCUUCUAGAGACCACCUAGAUAGUUGUGUUGGUUGUGUUUUUAGGGAACGAACUGUAGAACAAGCUGAGAUCCUAUUGAAUAAUAUCUUGUGCAAUGAGAAUGCUUGGACUAUUCCCGAACCACCUCCUAAGCCAACUCCAAACAAAAUAGGUAUUCUAUUCCUCAGUCCUGAAGAUAUGCAAGAAGCUAAGAAAUCUAUGAAAGAGAAAGGCAUUAAAUCUGAAGAUGUCAAAAAUCUACCACCUAUCAAAGAGAUCCAUGGUCUUGAUAACCCGAUACAGGUAGUAGAAGUAAAUUCUCUGUGUAGGUUUGAUGAGAGUGAUAUUCCUUUUGAUAAACCUGCUAGCCUAUGCCUGGAUGAAUUUGAUAACUUUGUUGCCAAACAACAGAGCUUCAAUGAUUACGUUAGCAAACAAUUGGAACAGAAUGCUCGUAUGCUUAGUCAUUUAAGUGCUUGUGUAGACAGAAACGUCAAUGAUCUUAAGCUCCUGAGUAAGCAUGCCUCUAUGGUUACCAAGGUUGUCAAAAUCGUGAUUCUGAAUCGGAUCGGAGCUCCGUUGGUAGGAUCGUGAAUCGUAGAAUCAUAACUAUCAAGAUAGUAGAAACUUAGAUUCUAUGAGCAAAGUCGUGGAAUCAGAGGGGCUAGUUUGGAUCGUAAAGUCGUAAGAUUCUAAGACUUGAGUCGCGAUUCUGAUAACUUUGAUGGUUACUACUCAGGUAGAACAAGUACUUAAAGCUCAGAAUGACUUGCUCAAUGAGUUGAAUGACAAUUCUGUUAGAGUCAUCACGAGAGGCGGUAGAAUGACCCAGGAACCUUUGUAUCCUCAGGGUCAUCCUAAGAGAAUUGAACAAGAUUCUCAAGGAGUUAGCACUGAUGCACCUAGUCAUCCUAGAAAGAAGAAGAAAGAUGAUAGGGAUUUGCACGUUAGCAACCCUGUUGCUGAUUCACCUGAGAGUCCAAAGGAUGUCUCUGCUUCUGAUGCUGAGACACAAUCUGGUGAUGAACAUGAGCCUAAUGAUAAUAUCAAUACUGAUGUUCAUGAAGAUGCUCAACCUAGCAAUGAUAAGGAUGUGGAGAUUGAACUUGUUGAUCUUGAUAACCCACAGCCUAAGAAUAAGAGAUACGAUAAGAAUGACUUCACUGCUAGGAAGCAUGCUAAAGAAAGGGAACCAUGGGUUCAGAAACCCAUGCCCUUUCCUCCCAAACCAUCCAAGAAAAAGGAUGGUGAGGAUUUUGAGCGUUUUGUUGAAAUAAUUAGACCUGUCUUUCUGCAAAUGCGUUUGACAGGUAUGCUCAAAAUGUCUCUGUAUGCUAAGUACAUGAAGGAUGUUGUGACUAAUAAGAGGAGGAUACCUGAGGUUGAGAUUCCCACCAUGCUCGCUAACUAUACCUUCAAGGGUGGAACUCCUAAGGAACUAGGUGAUCCCAGAGUGCCCACUAUACCUUGCUCUAUUAAAGGUAACUACAUUAGAACUGCUUUAUGCGACCUUGGAGCCGGUGUUAGUGUUAUGCCUCUCUCUCUUUAUCAUAGACUUGAGCUGGAUAAGUUGACACCCACUGAAAUCUCUCUGCAAAUGGCCGACAAAUCAAUUGCUUUCCCUAUCGGCAUUUGCGAGGAUGUGCCUGUUGUGGUUGCCAACGUUACUAUCUUAACAGACUUUGUUAUCUUGGAUAUUCCCGAGGACGAUGCCAUGGCGGUCAUCCCCGGAAGACCCUUUUUAAACACUGCAGGGGCUGUUAUAGAUUGCAACAAAGGCAAUGUCACUUUCCAUGUCAAUGGUAAUGAGCAUACGGUGCACUUUCCGAAGAAACAAUAUCGAGUACAUUGCAUCAAUGCUAUCGAAAAAACUUCAUCGAUUCUUAUUGGGAGCUUUGAAUGCCCUAUACCUACUAUUAAGAUGAAGUAUGAUUUGAUUGUCGGGGAUAUGCACAUCCCCAUUGAGGUGACCUAGUGACUAUUCGAAAAUUCUCUGUUCUCUUUUGCGAUUUGAAAAAGUUUGACAAGGAGACUUCAUCAACCUCAUUGACGGAUUUCUUUCGAUGACCAUGAGACGGAUGAAUCGAGGAGUCACAAACCUAUGUUCCAAGUUUUCACAUUCGGUUGCUUAGAAAAAAAAUGAUAGAACUAGUUUAGUUUUCCCUGUUUUCUGCUGUUAGCGUCCCGUAGAUAAGUACCCCCAAAAUAAAAGUUCUCCGGAUGCCGUGAAAAUCAAAUAUGAUUUUUUCUGGAAUUUUUGAAAAAUAUUGAGACGAAGAGCUAGUCUGGGGGUUGCACCAGUGGGCCACAAGUCCUGGAGGCGCGGGCACCCCCCUGGCCGCGCCUACUAGGCUUGUGGGGCCCACGUGCACCCCCUCCACUCAUUCUAACUCCCAUCUGCUUCUCCUACCUCCAGAAAAAAUCGUUUCGCAGCUCAAACCCGUGUUCUUGCUCUUCUUGUUGGGAUUUUCGAUCUCCUUGUGCAAAGCACCAUUUACCAAGCUGUUUUGGGGAAAUUACUCCUUGGUAAGUGACUCCUCCAUUGGUCCAAUUAGUUUUUGCUCUAGUGCCUUAUACUUCGCGUAUUUCUGCUGCCUUGGUGACCAUGUUCUUGAGCUUUCCAUGCUAAUUUUAGCUGGUCCCAAGUAGUUUUGAUGCAUAAUAUGGCCUCUAGGCACUUGUGGGAGUAGUUGCUACGAGUUUCGCUAGGCCUUGUUCAUUUUUCCUUAGAGUCACUGAAAAUUUCAGAAAAGGAAGAUGUUCAGGAGAAACUAUCAUGGUGGUUCCUCAAGCAAGAGAGGUCCCCGUCUCGCGAUUCGGGAGCCCGGUCCUUACCAACCAAGGAACGCACAGGUACAACCAUGUGAAUGGCCUUCUGAUGAAUUCAUGAUUGAGGCAGGUUUCAAAGACGAGUUUGAUACACUUGUUCAUAGCGUCGGACUCGAAGAAUUCAUCUCCGAUAAAUGUGAAAAGUAUGUUGCUCUCACUGCCUCUUUUUUUCGUAGAUUCAAAUUUUUAGUUGGCCGUGAUACAUCUAUACUGUUUGAUCUCUAUGAAAAAUCGUAUACCAUGGAUUUAGAGGAUUUCAAUAGAAUUUGCAAGAUACCUAUUUGGGGUAGUCUCAAUGAUCCUCCUAAAUCUUUGGUUAGAGAUUUUUUUCUCUGGUAUAACUGUUGGAGAAACUAGAGAUAUUACGCAGGCUACCAUGGGGAGCAUUCAUUUUCCUGCCUUGCAUUACUUUGCCCUCUUCAUAGGCAGAUGCAUUAAUGGCAAGAUUGAGCAUUGUCACCUUUGUGCACCCAACCUUAGUAUCCUAAAGAGCGCAGUAACGGGUGAUAGAAGUUUUAACAUGGGAGCUAUAAUAGCAAGGAGGCUGAAUAAUAAUGCUAAUGAAGGGGAUUUCUUUGGUGGGAUCUAUGCCACUUGCAUAGCAAAUUUUCUUGGAGUACCCAUCCGCGAAGGAGAUCCCCCGCUCCAUACAGCUUUCCUUGAUCGCACCGCUUUGACACGCUGUCAGUUCCUUGAGAGGGAUGAUGAAUCCCUCCUAUAUCGUUUAAUAUUUAACCGGCAGCGUGUUUUCCAUAUUACCCUUCCUGCUCCUACCUUCUUUGACUUUCAGGUAAAACAGAGAUAUUACAUAACCAGAGGAGAGACCGAGGAGUAUGAGAGGGAGGCAAAGGCUGCUCGUCUCCGUGAGGCAGCUAUUCAGGCAGUGGCUGCAGCGCUCCCGUAUAACCCCCAUUAUGAUUUUGGGUAUCGCCCGGACCAUCCUUGGGAGUAGACCAACUUAGGCCAAAAGCCUAAGCUUGGGGGAGUACGUGUUUCUCACCGACUUUAUAUUCUUGCUUAUGCUUUCACUUUGUUUAUUCGGUGUUCACACUUUGCCACUGUAUCAUCCAUGCUAAUUUAUUUCUUUUUCUCGUUUUCUUUUCGUGUGUCUGUCUAGUUCGAAAAAGCCCAAAAAGAUUUUCUUGUUCUUCUUUUGCUUGUUGGGAGCUUUCCCGUGUAAAUAGUUUUCUUUUUCUUUGGGUCAAGGUGGAAGACCAUGGUUACAAUGUUUAGUGGCUCUCGCUUGCAUAUCUGUUUAUGUGUCAAAGAUCCAUAUUACCUUGUCUUCUCCUUUGUGUUUGCCUACAGAUUCCAGCGUAGUCCAAUGCACGAGCACUCUUAUUAUUGUUCACAUCAUUCGGUCGUGCAAGUGAAAGGCAAUAAUGAGGAUAUAUGAUGAAGUGACUGAGCCUGGAAAAGUUGGUAUGAACUCGAUCUAUUUUGUUUUUGUAAAUAUGACUAGCUCAUCGUUCCUGAUUCAGCUUUGUUGUGAGAGAAACAUGUUUGCAAUGACAACUUAGAGAUCAUAGUUUCUGAUGCCAUGCUUAAUUAGCUAGGAGCUUAUAAUGGUUUGUCUUGGAUGCCAACAUGAAUCUUGAGAUGAAUAUGAUGUAGUAUGAUAGGAUGGUAUCCUCCUUUGAAUGAUUCAAGUGGCUUGACUUGGCGCAUGUUUAUGCAUGUAGUUGAAACAAAAUCAACAUAGCCUCUAUGAUAUUCAUGUUCACGGUGAUUUAUGUCCUACUCAUGCUUGCACUCAAUGCAUUUUGAUGACUGUUGUCGCUCUCUAGUUGGUCGUUUCCCAGUCUUUUCCUAGCCUUCACUUGUACUAAGUGGGAAUACUGCUUGUGCAUCCACUUCCAUACACCCAAAGUUGUUCCAUAUGAGUCCACCAUACCUACCUAUAUGCGGUAUCUACCUGUCGUUCAAAGUAAAUUUGUCUGUGCCACUGUCUAAACCUUCAAGAAAUAAUCUGUUUUGCAUGCCUGAACCGCUCAUGUGGUGACAGGGGGCUAUCAGUAUCUUCCAUGCUAGGCGUGUUAUCCUCGAUAUGUGUUUAUUCACUAUCAUUCACGAGAAAGGGGUCGGUAAUUGGAAUGCCCAGUUCCAUGCUCAAAUUGAAAAGAUAAUUGCAAACAAAACUCCCCAUGGAUUGAUGUUGGUAUGGACGGCACCCGAGUAUUCGGCUAGUCGUGGAGUGUGAUUGAUUGGUGGUGGGGGAGUCAAAACUUUAAUUUUCUGUUUGGGAACCGCCUAUAGUAUGUGUAGCGUGGAAGAUGGUGAGAACUCUUAGUCAUUGCGUUGACAAUGAAAGCAUGCCACCCAAAAUUAUUAUCUCUGUUUUCAAAGCUUGAGCUCUGGCACCUCUGCAUCAAUGCUUCCCUCUGCGAAGGGCCUGUCUAUUUAUGUUCAUGUUGAGUCAUCCUCCUCUUAUAAAAGCACCAAUUAGAGAUUACCUCUGUCAUUUUUAUGCUUUCCUUUUAACUGUGUUGAGUAUGACUGUGACUGGAUCUUCUUUGCCAUGAAUUACAAUGUUUAGUCAGCCCUUGGUCUUUGAAGGUGCUCUGCAUUUAUAUUUUGCGGUCUUAGAAAGAGCUAGCGAGAUACCAUCUGUUCGUACUGCUUCAUGAUUGUUUUGAUUGAAGUGUUGACGUUUGAGACUUAUUAUUAUUUGCUCGCUAGUUAAUUAUGCCAUUGAUAUGAGUUUACCGUGAGACCUAGAUGUCAUUUGCUUAUGUGGUUUGCUUGUGAUCUUGCUGAAAUUCUGGAUAUGAGUUAGACAUAGUUGCAACAACAAGAUCAAACAGAGUUCGUAAAAGUUUUCCUUUUGUCUCUUUCAGUUUGUAAACUGAAUUGCUUGAGGACAAGCAAGGCUUUAAGCUUGGGGGAGUUGAUACGUCUCCAUCGUAUCUACUUUUCCAAACUCUUUUUCCCUUGUUUUGGACUCUAAUUUGCAUGAUUUGAAUGGAACUAACCCGGACUAAUGUUAUUUUCAGCAGAAUUGCCAUGGUGUUGUUUUUGCACAGAAAUAAUAGUUCUCGGAAUGACCUGGAAAUUUACGGAGAAUUUUUGUGGAAUAUAUAAAAAAUACUGGCGCAAGAAUCUGCGGAGCAAGUGGAGCGUGGAGCCCACAAGCCCACCAGCCGCGGGCACCCCCCCCGGCUGCGCCUGGCAGGCUUGUGGGGCCCACAAAGCUCCACCGCCUCCAAAUCUAGAUCUAUUUAAUAUGUUUCGUCCGGAAAAAAUCAAGGAGAAGAGUUCAUCGUGUUUUACGAUAUGGAGGCGCCGCCACUUCCUCUUCUUCCUCUGGAGGGCAGAUCUGGAGUCCGUUCUGGGCUCCGGAGAGGGGAGAUCGUCGCCAUCGUCAUCACAGACCUUCCUUCAUCGCCAAUUCCAUGAUGCUCUUCACGUGUGACAGCCCGAGACCGGCGUUCCAGAAGAUUCCCCUUUCUUUCCGUUUUCGUCGUGUGCCUAUUUUAUUUUGUCGCGUCAUCAUCGCAUCAUGCGCAUCAUCCACAUUGCAUCGGCAUCUCCGUUGCCGACAGUUUUCAAAACUUGCAUCCGUUGUUAGUUGUCGGUUCACGUCGUUGUCCGUUCUAAGCCCGACCGCACACGCACGCGCCCGCGGCAUCGUCCAAACCCUGUUUUAAAAAGUGUUCGUAAAACUUUUGCUGAUCGGGUUGAGAUUUGACGUGCGGUCUUAUUUUAAUAUAGCUAGGCCGCCUGUCAAGUUUCGUCGCGAUCGGAGUUCGUCUGGUACCCGAACGGUCGCCCAUAGCGGCACCACAAUCGGUCUACCGUCGGACGUCUGCCGGUGUUUUAAAAUUCGUUGUCGCGCCGCCCGUUCUCCCUCUCGUCUCCGGAUAUCCCCUCUACACGGCCGCGUACCCAUACCUGCGUUCGGAAUCGUCCGAAUCCGACCCCGCGGUUGGAUCCGGAGCGCGAUUCCGGUUAACCGAGCCCCCCGUUUGUCUAUAUAUAGACCCCUUCUAAUUUUUCGACAGCCUCCCUCUAAUCCCUCCUUGAUUUCCGCGCCACCUACCCGAAACCCUAGCCUCCCACCUGCUCUCUCUCUCUCCUCCCCCGCGCCGCCGGCCCACCAGGCCCAGAUCGGGCCCGGCCGAGCCCAUCGCGCCGCCGCCGCCGUGGCUCGAGCCCCUGUGCUCCCGAGGCUCCCGAGCUCCUGGCCAUGGCCGCGCCUGCCCGGAAGAAGCCCCCGUCNNNNNNNNNNNNNNNNNNNNNNNNNNNNNNNNNNNNNNNNNNNNNNNNNNNNNNNNNNNNNNNNNNNNNNNNNNNNNNNNNNNNNNNNNNNNNNNNNNNNNNNNNNNNNNNNNNNNNNNNNNNNNNNNNNNNNNNNNNNNNNNNNNNNNNNNNNNNNNNNNNNNNNNNNNNNNNNNNNNNNNNNNNNNNNNNNNNNNNNNNNNNNNNNNNNNNNNNNNNNNNNNNNNNNNNNNNNNNNNNNNNNNNNNNNNNNNNNNNNNNNNNNNNNNNNNNNNNNNNNNNNNNNNNNNNNNNNNNNNNNNNNNNNNNNNNNNNNNNNNNNNNNNNNNNNNNNNNNNNNNNNNNNNNNNNNNNNNNNNNNNNNNNNNNNNNNNNNNNNNNNNNNNNNNNNNNNNNNNNNNNNNNNNNNNNNNNNNNNNNNNNNNNNNNNNNNNNNNNNNNNNNNNNNNNNNNNNNNNNNNNNNNNNNNNNNNNNNNNNNNNNNNNNNNNNNNNNNNNNNNNNNNNNNNNNNNNNNNNNNNNNNNNNNNNNAUAAAAACGUACCAGUAGCUCAAUAACCGUUGAAAGCAUCCAAAAUGGAACUACUGGUACGUUUUUAUUGGCUUAAAUAUGUCACACACACUAGAGAGUAACUUUUGUUCCCACAAUUCAUCAAGGGCAAAAGAGUCAUUUUACAACCACAUUUAACACCGUUAGUGUUCAGAUUGCACUACAGGGCCAUAUUAGGAAGGAAAUGAAGUUUAGAUGUCAAAUAGGGAAAAAAAUAAUAUUUAGGGCCAAAUAGGGAAGAAGAAUUUAAGAAAGGGCCAAAUAAGGAAUUCUCUCCAUAUUUUAUAUGUUUCCGGGGUAGAAAAAUCCCAUGGAUUUUUCUGUGCAAUUAGUUUUAGCAUUAGAGCAAGUUAGUUCGCGAGAUAUUUUGCUAAGUUGCCCUUUUGUUAAUUCGUAGGAUUUAUUCCGUGCCUCGUUUGAAUUAGUUCACAACUAGAGAGUUGAUCUUGGAUGUUUUGUUUAGCCCCUGGUAUUUUUGGUUGCAAUAGAAAUGCAUGUUUAGGUGUGUUUUGAUUGCCCUCAAGCUGCUAGAAAUAGUGUUGUUUUAGACGUGCUGAAAUAUUUCUAUGUCUGGAAUCUGUUAUAUUUUUGUUGUUGUCUUGUCUUGCUUGCAUCUUGUGAUCGGUAGCUCUUUUGAGGUUGGUCCAAUGGAGUAAGUUGCAGCCCUUGUGUUUCUCUAGCAUGCUAUGAAGUUUCAUUCCAUUUGGAGUCCUGUAGCUAUAGGUUUUUCUGCUGUCAAUAUAGCUUCAGAUCGAAAACUGCACUUUCGUGAAGUGCUAUUUUCACUAAGUCUGAAAUAGUGUGUGAGAUGCCAUUUGGUGUCUUCUUUUCCUAGUGCUCCUUGCUGCCAUGCUAGUUGUUGUUAGUUGUUUGUAGUAGAGCGUCUUGCCCUCUUUCGUGCCAUGCCUUACUUGCGUUUAUCGGAGUUGUGUAGCUCGUAGUUGUGGGGCGUAGAAAGUGCUAUGUGGCUGAUUUUGGCAGAUUGUAGUGUUUUCUUGUUUUACUCGUAGUUUUCGAACCGUAGCUCCGUUUUGAUCGUGUCCUACAUGGAACUUGCUUAGAAUCUCGUGUAGUUUCAUUUUCUCUUGCUGUCUGUAUGUGUUGAAGUGCUCGUAGCUGCCGUUGCACACAUUUUUCCAUUCAUGCCAUCAUAUCUUGCGAUGCUUGUAACUUUUGAUCCGUAGCUCCGUUGGAGGUGUUCUUUAUGUGUAGAUUGCUUGCCAUGACGCGUAGAAUCAUGUGAACCUAUUUGGUUUGCUGUUUAACAACUAAUUAAAUGUGUUAAUUCAGAUCUGGACAGAAUUGUAAAUUAACAUAUGAGGUCGUCUCGGAGAUGCUAUUUGUCAUUUCCGACCUCAUUUAAAAUGCCUAGAUAAGUAGUUUAAUUGCGCUUCACCUCUUGCCAUGUUUAAUCACAUUUAAUAUUUCCGUGUAUCUAAUUGGGAUAGAACUAAAUAAUUAAACGUGGAGUUUCGUCAAUAUGCAACUCGUUGCAUAUUGAACUUCACUUAAUGUGUAGUGUUUGAUUGAGUGGAUUGUCAUGCCGUGACGUGCAUGUUUUCAACUGCUCAUGCAUCAUAUGUGUUGUGCGUCGUGUGGUGAAUAUCGUGUGUUGAUUUGUGUUUCCGGUCUGCUUCGUCUCGAUAGAGUUCCGCAAGCGUGUCGGAUGUGAGGACCCGUUCGACUACGUCGGUUCGUCUGCUUCACGGAGACAUUCUUCUUCCAAGCGGGAUCUCAGGCAAGAUGAUCACUUCCCCAGAUACCAUUACUAUAAUUGUCAUGCUAGUUUAUCGCUUCUAUCGAUUAUGUCUCGUUGCCUACCACCUGUUAAAUUCAGCCUCUCAACAAUGCCAUGAAACCUUCAACCUGUUCAACCUAGCAAACCACUGAUUGGCUUGUUACUGCUUGCUUAACUCUGUUGUUAGCGUUGCUAGUUGCAGGUGCAGUUGCUUCCAUGUGAAACAUGGGUUCCUUGUUAUAUCACCAUAUUAAUGCUAUUUAACUUAAUGGACCUAUAUACUUGGUAAAAGGUGGAAGGCUCGGCCUUUCUAGCCUGGUGUUUUGUUCCACCUUUGGCCCCUUAGUUUCCGGCUACCGGUGUUAUGUUCCAUAAUUGAGCGCUCCUAACACGAUCGGGGUUGUUAUGGGGACCCCUUGAUAAUUCGUUUUAGAUUAAAGCUGGUCUGGCAAGGCCCAACAUUGGUACUACAUUUGCCUAAACACCUAAUAAAAUUGCAUAGGGACUUUCCGGACCCCGAGGAUAAUUUAAUCAACCCCCGGGCCAGUGCCCCUCAUGAGUGUUGGUCCAAAACAGAGCAGCUUAUUAAUGCUACCCGGGCAACUUGGCGUUUGGCGUGGUAACCAUCGCUCAUCCGUCGUGUCUUGAGAACGAGGUACGCGACUCCUAUCGGGAUCGUCGACACGUCGGGCGGCCUUGCUGGAUUAGUUUUACCUUUGAUGAGAUAUCUUGUGCAUCGGGAUUCCGGUGAUGCUUUGGGUAAUCUCAGAGUUGAGGUUUUCCACUAGGGAAUCCGACGAGAUCUCGAGCUUCGUGAUUGAGGAUUUCUAUGCGGCUUGUGGUAAUUUGUGAUGGACUAGUUGGAGCACCCCUGCAGGGUUAAAUCUUUCGGAAAGCCGUGUCCGCGGUUAUGUGGCAACGUGGAAACUUUGUUUAACGCUGGUUCUAAAUAACUUGAAGUUAACUUAAUUAAAACUUGCCAACUGUGUGCGUAACCAUGACUGUCUCUUUCGUGAGUUCUUUCUCCGAUCGAGGACACGGUGGGGUUAUGUCUGACGUAGGUAGGUGUUCAGGAUCAUUCAUUUGAUCAUCAGUAGUUCACGUCCGUUAUGCGUAGAUCUUCCCCCUCUUAUUUCUUGUACUCGUAAGUUUAGCCACCAAAUAUAUGCUUGGCCGCUGCUGCAACCUCAGCACUUAACCAUGCCUCACCCAUUAAGCUUUGCUAGUCUUGAUACCUUUGGAAAUGAGAUUGUUGAGUCCCCUGUGGCUCACAGAUUACUACAACACCAGUUGCAGGUACAGGUAAAGGUUACUUGACGCGAGCGCGUUGAUUGUUCAUUUGGAGUUGCUUCUUAUUCUUCUUCAUCGAUCUAGGAUGGGUUCCAGGCCGGCAGCCUGGGAUAGCAAGGAUGGACGUCGUUCUUCUUUUGUCGUUUGUUUCCGUCCCUAGUCGGACCCUGCUCUUACUCUUGAGGAUUAUGUAAUGUACUGAUGUGACUCUGAUGUAGCUUGUGGCGAGUGUAAGCCAACUCUUUAUAUAUCUCUUCUUUUCAGUACAUGUACUUGUAACGAUAUCCAUUCUUGCGACACGACGAGAUGCGCUUCUAUCCCUGACGAGGCCCUCGAGCCAAAUCGAGGAUAGGGUCGCAUCUUGGGCGUGACAUCACCGUUCGUGAGUAAUCUCAUCGUAGGCUUGCUUGACAGUGAUGGGUUGGAUGAGAUCUAUCAUGUAACCGAGUUAAUUUUGACGGGGAUUGAUCCCUAGUAUCCACUAUGUUCUGAGAUUGAUGUUGCUACUACUUUGCCAUGCUUAAUGCUUGUCACUAGGGCCCGAGUGCCAUGAUUUCAGAUCUGAACCUAUUAUGUUGUCGCCAAUAUAUGUGUGUUCUUGAUCCUAUCUUGCAAGUUGUAGUCACCUACUAUGUGUUAUGACCCGGCAACCCCGGAGUGACAAUAGCCGGAACCACUCCCGGAGAUGACCAUAGUAUGAGGAGUUCAUGUAUUCACUAAGUGUUAAUGCGUUGGUCCGGUUCUUUAUUAAAAGGAGAACCUUAAUAUCCUGUAGUUUCCAUUAGGACCCCGCUGCCACGGGAGGGAUGGACAAUAGAUGUCAUGCAAGUUCUUUUCCUUAAGCACGUAUGACUACAUACGGAAUACAUGCCUACAUUACAUUGACGAAUUGGAGCUACUUAUAUCUCUCCGUGUUAUAGCUAUUGCAUGAUGAAUAGCAUUCGGCAUAGUCAUCCAUCACCAAUCCAAUGCCUACGAGUUUUUCCUACUGGUCCUUGCUAUGUUACUUUGCCGCUACUGCUGUCACUGCUGCUACUGUUACUCUGUUGCUACUUCUGUUACUUUGCUGCUACUACUGUCACUUUGCUACUACUGGUUACCGUUGCUACUGCUCCUAUCAUACUACCUUGCUACUGAUACUUUGCUGCAGAUACUAAAUCUUUCAGGUGUGGUUGAAUUGACAACUCAACUGCUAAUACUUGAGAAUAUUCUUUGGCUUCCCCUUGAGUCGAAUCAAUAAAUUUGGGUUGAAUACUCUACCCUCGAAAACGGUUGCGAUCCCCUAUACUUGUGGGUUAUCAGAGACUAUUAGGAGGACUGUUGUAGACCAAAAGAGAUCUUGUGGAUAUGCCCCAUACAUUCAGAUACUUAUCAAUGGCAAACUUGGCACGCAUGCAUAUCUGCUUGAUCGUCCCCAUUUUCCCCUUCAGCCUGAAUUUGAAGAUAAUGAAGUUGUGAUGGAUGCCAAUGAUCCCAGCUCACCGCAUCUAGAGAGACAGCAGAGGCAGCAGCAGCACAGGCUACUAGGAAUGUGCCACCACCAGUUCCACAACUCAGAACUCAAGCUGAGCAAAUGACAUUUCUAGUGAGUUCUAUCCAAGGUAUGGAGAAGAACAUCUCGGAGAUUAUGCUAAACCAAAGGAUUUUAGAGAGGAUCGUGGAAAUCAAAUUCCAUGAUUUGGACGUCAAAGUGACAGAGACAUCUGCUAGUGUUGAUCAGCUCAAGCAUCAAGUUGAUGGUGUGAGGACACCCAGUUCAACUACUGAUGAUGAAGAGUCGCCUCCUCACACUACCACUUAGUUUAGUACCAAGCCCCGGUCAGCGGUUGUGCCAGUGUCGGAAGCAAGACCAACUUCAUCAACUCACGCAUUUGUACCUUCAUCUUCAGCCCCAGCUCGAGCACCUCCAGUAUCGACUCCUCCAGCUCCAGGACAUUCUCCCGAAGUCUUUGCCGACGCUCUUCUGUCUACUCCAUCAUCACUACCCCAGUAGAUAGGGCCCACAUAGACGAUUAGCUCAAUACUUUCGAACUUUUUGGUAACUCGUUGCCAAAGGGGAGAAAUGUAUAGAUCUUAGGGCUUCGAGCGAGAGAGAGAUUUUGACAUUAUUUUCUCUGUUUGGUCGUUUGGUUUUUACAAAACUUUGUCUCGUUGGAUGAAUUUAUCUAGUUACCUGUGUUUGAUCAUACGCUUUGGUUGGUUGAUGCUACUACAUUAUUAUCUUUGAGCUAUGCAUACGAUGAUCAUUCACUUAUUCUUUUGGUGCAAUGUGCAUUACUAUUCAUUCAUAUCAUGUAUAAGCACCACCAAGAUGUAUGUGACAUGAAAGAGUGACCCAUGAUAUUAAUCGGUUGUGCAUUUGCAUUCAAAUGCAAAUUAUAAAUAAUGCACAAAUUUAGGGGGAACUCUUGCUUUUCACAUACUUCUCAAAGCAUCAAUGCUAAUCAUUGAUUAUAUCUUUUGUCGAAGCUUUGAUCUAUAUGUUGUCAUCAAUGAGCAAAAAUGGGGAGAUUGAAAGCACAAUUGCUCCCUAAGGUGGUUUUGAUAAUUGAUCACAACAUAUGCAUCAUUGGACUAAUGAUUUUAUCCUAGUAUAUUUCAGAAAAUUUCAAAAGAUGCAUUGGUAAAGGUUUAUGUGGAGAAGCUCCUUGGUGCAAGAAAGGAAUAAGAUUGGCUCAAGCUUCAAGCAAAAAGAGUCUUCGUUUUAUAUUUGUGAGAAAUCACUUUUGAGUCCAUAGGAAAGCCAAUACUAUUAAAAGGGGGUGAGGUAUUAAAAUGAACUGGUUCCUCAAGUGCUCACACGUAGCCACCAAAAAUACUCAGUCAGUUUUCCACAUAACACUUCUUUCUAUAGCCACAUAUCCAAAAUCGGUGCCACCAAGUUUUCAGAUUCGGCCCUACCGAUUUUCAACCCACACAGAACCCUAGCCAAACCUACCAUUUCGGUACAACCAAUUAUGCAUCGUUGCUACCGAGUUCAGGUGACCAACUUUCUAUUGCCUUGGUACACGAAAUUGGAAUUUUUGUGUUUUGGUAUCGGAGUCACCGAGUUGGGCCAUAUGACCGUUAGCCACAUUUUCAGUUCCACCGAGUUGUGUAUACCGGUCUCACUGAGAUUCAAAAGUUGCUGCCUUUUGUGCAAGUCGGUACCACCAAUUUUAUGACUUCGAUGUCACUGAGUUGGUCACUUCAGGUGUAAUGGUUGGAUUUUGGGUGCUGCCUAUAUAUACCCCUCCACCUACCUCACAUUCGUAGAGGAAGCACUUAGAACACACACUUCAUUGCCAAAACCAUUUUUCUGAGAGAGCGCCACCUACUCAUGUGUUGAGAUCAAGAUAUUCGAAUCCAUCCAUUUGAAACUUGAUCUCUAGCCUCCCCAAGUUGCUUUCCACCAAAUCAAUCUAUCCUACCCACGCAUAUUCUGUGGGAGAGUGAUUGAAUGUUGAGGAGACUAUCUUUAGAAGCACAAGAGCAAGGAGUUCAUUGUUCUACCACAUCUAUUGCCUUUUGGAGGGUGGUGCCUCCUAUAUAUGUUAGGUGUCGCUUGGGAGCCUCGUACAUCGUGUUGUGGAGUUGAACCAAUAUGUUUGUAAGGGCAAGGAGAUCGCCUACUUCAUGAAGAUCUACCGUGAGUGAGGCUAGUCUUGUGUGGACAAAAGCCUUGGUGGAAUAGACAAGACCGCUUCUUCGUGCACCCCUUGUGGGUGGAGCCCUCCGUGGACUCUCGCAGCCGUUACCCUCCAUGGGUGAAGUCUCCACUAAAAUGGACGUACGAUAGCGCCACCUAUCAGAACCAUGCCAAAAAUUGUCGUGUGAACCUCUUGCGUUUGAUCUCCCUACCUUACUCCCUUUAAUUUACACUUGCAUGUUUUACCUUCCCCUGCUAUAUCCUUAGAUGUGCAUGUUAAGGGUGUACUUGACUUGCCAUAAUUGCUAAAACUUGCCCACAACUAAAAUUGGGAAAGGCUAAGUUUUUAUUGGUCAAGUAGUCUAAUCACCCCCUCUAGACAUACUUUCGAUCCUACAGUAUGCACCAUAUAUUCAUAUGCUCAUCAAUGCGAGCAUUGGCAAGCAUGCAUAUCUACUUGAUCGUCCACACAUGCCACUUCAGCCAGAGCUCGAGGACAAUGAAGUUGUGAUGGACCUCGGUCGUCCCAGCUCAGCUACAGCUCGUUAGCACGCAGAGACAGCAAAGGCAGAUGCAGCCAGAGAUGCUCCAGCACCACAGUUGAGAUCUAGAGAGGAGUAGAUGUCAUUUCUUGUCAGCACCAUCCAAGGUAUGGAGAAGAGUAUUUCAUAGAUCUUGCUGAAUCAGAAGAGCCUUGAGAGGAUCGUGGAGACUAGAUUCCAUGACCUGUAUGUCAAAGUGAAAAAGUUGGCUACAAUUGUUGAGCAGCUCCAGCGUGAGGUUGAUGCACUGCAUAUAUCCCAUUCCAGAAAUGAUGAUUAUGAUUUGCCUCAUUCCACAACUACUCAGUUCAAGACCUAGUCUAGGUCUAUAGCUGUGCCAGUGACGGAAGCAAGACCAACUUCAUCAACUCAAUCAUUAAUGCCUUCGGCUCCAGCUCCACCUCCUGCACCUUGAGUGUCAACGCCUCCACCUCUGGGGACAUCCGCUUAAUCCUUCAACGAUGCUCUUCUGUCGACUCCAUCAACUACUACCGGAGGAGAUCGAGCCCAGAGCAACGGUUAGUUCUAGACCUUUGAACUUUUUGGUAACUUGUUGCCAAAGGGGGAGAAGUGUAUAGAUCAUUCAGGGCUGAGAGAGAGAGAGAGGGGGAUCUUUGCUUUUUUAUUUGCUCUCGUUUGGUUUUACAAAACAUUUGGUCUUUUAGAUGACUCGAACUUUCGUGUUUGAUCAUACGCUUUGAUUGUUGAUGCUACUACGUUAUACCUAUGAGUUAUCUACAUGAUAAUCAUUCACUCAUUUUUUGGUGUUAUGUGCAUUACUAUUUAUUCAUAUCAUUUAUGCGCACCACAAAGAUGUAUGUGACAUGGAAAAGUGACCCAUGAUCAUAAUCGAUUGUGCAUUUGCAUUCAAACGCAAAUUUAAAAUAAUGCACAAAUUUAGGGGACCUCUUUCUUUUCACAUACUUCUCGAAGCGACAAUGCUAAUCAUUGAUUUUAUCUUUUGUCGAAGCUUUGAUCUAUAUGUACUCAUCAAUUACAAAAAAGGGAGAGAAUGAAAGCACAAUUGCUCCCUAAGGUGGUUUUGGUAAUUAAUAAGAACAUAUGUGUCAUUGAACGAAUGAUUCUAUCCAAGUAUAUUUCACAAAAGUUCAAAGAUGCACUGGUGUUAGAGCAUAUUUCUCCAUAUGUGGUUUUGGUAAUUGAUGACAAUACCUAUGGACUAAUGGUUGCCUUAAGUUAUAUUUGUAGGAUUUGUCAAUAGACACUUCUUGAAGUCCAUCUGCUGGUUUCAAUGAGUUUAUAUGAUGACCAAGGUGGUAUUCAUGAUUUUAUCCAAAGAUUGGCCAUAAAAACACAAGGUUGAUCAAGACUAAGUCAAAGAGUGAAUCAAGUUGAUCAAUACACAAAGCGUACAAGAUGUACCGAGAGGGAUCAAGUGAUCCAAUGGUAUGGUAAGCAUUGUCCAUUACACUUUUUGUACUAAUCCGUGGUCUUCAUGAGAGUAUUAUGUGGGGUUAGGUGGGUUUCCAUGGGCUUCUGUCAAGAGGAAGAUCUCAUACAACCCAUCGAGGAUGACGUCAAGUGGUGAUCGUCAUCAAGAUUGUAGUUUGCAAGUUCAAGUGGAGCAUCACGAAGAUAUCUUGCUUAUAGCUUGUCGUCCAUUGUGGUGGCAAUGGACUUGUGAAGAUGUGCUGAAGAGUGGCUCGCCCAUACUGGAGUAUGGGGGGCAAUCAACUUGUCUUCAUCGAUCCAACACAAUCAAGAAAGGUGGUCCAUCUUGAGGAAGUCAAGAUCGUCAUAUUCUAGCUCAAGUUGACUAUAUGCAAUGUAUAGGUUUGCCAUUGAUAGGUUUCUCUAUUUUAGGAUAGAUCGUCGUACUGUCAAGGGGGCUCCCAAGUGAGUUGCUUGAUUGUAUCGUUCAUUGAGAGCUCAAACCAUUUACAUCUUUGCAUCAUCUUUCUUGGUUCUUUUUUGGUGAUUCUCUUUGUGAAUUGUAGAUCUUAUGGUCAUCUUCAUUACAAGCUCGAGUUCAUCGAAAACGAAGUCCAUAUGCAUCUUCUAUGAUAUUUUCGAUGUUGGGAGUUUUGUCGGUUCUUCAUUCAUAGAGGUCUCACAUCUCUAUAUUUUUGGUGUUAGAGCAUAUUUCUCCAUAUGUAGUAUUGGUAAUUGAUGACAAUCCCUAUGGACUAAUGGUUGCCUUAAGUUAUAUUUGUAGGAUUUGUCCAUAGGCACUUCUUGAAGUCCAUAUGUUGAUUUCAAGGAGUUUAUAUGAUGAGCAAGGUGGCAUUCAAGGUUUUAUCCAAAGAUUGGUCAUAAAGACACAAGGUUGAUGAAGACUAAGUCAAAGAGUAAAUCAAGUUGAUCAACACACAAAGCGUACAAGAUGUACCAAGAAGGAUCAAGUGAUCCCAUGGUAUGGCAAGCAUUGUCCAUUACACUUUGUGUACUAACACAUGGUCUUCGUGAGAGUUCUAUGUAGCGUUAGGUGUGUUUCCAUGGGUUUGCGUCAAGAGGAAGAUCUCAUUCAACCCACAGAAGAUUGUGGUGUGCAAGUUCAAGUGGGGCAUCAUGAAGAUAUCAUGCUUGAAGCUUGCCGCCCAUUGUGGUGGCAAUAGACUUGUGAAGAUGUGCUGAAGAGUGGCUCACCCAUAGUGGAGUAUGGGGAGCAAUUUACAAGUCUUCAUCGAUCCAGCGCAAUCAAGAAAGGUGGUCCAUCUUGAGGAAGUCAAGAUCAUCAUCAUCUAGCUCAAGUGGACUAGGUGCAAGGUAUAGGUUUUCCCUUGAUAGGUUUUUCUAUUUUAGGAUAGAUUGACGUACUGUCAAGGGAGGCUCUCAAAGUGAGUAGCUUGAUCGUAUCGUUUGUUGAGAGCUCAAACCAUUUCCAUCCUUGCAUCAUCUUUCUAGGUUCUUGUUUGGUGGUUCUCUUUGUGUGUUUUAGAGCUUAUGGUCAUCUUUAUGACAAGCUCGAGUUCAUCGAAAAUGGAGUUCAUGUGCAUCUUCUACGAUGUUUUCGAUGUUGGAGUUUUUAUCGGUUCUUCAUUCGUAGAGGUUUCACAUCUCUAUAUAAUUGGCAUUUUUCUAGUACCUCUUAUUGCUAUAACAUUCGUUGUUAGGAUAGUACUUGUCAUCUGCUAUCCAACAAGCUUGAGUUUGCUCAAUUCGGAACUCGUAUGCGAAAGUUAUGGUUGUUUUUGUCUUACGUGUUUUUCACUCAGAGGUUGUACCGCCCCUAAGAGAGAUAUACCGCUUGACCGGUACAACCGGUGUUUGGAGCGGUUGUACCGCUCCAAAAUUGGUCCGGAGGUUGUACCGGCCAUGUACCGCUCUACCACCGAACUAGGUUCUAUUUUGGAGCGUUUCUUGGGCGGUUGAGGGUCGGUUGCACCGCCAUAUUACAUUUACCAGUUGUACCACCCACAUCACCCGUUGUACCGCCCGUGUGUUAUUCUAAACAUAACAGGCAUAUUUGUGGGGACCCAUUUAAGGGGGUCUUCUUCCCAAUGGUUCCCCAACUCUUGAGCUCGUUUUUCCCCAUUGUUGAACUUCUUAGAGCUUGCUAACUCUCAAUCCCUCCAAUGAUUCUUGCUCCUUUUUGAGGGAAAAGAUAGGGGAGAUCUAGAUCCACAUUUCCACCAAUCACUUUCUACUUUGUGUGAGGGGAACCCCUUGGAUCUAGUUCUUCGAGUUCUUGGUGUUCUUCUUUGUUCUUCCUCUCAUUUUACACCAUAGCAUUAGUUGUUGUGGUGGGAUUUGGGAGAGAAGGACUUGGGCACUCCGAGUGCCCUUGCCAUUGCAUCUCGUGCAUAGGUUUGAGUUCUCCACAGUGAUACAUGAAAGUAAAGUUUGAGAAUCUUAUUACUCUUGGGUGCUUGGUACCUUAAAGCUUGUUCUUGUUGGGUGCUUUAGCAUCCUAGAAGCUUGGUGGUGCCUGGGAGAUCAACCAUUGUGGUGUACAGCUCCGGGCAAGUGUCGGGGGUCUCCAAUUAGGUUGUGGAGAUUGCCUCCAGCAUUUGAGGUUACCUCGAACAAUAUUCCAUUGUGGUGAAGCUUUAUGGUGUUGUUGGGAGCCUCCAAUUAAGUUGUGGAGAUUGCCCCAACCUUGUUUGUACGGGUUCGGUGACCGCCCUCAAGGUUCCCUUAGUGGAAUCACGACAUCUUCCCUUGUGCGAGGGAGUGAGGAGAUUACGGUGGCCUUAUUGGUAUCUUGGGGAGCAUUGUGCCUCCACACCGCUCCAAACGAAGAUUAGCAUCCGCAAGGGUGUCAACUUCGGGAUACAUUGUCGUCUCUGCGUGCCUCGAUUAUCUCCUACCCAAGCCCUUUACUUAUGCACUUUACUUUGUGAUAGCCAUAUUGUUUCUUGUUAUAUAUCUUGCUAUCACUUAGUUGUUUAUCUUGCUUAGCGUAAUUUGUUGGUGCACGUAGGUGAACCUAGUUGUUUUAGGUUUUGUGCUUGACAAAUUAAACGUCAGUUUUAUUCCGCAUUUUUUCAAGCCUAAACCGUAAUUAUUUUAAAGAGCAUAUUCACCCCCCUCUAGGUGACAUCCACGUCCUUUCAAUUGGUAUCAGAGCUAGGUCUCUCAUUAUUAGGUUUUACCACCUAGAGAGUAAGGAUGUCGACUAGGGGAUUAGGAUUCUUUGACAUUCUUAGUUUCAGUGGCACAAAUUUUCAUGUUUGGGUAAUUCGCAUGCUUAAUCUCUUUAGGGUUAUUGACCCAAAUUUAGAGCAAAUUGUAGAUAUGGGGUUUUCUCCUCCAAAGGAUUCCCAAAACACAUCUUUAGAGGAUGCGAAAAACUCUUAUCUCAAUGCUCAAGCUUCUAAUGUGCUUUUUGAUGUGUUGAGCAGUGUAGUUAUAUUUCAACUCAUGCCAUUCCGGGAUGCUCAUGAGUUGUGGACAAAGCUUCAAUAUAAAUAUGGUGUGUCCAAGAUUUGUAGGGAUGAUUGUUCUCCCUCCACCUCCGGUGGUGUUGUUUUCUCAACUUCGUCUACUUCACCUACAUGUGGAUUGCCACAAUGUAAUGAUAUGGUGAGUAGUGGUGAUCAUUGCAAUGAUGAUAGUGGGCUUAUUGUUGAUGAUCCUUCAUCACUAUCUUAUUGUAAUGCUUCAUCUUUGGGCGUUAACACUUGGACCGCUCUAAAUUUUUUACAUGCUUGUGUUUAUAGUCCUUGCAUAUCAUGUAAAAACUGACUGACUAAAUCUCAUGAUGACAUGCUUUCUAUAUCUUGUUGCCAUGAUAAAAAUGUAUCUAUUUCCUCGAGUUGUUGUGCUAACAAUGUAGAGGAAAUCCAUCACUUCAUGGAACAAUAUGUGGCCUUGAAUGAUGCUUCAAGGGAUCCUACAUCAUCAUCUAUUGUUUCUCACUUUUGCCUUAUGGCUAAGGCUUCAAAGGUAUCUACUACUUUGAAUCCCAAUAUAUUUCAUGAUGAUGAUGUUGAUGAUAAUGAGGAUGAGGAUAAUGAUGAAGAGAGUGAAAAUAUUGCAUCCUUAAAACUUAAGGGUGAAAUGAUUUUUAAAGCUCUUCAUAAGAAUAAUCUUGCUCGUUCCAACUUCAUGGAAAUCAUGUCUAUUGCCAUUGAGUGCAAGAAUUAUAUUGAGGAGUUGGAAUCUCAUCUCGAGGAGCAUGAGGCCACCAUUGAGAUAAUGGAAGGUCAUGAGCGUGAUUACGCUAAUGAGAUAGUGGAGCUAUCCCAAGCUAUUGAAAAUGAACAAACCACCAAGGAAUCUCUUGAGGAGACCUUUGCCCUAGAAUUAUCUAGAUUAAAUAAAUCCCAUGAUAGAGCUCUUGAGGUGGCUAAUGAUUUUAGAACUAAAAUGAUAAGCUUGAAGUUGCUCAUGCUAAACUCCUUGAGGACAAUGAGCACCUCAAAAAUGUCUCAAGGGCUAUUAAUAGUUCGCUCAUCGAGCUCACUGAGUCUCAUGCUCAACUUGGAGCUUCAUAUGCAAAUGAGCUUGCCACGUUGCCUUCUCCUCUUGUUGUUAAUAUUGAUGCUUGUGCUUCUAACUCUAUUUCUUGUGAAGCAUUUGGGGGAUUUGGGAGAGAAGGACUUGGGCACUCUGUGUGCCCUUGCCAUUGCAUUUGGUGCAUAGGUUUGAGUUCUCCACGGUGAUAUGUGGAAGUAAUGUUUGAUAAGAUUAUUACUCUUGGGUGCUUGGUACCUUAGAGCUUGUUCUUGUUGGGUGCUUUGGCAUCCUAGAAUCUUGGUGGUGCCUCGGAGCUCAACCAUUGUGAUGUAAAGCUCCGGGCAAGCGUCGGGGGUCUCCAAAUAGGUUGUGGAGAUUGCCUCGAGCAUUUGAGGUUACCUCGAAGCCAUAUUCCAUUGUGGUGAAGUUUCGUGGUGUCGUUGGCGGCCUCCAAUUAAGUAGUGGAGAUUGCUCCAACCUUGUUUGUACGGGUUCGAUGACCGCCCUCAAGGGUCCCUUAGUGGAAUCAUGACAUCUUCCAUUGUGUGAGGGCAUGAGGAGAUUACGGUGGCCUUAUUGGCAUCUUGGGGAGCAAUGUGCCUCUACACCGCUCCAAACGGAGAUUAACAUCCGCAAGGGUGUGAACUUCGGGAUACAUCGUCGUCUCUGCGAGCCUCAUUUAUCUCUUACCCGAGCCAUUUACUUAUGCACUUUACUUUGUGAUAGCCAUAUUGUUUCUUGUUAUAUAUCUUGCUAUCACUUAGUUGUUUAUCUUGCUUAGCAUAAGUUGUUGGUCCACACAGGUGAGCCUAGUUGUUUUAGGUUUUGUGCUUGACAAAUUAAACGUUAGUUUUAUUAUGCAUUUUUUAAGCCUAAACCGUAAUUAUUUUAAAGCGCCUAUUCACCCCCUCUAGGCGACAUCCACGUCCUUUCAAUUGGCAUUUUCAUAACUGCAUGUUCUUAAGAUUUCCAGUCGUUGUUGGAUCGCUCUUGUCGUCCUGAAUCCAACAACUUUGAGUUUGCUCAAUUAGAGCUUGUAUGCGAAAGAUAUGAUAGUUCUGGUUUUCUUCUUUUGCGUGUGGUCUACCUGGAAUGAUCCAAGGGUAGUACCGCCCGGGCCGGCGGUAGUGGCCCAGCUUGUACCGCUGGCUAGUACUGCUGCCCAUAAGUUCGACACCUUUUUUGGUCGGACUUUGCGGUAGUGUUGGGCGGUAGUACUUCUCCUGCUCCUGGCGGUACUAUCGGCCCUGCACCCUCUCAGUCCGGCCUCCCUCUGCAUGAGCGGUAGUACCGCUCUGGCUCGGACCGAGGGGGUAAUUGUUGGAUUUCCCCCUUCCUAUUUAAGGGGUCUUAUUCCCCAAAGGUCUCUAUCCGUUGAGCCCGCGUUCUUCCCCCAUUGUUGACCUUCUUUGAGCUCGCUAACUCUCAAUCCAUCCAAUGAUGCUUGCUAAUUCUUGAGGGAAAAAAGGGAGGAGAUUUAGAUCCACAUUUCCACCAAUCACUUUCUCCUCUAUGUGAGGGGAACCCUUUGGAUCUAGAUCUUGGAGUUCUUCGUGUUCUUCUUCGUUCUUCCUGUCAUUUUCUUCCAUAACAUUAGUUGUUGUGGAUGGAUUUGAGAGAGAAGGACUUGGGCACUCCGUGUGCCCUUGCCAUUGCAUUUGGUGCAUAGGUUUGAGUUCUCCAUAGUGAUACGUGGAAGUGAAGUUUGAGGAGCUUAUUACUUUUGGGUGCUUGGUACCCUAAUAACUGUUCUUCUUGGGUGCACGUUUUUCCGUUUACCCUAAUACCCCGAGAUCUUUGUCGUUUGCGCGUUUUUCCUUGAAACUUUUGUUCCAGCGAAGUACCGGUCGCCUGAGCGGUACUACCGCUUGUACACACGCUGAGUGCAUAACAGUUGGAUUUUGAGGGUCCUAUUUAAGGGGGUCUUCUUCCCCAUUGGUCUCUAACUCUCGAGCUCAUGUUUGCCCCCCAUUGUUGACCUUCUUAGAGAUUGCUAACUCUCAAUACCUCCAAUGAUUCUUGAUAGUUCUUGAAAGAAAAGAGAGAGGAGAUCUAGAUCCACAUCUCCACCAAUCACUUUCUGCUCUAUGCGAGGGGAACCCCUUGGAUCUUGAUCUUGGAGUUCUUUGUGAGCUCCUUGUUCUUCCUCUCAUAUUCCUCCAUAGCUUUUGUUAUUGUGGAGGGAUUUGAGUGUGAGGGACUUGACCACUUCGUUUGUUCUUGCCAUUGCAUUAGUUGCAUCGGUUUGAGUUCUCCACGGUGAUACGUGGAAGUGAAAAAUUUUAGAAGCUUGUUACCCUUGGGUGCUUGGUACCCUAGAGAUUGUUCUUUGUGGAUGCUUUGGUGUCCUAGAAGCUUGGUGGUGCCUUGGAGCUCAAUCAUUGUGGUGUAAAAGCUCUGGGCAAGUGUCGGGGUCUUUAAUUAUGUUGCAGAGAUUGCCCCGAGCAUUUGAGGUCAUCUCCAAGCCACAGUCCAUUGUGGCGAAGCUUCGUGGUGUUGUUGAUAGCCUCCAAUUAAGUUGUGGAGAUUGCCCCAACCUUAUUUAUAUGGGUUCGGUGACCACCCACAAGGGUCCCUUGGUGGAAUCACGGCAUCUUGCAUUGUGCGAGGGCGUGAGGAGAUUAUGGUGGCCUUAGUGGCAUCUUGGGGAGCAUUGUGCCUCCACACCGCUCCAAACGAAGAUUAACAUCCGCAAGGGUGUGAACUUCAGGAUACAUCGUCGUCUCUGCGUGCCUCGGUUAUAUCUUACCCGAGUUCUUUACUUAUGCACUUUACUUUGUGAUAGCCAUAUUGUUCCUUAUUAUAUAUCUUGGUAUCACUUAGUUGUUUAUCUUGCUUAGCAUAAGUUGUUGGUGCUAAUAGGUGAGCCUAGUUGUUUUAGGUUUUGUGCUUGACAAACUAAAUGUUAGUUUUAUUCCGCAUUUGUUCAAGCCUAAACCAUAAUUAUUUUAAAUCACCCAUUCACCCCCCUCUAGUCGACAUCCACGUCCUUUCAACGACUGAUAUACGAAAGGUCACUUGAUAGCUGAAUGGUUUUGGUGUAGUGGAGAUUGAAUAUGAAGGCUGCACUCUUCGGCUGCUGCCUGUUCUUUUCAUCUCCCUCUUUUGCUUCGCCUCCCGUCGUUGCAUGUUCGUCUCCUUCUCUUGUGGCCAUAAAGGAGAAGUCACUCCUCUCGAGAGAAACACACAAGAGCAUCAUCUUCCUCACGCCAUCUAGUUCCAAUAUCUGAGCUGCUGGUUCUUUGCCAUCCCGGCUUGCGGCGUGCACCACAGGCCGGGACAGCAUGCCUCCGAAACCCCGCCUCUUUGAGUCUUAUACGGGAGAAGGGUGAUAAGAUUUUUGGGGAGCACUGUGCACGACUACUGGCUUCUUCAUCAUAGACACCACGGACGUCGACGACCUCUUCCGGAACGACAACUUCUUUCUCGACGUCAACAACCUCUUCGACAACAUGGAUGAUGUCAAUGCCAGUCCCACUCCUGCUGCUGUUGCAACUCAGUACGUGUUCGUGUUCUUCUUGUUUGAAUUCCUAUCUCAACUUAUUGCUCUAGUUUAUAUUGGAUAUGUUGCAUUCCUACUCACCACUUCAGAUGCUCCUUGCAUACUUUUUAUUUUAUUGCGUGACUUGUCUUAUAACUGCUAUAGUAGUCAUGAUUUAUCUAUUAUUUCUGCUAGUAAAAUCACAUGGUAAAACACUUAUAUUUCUAGCAUUUGCUAUGUUUGAUUUGAACUAUUUGCUAUACUUGGAUGGACGUGAUGCAACCAAAAGACGACCACACAUUGGAUGCACGCUUUGCGCAUCAAGAAAUCCAUGCAAAUGUCGCUCCAAUGCGACCUCAAACGAACAAAGUCCGGAUAAAACAGACGUCCGUUUAAAAUAUAUUUUUUAAACAUAGUACAUAUGCAAACCCUCGUAUACAGACACAUACACUCACCUAUAUGAAUAUACACACGCACUCCUUGUCUUUAUGAGCAACUUAAAAAAAACUGAGCUACGCAUGAGCUUAAAAUUUAUAAAAUCAUCAUAGACACCUCGUUGUCGACGGGAACGCCUUCUUUCACUAAAUACGCAUCAUCAAAAAUAUUAAAAUAAAAGCGAACACGAGAAUUCAAGACCUGAUCGACUGAGAUACCGUACUCUAACCAUCCAACCAUGAUUCACGUCCAUUUGGAAUAGUUCGAGUCGCUGUACCGCGCGAAAGGAAAGAAAGGUUUGACAACGAGAACAGCUACUGACUGCGCAUGACACGCAGAAAUUUACCUUCUCUAUUGAGCACCAAAAUCGAUGGUCCGUCGGUCCAAAGCACCAGACCACCCUACAGUUCUACACACCGACAGCGAUAGCGCGCGGUAGAGUGUGGACUGUGGACGGGCCCGACGUCAACGGCACGGCGACCCUCCGGCGUCACCCUCCAGGCGUACGCGGCCGCAGCUGGCACCAUUUGCAUGAUCACCACCGCACCGCACCGCACCGUCUGCAGGGCUGGCAUAGCGUGGCCGCAUUGACCUCGUGCCCUCCCACGCCGGCGCGAGGAGGUAAAAUAGUAAGCGGCAGCGUACGGGGGUAGGCGCCGAGCCGCCGACCGACACAGGGGCAGUAGGGUACUAGGGUGCGCGUCGGCGCGAGCGGGACCAAGACGGAAGGAAGCCACGCGAAGCUCGCUGCUUUCUUUCUUGCUUGCCUCCUCCGUCCUCCCGCCCCCAAAAUAAAAAUCUGAAAACAGCAAGGCACCAAACGCCCGGGAGCACCCAACACACCACCACACACCAUUUCUUCCCCCUCCCCGCGGACCUCAGCCGGCUUACCCUCCCGCCUCCUCCUCCUCCGAAAGCCCAGGUCAAACUCCCCCAGCCAGCGAGGGAGACGGGGGAGAGAGGAGAGAGAGGCUCUCGGAUCCGAGCUGCUCCCUCCCGUGCCCGCCCAGAUCUCCUCCGCAGCCCAGCACCCGACGCCCCGGAUCUGCGCCCGUCGCAAAGGUAUUCCCUUUUUCAUCCAAUCUCGCUCCCCGGAUCUGCGCCUCCUCCCCGGAGCCGGAGGUGGCUUCCGUUCCUAGCUCCGCGGCUGCAGAGUAGGAGUAGCUAGCUAACUUAGCUGAUCUAGUUUAGAUGAUGAUGAUGAUAAGCAUCGAGAGCGGAGUUUAUGGUAGGCCCACCAGAGCAAAUCUCGCCUCCCGGCUCCGGGGAUCUCGAGCUCCGGUAGAUAUCAUUAUGUCUUUCCAAUUUAAACCCCGCAAAAUGUUUUAAGGAUCUGGGUCUGGCUUUGAUGAAAUCUCCGAGGCUCAUGCCGUGCUACUUUUGGUCA